rnacentral:lncRNA from 1 species
AAAAAAAAAAAAAAAACUAAAUAAUUAAUAAUAAUAAAAAAUUAAAUGAUAUUCCCGAUGCAGAUACUGUGUCGGAAAAAAGGAAUUUCCCUGACACAUGCACACGACAUCUGGGACCGUUUCACGAUGCACUGUCUUCCGACGUGUAGAAAACGUCGGUAGAUUUCUAGGGGUAAGCCGACGCAUAAAGAACGUUGAAAGUACCGUUGGGAGAUAUGAAAUGUUGACGCAGUUUUGUGGUGCAUCGGAGAUGGGUCUCCCGACACGUAAUACGUCGGGAGAGCUUGUCCCGACGUUUUUCUCAAUCUUUCUCAAUCGGGAAUACACCAAUCUCUUGUAGUGGAUUCCAACUUCUACAACUUUCUAAAGAAGCUACAAGUGACUCCAAGUUCUACAAAGGUAGUAAAGAAGCUGCAAACGACUCCAACUUCUACAAUCUUUCACAUCAAACGACACCAACUUCAAGAACAUCAUGUGCUCUGCUUUCAACUUCUACAAGCUUUCUAAAGAAGCUAGAAACGACUCCAAAUUUCCUCCUCUAACCAAGUGAGAGCGAGAAAGAAUCUCUGCUUCAUCAAAUCAAGCGAGAAAGAAUCAUACCAAUGGAAGUAAUUGUCUUUACUUAUAUACCUAAAAUCAUUUCCUUAUCGAACCGAUAUAUGGAAAUUUGGUCGGAUUCACACGAACUCUCGAUCUCUAAGAACUGCAAAAAUGAAAUGAGAAAGCAUUAGGAUUCAACCACUCGCAUAAAAAAUAUUAUACAAAAUGACAAACAUGAAAUCCCAUGGCAUAGAAUAGAACGGAAUCAUUGAGAAGGAUAAACGUAAAAAGCAUCCCAAUAUUAUUUUAGAAAAAACCCGCCCAACCUAGUGCAAUCCAAACAAACACAAAGUCUGGGAAUAACCUUUUUAAAAUUAAAAUCUUCUCUCCUUUUUGUUUCCACUUGCGGAUUGAACAAAGUUUUAGAUCGUUAUAGCUAGCUUCUCCUGCUAUGGACAUGUGCCCAAAGCCAACACCAAGCCAAUGGAGAACCAGAAUUCAGAGAAAAUGGAAACCACCCAAAAGGUUGAAAGAAAAAAGGGUGGUCUUCGAACUAUGCCUUUUAUUAUAGGUAAUUUUCAACAAGUUCUAAAAGUUCUGAAGCAUAAAUUAGUAAUAUGAUCACUAACAAAAACUCCAAAUCUGCAGCAAACGAGAUAUUUGAGAAGAUUUCAAAUGUUGGUCUUCAUGCAAAUAUGAUAUUUUACUUGAUGAAUGAGUAUCAUCUGGAUAGUGCUAAAGGAGCUAUCGUCUUGUUUCUGUGGUCUGCAUUGACAAACUUAUUGCCCAUUGGUGGGGCUUUCCUCUCUGAUUCUUACUUGGGUCGAUUUAAGGUCAUCGCCAUGGGGACAGUGGUUACACUUGUUGUAAGCAAGGAUUCAUUUGCUUAGUUCCAACCUGAAUAUCUGUUUGUUUCAUCUGUUUUUCAACUUUGAUCUUUCUUCGGACUUCAGGGAAUGGUGGUUUUAUGGUUAACAGCCAUAUUUCCAAAAGCAAGGCCUCCACACUGUACACCAGCUGGGGAAUUUUGUGUUUCAGCAAACACUGCUCAGCUGAUGCUUCUGUAUUUUGCAUUUCUUCUUAUGGCAGCCGGAGCUGGGGGAAUUCGACCAUGUUCCUUGGCGUUUGGAGCAGAUCAACUUGAAAAUCCAGGCAACCCCAGAAACCAGAGGACUAUGCAGAGCUUCUUCAACUGGUACUAUGCUUCAGUUGGAAUUUCAGUCACCAUUUCGGUGGUCUUUAUGGUUUAUCUCCAGAAUGCUACCGGUUGGGUUGUGGGAUUUGGAGUUCCUGUUGGACUUAUGCUGUUUUCCACAGCCAUGUUCUUUCUUGGCUCUUCAUUGUAUGUUAAACUGAUGGCGAACAAGAGUCUGCUUAGCAGUUUGACUCAGGUAAUCGUUGCAGCUUGGAGAAAUAGACACUUGGAAUUUCCCCCACAAGCUUCUGAUAAAUGGUUUUACCAUAAAGGUUCAAAGCUUGUCACCCCAACGCCUAAACUGAGGUAUGUUAAUAAUCAAAACGUUCCAUAAUUAUUGCUUGUUAUGCUUUUAGAUUUUCUAAAAUGAUCCAGGUUGAUUCUUCUGUCUUGCUUUCAAGGUUUCUAAACAAGGCUUGCAUAAUAAGAAACAUAGAAACAGAUCUAGAUUCUAAUGGAAUGGCCAAAUUCCCAUGGAGAUUAAGCACGAUUCAACGUGUAGAAGAACUAAAAGCAGUAAUCAGAGUACUUCCGAUUUGGUCCACUGGAAUUGUAAUCAGUGCCACCAUUAACCAAUUCACCUUCUAUUCUCUCCAAGCUAGCACAAUGGAUAGACAUAUAACACCUCACUUUCAAUUCCCAGCGGCUUCCUUCGCUGUUUUCACAAUCCUAACCCUUACAAUCUGGGUCGCAAUAUACGAUCAAAUAAUCGUUCCACUACUAGCGAAGUUCACCAAAAAAUCGAAUGGACUCACUUUAAAGCAGAGAAUGGGCAUCGGACUGGUAAUCUCAUGCUUGGCCUCAAUAGUGUCGGCAGAAAUAGAGAGAAAACGAAGAAACAGAGCAAUUCAUGAAGGUCUAGCCAACGUACCAGGAGGAAUUGUGCAGUUGUCAGCGAUGUGGCUGGUUCCACAACACUGCCUGGCGGGGUUGGCUGAAGCGUUGAACGCAAUAGGACAGAUUCAAUUCUUCUAUUCGCAGCUGCCGAGGAGCAUGGCCAGCAUUGCAGUAGCGCUGUUCUCGCUAGGAAUGGGCGGAGGGAGCUUGGUGGCAGCGCUGACUGUAAGCGUGGUGAAAAAGAGGACAAAGAAGAAUGGGAAGGGAUGGCUGUCAAAUAAUCUGAACCAGGGGCAUUAUGAUUACUACUACUGGGUGUUGAGCUUGAUGGGCGUCGCUAAUUUGUUGUACUAUUUGAUCUGCAGUUGGUUCUAUGGAGAUGAGAAAGAGGGAAUGGAACAGAGUAGGAUUUGGGAUGAUAAGGAAGCCAUUGAAGCGGAGGCCACCUUCAAUUCUUGAUUUGGAGUAUGGAUUGAAAUUUCUAUGGUCAAAGUUAACUCAUUGGUAUUCAACAUGCAGUCCAACGGAGAUUUGAUCUCCAAUCUCACUAAUGGUUUUUUGAAAAGGAAGAAAUUUUUAUUACAAAUGGGCAUCUCUUUGAAGACAUUUCUACCGUGGAAGGUUUUGAUUUUUGCCAUUGUUGUAUAAAGAAAUUGAAAGAAAGAGUUAGUAGAUACUAUAAUUGAUUUAUGUUUACUAUAACUUAUUUAUGUUUAAGUUGGCAAUAAAAAUGUUAAAAUAAGCAUACCUCAACCGAGAAUGAGAAUGCUUAAGUUUAGUUAGAUUUCCCCCUCCCACAACAUAUUUUCAACAAACAAUUUAUUGUAACAUGACUCAAUUGACAUGGUUAAGAAAACUAGGUAAAGUUUAUUAACCCACGACUACUUUCAUUAUUGUUUAUGUGGUUAGUGGUGCAAGUGGUUAAAUGCAAAUUAUUCACCAUGAUUCUCUAACAACUUCGUAUAGUUGUAAUCUUUAGGGUAUUUAAAUCCGUAAAUUUAUAUAAAUAUGAUUAGUUUACAAAAUAUUUAAUAAAAUAUUGUAGUUUAAAAAAUAUUUAUUGAAAUAUUGUAGAUUUGCACCGAAGACAUAGGAGAGAGAGUAAGAAGUUUCUAUUCACCCAAAUAUUUCUCUCUUCAACGUUGAGUUUUCAAUCCAACACCACCUUUCCUUUAUAUAUACAUCCAUGUAGUCUGACUACUUCAUUUACAAACAGAUCAGCCACAGAGUUGGCGAUAUAGGGAUGUUUCAAGGGUAGAAAAUGUCCAUACUUGCUGAAUCUAUCUACCAUCACGAAAUCACCUCAUAUCCAUUAGACUCCGAUAGUCCCUCCUCAAAAUCCAUAGAAAUGUCGCUCACACACUAUUCGGUAUUUCUAGAGGUAACAACAACCUUGUAGGUGACAAUGCCAUUGCUUUAUUUUUCUGAUAGAUCAAACACUCUUCACAAUAUUUCUGCACAUCGAGUUUCAUACCCUCCCAAUACAACUCAACAACCAAUCGUUUAUAAGUUCUAAGGAACCCAGAAUGCCCCCCAAGCACGGAGUCAUGGUAGGUGUGGAGAAUUGUUGGAAUCAAUGCUAAAGACUUGGAAAUAACCAACCUAAUUUGUAUACCUCAACAUCCCCUGCUGAAUGGAAUACUUGCUUGCCUUGUUAUCCUCCCCUCAUGUCGUUUCUUUCAUUAUCAAUUUCAGCUGGUCAUCGUUUUCAACUUCUUCCUUGAUGAUCUUCAAGUCAAUCAAGGUGGGGGCUGUAAUAUUACAAAUUUGGACAACCGGAAGCAUUCUAGAUAGAGCAUAUGUCGCCUUGUUCUUCAAUCCUGACUUGUAUACCACUUCGAAGGAAUGUCCCAAAAGCUUAGCAAUCCACUUUUGGUAUUGUGGUUGAAUAACCCUCUGUUCCAAUAUAAACUUUAGGGACAUUGAUUCAUCUUCACUAUAAACUUCCUCCCUAGAAAAUAAGGUCUCCAUCUUUGCACAGCGAGAACAACUACCAUAAGCUCCCUUUCAUACACUAGUUUAACCUGAUCUCUCAUAGCCAAUGUGUGGCUGAAGAAAGAAAUAGGUCAUUUGGAUUGAAUGAUCACUACUCCUAUACCGGAUGCAUUAGUCUCCAUUUCAAAUAGGGCAUCCAAAUCAGGCAAGGCUAAAACAAGAAGAGUCAUCAUAGCAUUCUGCAAUUUCUAGAAUGCUUCAAGGGACUCCUCGUUCCACCUAAAUCUGUCAUUCUUAAGUAGUUGAGUUAGAGGAGCGGCUAUAGACCUGUAGUGUUGGAUAAAUUUCCUAUAGUACCCUGUCAAUCCCAAGAAGCCUCAAACCUCUCAAACAUCCUUAGGUAUAGGCCAUUCUUUGAUUGUUCUAAUCUUUUCCGAAUCAACCUCAACUCCUUGAUAUGAGAUUAUGUGUCUCAAGUAAUCUACACGUGUCUGUGCAAAACUGCAUUUCUUCUUGUUCACAUAAAGCUCAUUCUUUCGUAGAACUUCUAAAGCCUUCCCCAAAUGUGCUAGAUGUUCUUCAAAAUCCUUUCGAUAAAUUACGAUGUAUCAAAGAACACAAGAACAAAUUUCAGUGAUUGAAAUGUAGAGGGUGCAUUAGUUAGGCCCAAUGGCAUAACCAUGAAUUCAUAAUGGCCUUCAUGUGUUUUAAAUGUUGUCUUCUCAAUGUCUUUACCACACAUACGAAUUUGGUGGUAUCCGACUUUCAAAUCAAUCUUAGAAAACUAUGUAGCACCAUUCAGUUCAUCAAAGAGCUCCUCAAUUACUGGUAUUAGAAAUUUGUCUGGUAUAAUAACAUUAUUCAACGCUUAGUAGUCCACACAAAAGCGCCAACUCUCAUCAUUCUUCCUAACCAAUAGAACAGGGCUGAAAUAUGGGUUGUAACUUGGACGAAUAAUUUCGGAUGCUAACAUCUCAUCCAUUAAUCUCUUCAUUUAUGCCUUUUGCUGAAAAACAUAUGUUGGCUUUUUGGCCCUUAAUCUCAAAUUAAUUUAUUUUAAUUAUUCAAUUAAUUUAUGUUUUGAUGAUAACAAAUUUGAUUUUUUUUAUUGACAAUUUUAUUAAUUUGAAUAGACCAUAUCGUAGAGCUUGGAAAAAUGAUUCUAACGCCUCUUGAAUCACCCAAAUCGAAGUUCAAAUGAAGAAAAUAUUGCUAAAAGAAGCUUAACGAAAAAAAUACCCGAGAUGGUGACGUGGCGACCAAGCAUUCAAUUUGAACCAAUUAGAGAAAGCCACUUGGAGCAAUGAAGAAGUAACAAAUGUGGCUUUUUGUUAUGUUUUAUUGGCUUUUAUAAAGAAAAUGAAUUUAAAAGAAAAAUGAUUUUAAUAUUAUUAUUUUUUCUUGUGUCUAACGGCUAGUUUUUUUAAAAGAGGGUGAAGUUGCUUUAUUGAUUUCUUUUUAAAUAAAAUAUUUUGAAAAGACAUAUUAUUAUAUUAUUAUUUGUAUUGUGUCUAACGGCUAAUUAAGUUUAAAUCUCAACCAUUCAUUUUUCUUUUACUUAUAUCUAAUGACCAAAAUGAUUUUGAAUUUAUCUUUCCUCUCUUUUUAAAUACUUCACAUUUACACAAGAUCACAACAUCUUUACAAUAAUCCUCAAGCAAAAAGCCAACAUUGUUAUUCUCUCUAAAGCUUCCAAUUUUUAUUCUUUUCAUCUUAUUCUUGAGAGCUUCUUAUUGUAUUGUGAGGAUUAAAUUUGUGAGCUUCAAAUUGUAUACUCACUCUUUUAGAGAGUUUUCUUUUGUGUGAUUUAAAAAUUUCAACAUAUUGUAACGGUUGGAUCCUAACCCGUGGAAAGGAUCGGGUUUGCUCUUGAACCCGAAAAAGGAGCAAGAAUCGGUUCGGCUCAAAUCCGUGGAAAGAGUCCAAAGAAGAUUUUCAAUCAAAAUCCCAAGGGGUGCUUGGGAAAGUGGAUGUAGGUUGAGUUUAACCGAACCACUAUAAAAUUACGGUGUCUUCUUCUCUAACUCUUUUCUAAUUAUUUUUUAAUUUAAUUUUAGUUACAUAUUCUUAUUGGUUGAGUUUGAUUGCAUACUUCCAUUCAUAUCUUUUUAUCAAUCUUGUUAUUUAACAAAGUUUACAAAGUUCUUUAUUUAAAUUUUAGAAAAUAUCUAAUUAGUUGAUUUUACUUUUUAUUUGUCAAAAAGUUUAUUUAAACCCUAUUCACCCCCCUCUAGGGUUGCCAUACCGAUCCAACAAUUGGUAUCAGAGCAAGGUUGCUCAUCUUGAAAUUUUAAUUUCUUGAUAAACUUUAUUGUUAGAGCAUUAUGGCAAACCUAUUGGCAAAUGGUAUUGUUGAAGGUCAAUCUACUUCUAGACCUCCUUAUUUUGAUGGUUCAAAUUAUGCAUAUUGGAAAGCUAGAAUGAAAAUUUAUUUGCAAUCUAUUGACUAUAAUUUGUGGUUAAUUGUUGCUAAAGGUCCUUAUGUACCCAUGAAAAAUGUUGAUAAUGUUGAUACGCCUAAAUUAGAAGAAGAGUAUGAUGAAAAUGAAAUGAAAAAGUGUUCAUUUAAUGCUAAGGCUAUUAACUGUUUGUAUUGUGCCUUGAGUAAAGAUGAAUUUAAUAGAAUAUCCAUGUGUUCUUCCGCUCAAGAAAUUUGGAAUACUCUUGAAAUUACUCAUGAAGGAACAAAUCAAGUUAAAGAGUCUAAAAUUAGCAUGUUUGUUCAUAAUUAUGAAUUGUUUAAGAUGGAUGCUAAUGAGACUAUCACCGAUAUGUUUACUAGAUUUACUAACAUCAUAAAUGCUUUGAAGGGUCUUGGUAAAGUUUAUACAACUUCCGAAAAUGUUAGAAAAAUUCUAAGGUCUUUACCUAAGACUUGGGAAGCUAAGGUAACGGCGAUUCAAGAAGCAAAGGAUCUCACCAAACUUCCACUAGAGGAGCUUAUUGGCUCACUCAUGACUCAUGAGAUCAUCAUGAAGGAGCACUUGGAGGAUGAGUCCAAAAAGAAGAAGAGCAUUGCAUUAAAGACUAUCUCCUUGGAAGUUGAUCCCGAAGAUGAGGAUGGCCUUGAUGAAGAUGACAUUGCUUAUUUCUCACGUAAGUACAAAAAUUUCAUAAAAAGAAAGAAAUAUUUCAAGAAACACCUAUCAACCCAAAAAGAGUCAAAAGGUGAGAAAAGCAAAAAGGAUGAGGUUGAUUUGUUAUGAAUGCAAAAGAUCGGGUCAUAUAAGAACGGAUUGUCCUCUCCUCAAAUCAUCUAAGAAAUCCAAGAAGAAGGCAAUGAAGGCUACAUGGGAUGAUAGUAGUGAAAGUGAAAGUGAAGUUGAAGAAAUGGCAAAUCUUGGUCUCAUGGCUCAUAGUGACAAAGAUGAUGAACAUGAUGAUAAGGUAACUCUAGAACCUCUUUCUAUUGAUGAAUUAUUUGAAAAUUUUGAAAGCAUGCAAAAUGACCUAGAAAAACUUAGUUCUAAGUAUGUUGUGCUUAAGAAGAAAUACAAUGUUUUAAUUAGUGAAAAUAAGUCUUUACUUGAUACAAUUGCUUGCUUUAAAGAGAAUGAAAAUUUUGAGCAAAUUGAAGAAUUGAAUGUCUCUAGUGAUAAGCAUGUUUGUAUUGAGAAAGAUGCUUUGCUUGAUAAAGUUAGAUUUCUUGAGCAUGAUAGUUGUGAAAAAGAUAACUUGAUUAAAGUGCUUAAAGAAAAUGAACUAAGUGUUUUACAAGAACUUGAUAAAGCUAAAGAAACUAUUAAAAAGUUGACAAUAGGUGCUCAAAGAUUGGACAAAAUUAUUGAAGUAGGAAAAUCUUAUGGUGAUAAGAGAGGUUUAGGCUAUAUUGAUGAAUCAUCUACUCCUUCAAGUUCUAAAACUACAUUCGUUAAAGCAUCACCUAUUGUGCCUAAGUUUAACAUGUCUAAUCAUGUGUCUAAUCAUGUUAAAUCUAGUUUUGUACCCAUAUGUCAUAAUUGUGGUGUUGAAGGUCACAUUAGACCUAAAUGCUUUAAAUUGAAGUAUGCUCAAAAUACUUAUUCAAGAAGAAAUUUUUCGCAAAGAGCAAAGUUUUACAUUGCUCCAAGGAAGAAUUUCUCCAAUAAAAGUAGAGUACAUAAAUUUGUUAUGAAAAAUAAAUCUUUGCAUAAUGUUGUUUGUUUUUCUUGUGGCAAGUAUGGACAUAAAGCUUAUUCUUGUUACCUAUCUAGAUCUAGUGCUUGUAAUGUCUAUGAAAAAAUGAAAUGGAUCCCUAAAUAUGUAAAUGCUAACAUUCUAGGACCCAAACAAGUAUGGGUACCAAAGGAUCAAACUUGAAAUUAGUUAUUUUUAGGUUUGUUUGAAAGCCUCCAAGAAAAACAAAUGGUACUUGGAUAGUGGUUGCUCAAGACACAUGACGGGAGACCGAUCCAAGCUUAUCUCUUUCUCCAAAAAGAAUGGAGGCAUGGUAACCUUUGGUGACAACAAGAAAGGUAAAAUAAUUGGUAAGGGUAAUAUAGGAAAUGAUUCAUCUACUUUGAUUGAAAAUGUUCAUUUGGUUGAUGGUUUAAAGCAUGAUUUGCUUAGUUUUAGUCAAUUGUGUGAUAAAGGAUUUAGAGUAAUAUUUGAUAAAAGAAAUUGCAUAAUUGAAAAUGUUAGUGAUAGAAAAGUUUUUGUUUGUUGGAAAUAGGGAUGAAAAUGUGUACAGUCUUGAUUUGAAUGAUUAUCGCUAUUAUUGAUAAAUGUCUUUCGGUUUUGGCAUAAUGAUUCUUGGUUAUGGCAUAGAAGACUAGGACAUGCUAGCAUGCACUUAAUUUCAAAUAUUUCUAAAAAUUGUUUGCUUAGAGGUCUUCCUAGUUUUAAAUUUGAAAAAGACAAAGUUUGUGAUGCUUGUCAAAUGGGUAAGCAAACUAAGUCCUCUUUCAAAUCUAAAAAUGUGAUCUCUACUACUAGACCCUUACAACUAUUACACAUGGACUUAUUUGGCCCUUCUAGAAUUGCUAGCUAUGGAGGAAAUUAUUAUGCGUUUUGUAAUAGUUGAUGAUUUUUCUAGAUUUACUUGGGUUUUGAUGAUAAAACAUAAGGAUGAUGCUUUGAAAAGUUUUAUUAGUUUUGCAAAAAGAGUACAAAAUGAAAAGGGAUUUUUUAUUUCCAAAAUUAGGAGUGAUCACGGAGGAGAAUUUGAUAAUGAUGCUUUUAAAGCUUUUUGUGAAGAAAAUGGUUUUUCCCAUAAUUUUUCCUCUCCAAGAACUCCUCAACAAAAUGGUGUAGUUGAAAGGAAAAAUCGUACUUUGCAAGAAUUUGCUAGAUCAAUGUUGAAUGAGUAUGGUUUACCUAAAUAUUUUUGGGCGGAAGCCGUUAACACCGCUUGCUAUGUUUCAAAUAGAGUUUUAGUUAGACCAUCUUUAGAUAAAACUCCUUAUGAACUUUGGCAUGGAAAAAUUUCAAAUAUUGGGUAUUUCAAAGUUUUCGGUUGUAAAUGUUUUAUUUUGAAUAACAAAGAAAAACUUGGAAAAUUUGAUUCUAAGACGGAUGUUGGUAUUUUUUCUAGGAUAUUCCUCUACUAGUAAAGCUUAUAGAGUUUUCAAUAAGAAAACUUUAGUUAUUGAGGAAUCUAUUCAUGUUGUAUUUGAAUGAAUCUUGGAAAUAAUGUUUCUAAUGAGUCUAUUUGUAGUGAUGAUUUAGAAAAAGAUUUUGGAGAUUUACUUGUUAAUGAGAAAGGCAAAGAAAUUGUUCCAAGUAUGCAAGAUGUGAACAUCAUAGAGAAGAAAGAAGAGGGUUCUUCAUCCUUGCCUAAAGAGUGGAGAUAUGCUCUAUCCCAUCCCAAGGAUCUAAUUCUUGGCAAUCCCGAACAAGGUGUCAAAACUCGUUCUUCUCUUAAUUUAUUUAGUAAUCUUGCUUUUGUGUCUCAAAUUGAACCUAGAAGUUUUAAAGAUGCCGAAUGUGAUGAGUUUUGGAUUUUAGCUAUGCAAGAAGAAUUAAAUCAAUUUGAAAGAAACAAAGUUUAGAAAUUAGUCCCUAGGCCUUCUAAUGCAUCUAUAAUCGGAACUAAAUGGGUUUUUAGAAAUAAGAAUGGAUGAAAAUGGAAAUAUCAUUAGAAAUAAAGCUAGACUUGUAGCUCAAGGUUAUUGUCAAGAAGAAGGUAUAGAUUAUGAAGAAACUUUUGCACCGGUUGCUAGAUUAGAAGCUAUUAGAAUGUUGCUUGCUUUUGCUUCUUAUAAAAAUUUCAUUUUGUAUCAAAUGGAUGUAAAAAGUGCUUUUUUAAACGGUUAUAUUGUAGAGGAAGUUUACGUAGAACAACCUCCGGGUUUUGAAAGUUUUGAUUUACCUAAUCAUGUUUAUAAGUUGAAAAAGGCUCUUUAUGGCUUAAAACAAGCUCCAAGAGCUUGGUAUGAUAGACUUAGCAAGUUUUUACUUGAGAAUGACUUUAAGAUGGGAAAAAUUGAUAAUACUCUAUUUAUUAAAGUUAAAAAUAAUGACAUGCUUAUAGUACAAAUUUAUGUGGAUGAUAUUAUAUUUGGUUCUACUAAUUCAUCUUUGUGUGAAGAAUUUUCCAAGUGUAUGCAUAAUGAGUUUGAGAUGAGUAUGAUGGGAGAACUUAGUUUCUUCCUUGGUCUUCAAAUCAAACAACUCAAGGAUGGCAUCUUCAUAAGUCAAGAAAAAUACACAAGGGAUUUGCUCAAGAAAUUCAAAUUAAAUGAAGGUAAAGUUGCAAAAACUCCUAUGAGCACUACCACUAAGCUUGACAAAGAUGAAAAAGGUAAGUGUGUGGAUAUAAAGACUUAUCGAGGUAUGAUUGGAUCUUUACUUUAUUUGACCGCUAGUAGACCGCGAUAUCAUGUUUAGUGUAUGUCUUUGUGCUAGAUUUCAAUCUUGUCCUAAAGAAUCACAUUUCCAUGCUGUUAAAAGGAUACUUAAAUAUUUGCUUGGAACUAUUGAUGUUGGAUUAUGGUAUCCUAGAAAUGUUGAGUUUAAUUUGGUAGGAUAUUCCGAUGCGGACUUUGCCGGUAGUUUACUCGACCGUAAAAGUACUAGUGGGACUUGUCAAUUUCUUGGUAGUUCCUUAGUAUCUUGGUUUAGUAAAAAGCAAAAUUCGGUUGCCUUAUCCACUACCGAAGCGGAAUAUAUUGCGGUUGCUAGUUGUUGUGCACAAAUUCUUUGGAUGAAACAAACUCUUUUUGAUUUUGGAUUAAAAUUUGAUAAUGUGCCUAUAUUUUGUGAUAAUACUAAGUGCCAUAAAUUUGACUAAGAAUCCUAUUCAUCAUUCUAGAACUAAGCAUAUAGAUAUUAGGCAUCACUUUAUUAGAGAGCAUGUACAAAAUGGUCAUAUUACUCUUGAGUUUGUAAGUUCCAAUAAUCAAUUAGCGGAUAUAUUUACCAAAACCUUUGAGUGAAGAAAGCUUUUGUAAAAAUAGGCUUGAGCUUGGAAUUAUUCGUUGUGAUGCAUCUUGAUUUUAUAUCUUACUUGAUAUUGUUACCCUAAUGCAUAUUGAUAGGGGGAGAAUUAGACAUUUUGUAUGUGUUCAUAUUUUUUUGGGAGAGCUAACUUCCUUGGUAUUGUUUUUGAUGAUUCCAAAGGGGGAGAAGUAUAAGAAAAAUAUGUUUUUAUCAAUUUGUUGCAUAAUUGUUUCUAUUGAAUAAUGCAUAUUUUUUUAGAGAAAAAUUAAUUAAGGACAAAGAAGGUUCUCUUAUCAAUUGUUUUCAAAGUAUGAUCUUUGUGGUUAUAUACAUGAGCUUUAUGGUUAUACAUCUUGAUAAUAGAAUUACUUGUUGACCAUGUGUGUUUCAAGUUAUUUUUCUUCAAUGAUUUGUCAUCAUCAAAAAGGGGAGAUUGUUGGCUUUUUGGCCCUUAAUCUCAAAUUAAUUUAUUUUAAUUAUUCAAUUAAUUUAUGUUUUGAUGAUAACAAAUUUGAUUUUUUUUAUUGACAAUUUUAUUAAUUUGAAUAGACCAUACCGUAGAGCUUGGAAAAAUGAUUCUAACGCCUCUUGAAUCACCCAAAUCGAAAGUUCAAAUGAAGAAAAUAUUGCUAAAAGAAGCUUAACGAAAAAAAUACCCGAGAUGGUGACGUGGCGACCAAGCAUUCAAUUUGAACCAAUUAGAGAAAGCCACUUGGAGCAAUGAAGAAGUAACAAAUGUGGCUUUUUGUUAUGUUUUAUUGGCUUUUAUAAAGAAAAUGAAUUUAAAAGAAAAAUGAUUUUAAUAUUAUUAUUUUUUUCUUGUGUCUAACGGCUAGUUUUUUUAAAAAGAGGGUGAAGUUGCUUUAUUGAUUUCUUUUUAAAUAAAAUAUUUUGAAAAGACAUAUUAUUAUAUUAUUAUUUGUAUUGUGUCUAACGGCUAAUUAAGUUUAAAUCUCAACCAUUCAUUUUUCUUUUACUUAUAUCUAAUGACCAAAAUGAUUUUGAAUUUAUCUUUCCUCUCUUUUUAAAUACUUCACAUUUACACAAGAUCACAACAUCUUUACAAUAAAUCCUCAAGCCAAAAAGCCAACAUUGUUAUUCUCUCUAAAGCUUCCAAUUUUUAUUCUUUUCAUCUUAUUCUUGAGAGCUUCUUAUUGUAUUGUGAGGAUUAAAUUUGUGAGCUUCAAAUUGUAUACUCACUCUUUUAGAGAGUUUUCUUUUGUGUGAUUUAAAAAUUUCAACAUAUUGUAACGGUUGGAUCCUAACCCGUGGAAAGGAUCGGGUUUGCCUCUUGAACCCGAAAAAGGAGCAAGAAUCGGUUCGGCUCAAAUCCGUGGAAAGAGUCCAAAGAAGAUUUUUCAAUCAAAAUCCCAAGGGGUGCUUGGGAAAGUGGAUGUAGGUUGAGUUUUAAACCGAACCACUAUAAAAUUACGGUGUCUUCUUCUCUAACUCUUUUCUAAUUAUUUUUUAAUUUAAUUUUAGUUACAUAUUCUUAUUGGUUGAGUUUGAUUGCAUACUUCCAUUCAUAUCUUUUUAUCAAUCUUGUUAUUUAACAAAGUUUACAAAAGUUCUUUAUUUAAAUUUUAGAAAAAUAUCUAAUUAGUUGAUUUUACUUUUUAUUUGUCAAAAAGUUUAUUUAAACCCUAUUCACCCCCCCUCUAGGGUUGCCAUACCGAUCCAACAACAUAUAUAUACAGUCUUACAUUCACUUGUUUGAUCCCAUGUUUCAAAUGUAUAUGAUGCUUGCUCUCUGGUGGUAAUUAGUCAGGCCAAGUAAAGACAUCUUCAAAUUUCUUCAAAACCACAUGCAUUGAUUCUUCCAUGGUCAACACCUCUUCUAAUGCUCCUCCUUCGACCAAAGAUACAUCCCACUCCAUGGUUCGGCAUUCCACCAGAAAUCCUUGGUUAGAGUCUUCCCAAGUUUUCAUCAUAGUCUUCAAACUUACUCUAAUUUUAGUUAAACUAGGAUCUCCCUUAAUGAUUACCUUUCUAUCAUGGUGCAUAAAAGUCAUAGUGAAAUUUCGCCAAUCUGCUUUAGUGAUGCCAAGAGAGUAAAGCCACUGUAUCCUCAAGGCCAAGCCAAUCUGUUAAAUAAACUUUUUGACAAACAAAAAGUAAAAUCAACUAAUUAGAUAUUUUUUUAAUUUAAAUAAAGAACUUUGUAAACUUUGUUAAAUAACAAGAUUGAUAAAAAAAUAUGAAUGGAAGUAUGCAAUCAAACUCAACCAAUAAGAAUAUGUAACUAAAAUUAAAUUAAAAAAUAAUUAGAAAAGAGUUAGAGAAGAAGACACCAUAAUUUUAUAGUGGUUCGGUUAGACUCAACCUACAUCCACUUUUCCAAGCACCUCUUGGGAUUUUGAUUGAAAAUCUUCUUUGGACUCUUUCGACGGAUUUGAGCCGAACCGAUUCUUGCUCCUUUUUCGAGUCAAGAGCAACGACCGAUCCUUUCCACGGGUUAGGAUCCAACCGUUACAAUAUGUUGAAGUUUUUAAAUCACACAAAAGAAAACUCUCCAAAAGAGUGAGUAUACAAUUUGAAGCUCACAAAUUUAAUCUUCACAAUGCAAUAAGAAUCUCUUAAGAAUAAGAUGAAAAGAAUAAAAAUUAGAAGCUUCAGAGAGAAUAACAAUGUUGGCUUUUUGCUUGAGGAUUGUAAAGAUUUAAUGAUUUUGUGUAAUUUAAAGUUUGGGAAAAGUGAAGUAUUUAAAAAGAGAAGAAAGAUAAAUUCAAAAUCAUUUUGGGUCAUUAGAUAUAAGUAAAAGAAAAAUGAAUAGUUGAGAUUUAAAUUUAAUUAGCCGUUAGACACAAUACAAAUAAUAAUAUAAUAAUAUGUAUUUUCAAAAUACUUUGUUUAAAAAGAAACCAAUAAAGCAACUUCACAAUUUUUUUUUAAAAACUAGCCGUUAGACACAAGGAAAAAUAAUAAUAUUAAAGUCAUUUUCUUUUUAAAUUCAUUUUCUUUAUAAAAGCCAAUAAAACAUAACAAAAAGCCACAUUUGUUACUCCUCCAUUGCUCCAAGUGGCUUUCUCUAAUUGGUUCAAAUUGAAUGCUUGGUUGCCACGUCACCAUUUCAGAUAUUUUUUCGUUAAGAUUUUUUUAGCAAUAUUUUCUUCAUUUGAACUUCGAUUUGGGUGAUUCAAGAGGCGUUAGAAUAAUUUUUCCAAGCUCUACGAUAUUAUAUAUGCAAAUUAAUAAAAAUUGUCAAUAAAAAGAAAUCAGAUUUGUUAUCAUCAAAACAUAAAUUAACUAAAUAAUUAAAAUAAAUUAAUUUGAGAUUAAAGGCCAAAAAGCCAACAAUCUCCCCCUUUUUUAUGAUGACAAAUCAUUGAAGAAAAAUAACUUGAAAUACACAUGAUCAACAAGUAAUUCUAUUAUCAAGAUGUAUAACCAUAAAGCUCAUGUAUAUAUUUCACCACAAAGAUCAUACUUGAAAACAAUUGAAAAGAGAAACUUCUUCGUUCUUAAUUAAUUCUCCCUCUAAAAAAAAUAUUCAUUAUUCAAUAGAAACAAUUAUGCAACAAAUUCAUAAAAACAUAUUUUUCUUAUACUUCUCACCCUUUGAAUACCAAGGAAGUUAGCUCUCCCAAAAAAAAUAUAAACACAUACAAAAUGUCUAAUUCUCCCCCUAUCAAUAUGCAUUAGGGUAACAAUAUCAAGUAAGAUAUAAAAUCAAGAUGCAUCACAACGAAUAAUUCAAAGCUCAAGCCUAUUUUUACAAAAGCUUUCUUCAUUCAAAGGCUUGGUAAAUAUAUCCGCUAAUUGAUUAUUAGAGCCCACAAACUCAAGAGUAAUAUGACCAUUUUGUACAUGCUCUCUGAUAAAGUGAUGCCUAAUAUCUAUAUGCUUAGUUCUAGAAUGAUGAAUAGGAUUCUUAGUCAAAUUUAUGGCACUAGUAUUAUCACAAAAUAUAGACACAUUAUCAAAUUUUAAUCCAAAAUCAUAAAGAGUUUGUUUCAUCCAAAGAAUUUGUGCACAACAACUAGCAACCGCAAUAUAUUCCGCUUUGGUAGUGGAUAAAGCAACUGAAUUUUGCUUUUUACUAAACCAAGAUACUAAGGAACUACCAAGAAAUUGACAAGUCCCACUAGUACUUUUACGGUCAAGUAAACUACCGACAAAGUCUGCAUCAGAAUAUCCUACCAAAUUAAACUCAACAUUUCUAGGAUACCAUAAUCCAACAUCAAUAGUUCCAAGCAAAUAUUUAAGUAUCCUUUUAACGACAUGGAAAUGUGAUUCUUUAGGACAAGAUUGAAAUCUAGCACAAAGACAUACACUAAACAUGAUAUCGGGUCUACUAGCGGUCAAAUAAAGUAAAGAUUCGAUUAUACCUCGAUAAGUCUUUAUAUCCACACACUUACCUUUUUCAUCUUUGUCAAGCUUAGUGGUAGUGCUCAUAGGAGUUUUUGCAACUUUACCUUCAUUUAAUUUGAAUUUCUUGAGCAAAUCCCUUGUGUAUUUUUCUUGACUUAUGAAGAUGCCAUCCUUGAGUUGUUUGAUUUGAAGACCAAGGAAGAAACUAAGUUCUCCCAUCAUACUCAUCUCAAACUCAUUAUGCAUACACUUGGAAAAUUCUUCACACAAAGAUGAAUUAGUAGAACCAAAUAUAAUAUCAUCCAUAUAAAUUUGUACUAUAAGCAUGUCAUUAUUUUUAACUUUAAUAAAUAGAGUAUUAUCAAUUUUUCCCAUCUUAAAGUCAUUCUCAAGUAAAAACUUGCUAAGUCUAUCAUACCAAGCUCUUGGAGCUUGUUUUAAGCCAUAAAGAGUCUUUUUCACAACUUAUAAACAUGAUUUAGGUAAACAAAACUUUCAAAGCCCGGAGGUUGUUUCUAUGUAAACUUCCUCCACAAUAUAACCGUUAAAACAUUUUUACAUCCAUUUGAUCAAAAUGAAAUUUAUAUAAAAAGCAAAAAGGCAAGCCACAUUCUAAUAGCUUCUAGAUCUAGCAACCGGUGCAAAAGUCUCUCAUAAUCUAUACCUUCUUCUGACAAUAACCUUGAGCUACAAGUCUAGCUUUAUUUCUUAAUUGAUAUUUCCAGUUUUCAUCCAUCUUAUUUCUAAAAAACCCUUUUAGUUCCGAUUUAGAUGCCAUUAGAAGGCUAGGAUAAUUUCAAACUUGUUUCUUUCAAAUAUGAUUUAAUUCUUCUUGCUAGCUAAAAUCAAAACUUCAUCACAUUCGGAUCUUUAAAACUUCUAGCGUUACAAUUUGAGACACAAAAGCAAGUUACUAAAUAAAUUUAGAGAAGAACGAUUUUGACACCUUGUUCGGGAUCUGCCAAGAAUUAGAUCCUUGCGGAUGGGAUAGAGCAUUAUCUCCACUUCUUUAGGCAAGGAUGAAAGCACUCUCUUCUUUUCUAUGAUGUUCACAUCUUGCAUACUUGGAACAAUUUUCUUUUGCCUGUUGUCAUUAACAAGUAAAUCUCCUUAAAUUACUUUUGUCUAAGAUCAUUCACUACAAAUAGACUCAUUGAGAAACUAAUUCAAGAUUCAUCAAAUACAACAUGAAUUUAGAUCCUCAAUAACUAAAGUUUUCUUAUAUGAACUCCUAUUAGCUUAAGUAGAGGAAUAUCCAUUAGAAAAUACCGACAUCUGUCUUAGAAUCAGAAUUUUCAGUUUAUUUCUUUAUUAUCAAAAUAAAACAUUUACAACCGAAACUCUUGAAUAUAUCCAUAUUUGGAAUUUUCCAUGCAAAGGUUCAUAAGGAGUUUAUUAAGAGGGUCUAACUAUAACGUUAUUUGAAACAAGCAAGCGGUGCUUUAACGGCUUCCGCCCAAAAUAUUUAAGGUAAACCAUACUCCAUUCACAUUGAUCUAGCAAAUUCUUGCAAAGUACGAUUUCCUUUCAACUACCACAUUUUGUUGAGGAGUUCUUGGAGAGGAAAAUUUAUGCGGAAAAACCAUUUUCUUCACAAAAAGCUUUAAAAGCAUCAUUAUUCAAAAUUCUCCUCCGUGAUCACCUAAUUUUGGAAUAAAAAAUCCUUUUUCAUUUUAUACUCUUUUUGCAAAAUAAUAAAACUUUUCAAAGCUCAUCCUUAUUAUUUUAUCAUCAAAACCCAAGUAAACAUCUAGAAAAUCAUCCAACUAUCACAAUAGCAUAAUAAUUUUCUUCCAUAACUUAGGCAAUUCUAGAAGGGCAAAUAGAGCCCACUGUGUAUAGUUUGUAAAGGGUCUAGUAGUAGAGAUCACUUUUUAGAUUUUGAUAGAUGCGACUUAGUUUUGCUUACCAAUUUGACAAGAUCACAAACUUUGUCUUUUUCAAAUUAAAACUAGGAGACUCUAACCAAACAAUUUUUUUAGAAAUAUUUUGAAAUUAAGUGCAUUGCUUGCAUGUCCUAGUCUUUAUGCAUGAACCAAUAUCAUUUAUGCCAGACACGAGAGACAUUAUCAAUAAUAGGAUAAAUCAUUAAAAUUCAAAGAGGUGUACACAUUUUAUCCCUAUUUCAACAAAACAACUUUUUCUCAUCACUAACAUUUUCAAUUAUGCCAACUUUUUUUUAUCAAAUAUUACUCUAAAUCCUUUAUCAACACAAUUGAGUAAUUUACUAAGCCAAAUCAUGCUUUAAACCACUCAACCCAAUUGAAAAUUUUCAUCAAAGCUAGCAUGAAUCUUUCCUAUAUUACCCUUACCAAUUAUUUUAAACCUUUUUUCCCUUUGUUGGGGGUUCCAAACCCAAAAAAAAAAAAAAAGGGUUACCAUGCCUCCAUCUUUUUUUGAGAAGAGAUAAGCUUUGGAUCGGUUCUCCGUCAUGUGUCUUGAGCAACCAGUAUCCAGUACCAUUGUUUUUCUUGGAGGCUUUCAACAACCUAAACAACAAAUAAUUUCAAUGUUGAUCUUUGGUCGCAUACUUGUUUGGGUACUAGAAUGUUAGCAUUACAUAUUUAGGGAUUUCCAUUUCAUUUUUCAUUAGACAUUACAAGCACUAAGAUUCUGAUAGGUAACAAGAAUAGCUUAUGUCCAUACUUGCCCACAGAAAGAACAAACAACAUUAUUGCAAAGAUUUAUUUUUCAGUAACAGAAUUUAUUAGUACUCUACUUUAAUUGGAGAAAUUUCUUUCCUUUGGGCAAUGUAAAACUUUGCUCUUUCGCCGAAAAAUUUCUUCUUGAAUAAGUAUUUUGAGGAUACUUCAUUUAAAGCAUUUAGGUCUAAUCGUGACCUUCAACACCACAAUUAAUGACAUAUGGGUUACAAAAACUAGCUUUAACAUAUGUAGACCCAUGAAUUAGACAUGUUAAACUUUAGGCACAAUAGGUGAUGCUUUAACGAAUGUAGUUUUUAGAACUGACAUGAGUAGAUGCAUUCAUCCAAUAUUAUGCCUAAACCUCUCUUAUCACCAUAAGAUUUUCCUACUUUCAAUAGUUUUGUCCAUCUUGAGAAAGACCCACCUAUUUGUCACCUUUUUAAGUAGUAUUCUUUGCUUUACUUCAAGCUUCUUGUUAAAAACACUUAGUUUCAUUUUUCUUUAAUCACUUUAAUCAAGUUAUCUUUUUUCACAACUAUCAUGCCUCCAAGAAAUCUAACUUAUAUCAAGCAAAUGCAUCUUUUCAUACAACAUGCUUAUCACUAGAGACAUUCAAUUCUUUCAAUUGCCUCAAAAUUUUCAUUCUCUUUAAAGCAAGCAAUUGUAUCAAGUUAAAAGACUAUUUUCACUUAAUUAAACAUUUGUAUUUCUUCUUAGCACAUACAUACUUACGACUAAGUUUUUCUAGCGUCAUUUUGAUUCUUCAAAAUUUUCAGAAUAGAUUCAUCAAUAGAAAAGAGGUUCUAGAGUUAACCUAUAUCAUUCGAUGCUUCAUCAUCUUUUGUCACUAUGAGCAUGAGACCAAGAUUAUGCCAUUUCUUCCAACUUCACUUUCCACUUUCACUACUAUCAUUCCCAUGUAGCCUUCAUUGCCUUUCUCUGGAUUUCUUAGAUGAUUUGAGGAGAGGACCAAUUGUUUUCUUUCAUAUGACCGAUCUUUUGCAUUCAUAACAAUCACCUCAUCCUUUUUGCUUUUGCUCACCUUUUGACUCUUUUUGGGUUGCAUAGGUGUUUCUUUGAAAUGAUUUCUUUUCUUUUUAUGAAUGUUUGUUACUUACGCUGAAAGAUAAGCAAUGUAUCUUCAUCAAUCCAUCCUCAAGAACAAAAUACUUCGGGAUAACUUCCAGGAGAUUAGUCUUUUAAUGCAAUGCCUCUUCUUCUUUUUGGACUCAUUCCUCCAAGCUGCUCCUUCAUGAUGGAUCUCAUGAGUCAUGAGUGAGCCAUAAGCUCCUCUAGUGGAAGUUUUGGUGUGAUCUUUGCUUUCUUUGAUCGCCGUUAACCUUGCUUCCCAAGUCUUCAGGUUAGAGACCUUAGAAUUUUUACUAGACAUUUUCGGAUCUGGUAUAAACUUUUACAGACCCUUCAAGCAUUUAUGAUGUUAGUAAAUCUAGUAACUAUCGGUGAAAUCUCACACCACAACAAUAUAUUAUGAACAAAAAAUUUUAGACUCUUUUAACUUGAUUUGUUCCGUUCAUGAGUAAUUCAAGAGAUUCCAAUUUUUCUUGAGCGGAAGAACACAUGACAAACACACUCAAGGCACAAUACAACAUAAUUAGCCUUAGGCAUUAACAUGAACAUUUUACAACAACCCUUAAUUUAGGCGUAGUCAACAUUAUCAACAUUUUUCAUGGGUACAUAAGCGACCUUUAGCUAACAAUUAACCACAGAAUAUAGUCAAUAUGAUUGCAAAUAAAUUUCGUUUCUAGCUUUCCAAUAUGCAUAGUUUUGAUACCAUCAAAUAAGGACGUUCUAGAAGUAGAUUGACUCAACAACAGCCAAUUACCUAAGUCUAACAAUAAAGUUUUAUUCAAGAAAUUUAAAAUUUCAAGUUAUGGCAACCUGCUCUUACCAAGUACGUAUGGCAACCCUUGAGGUGGGCUGAAUAGGGUUUAAAAUAAAUCUGACAAAAAAGUAAAUCCGACUAAUUAGAUAUUUUUAAUAUUUAAAUAAAGAACUUUGCUAACUUUGUUAAAUAACAAGAUUGAUAAAAUAUGAUUGGAAUAGUUGCAACUCAAACUCAACCAGAUUUAAGAAAUUUGUACUAAAAUUAAAUUAAAAAAUAAUAGAAAAGAGUUAAGAGAAGGACACCGCUAAUUUUAUAGUAGGUUCGUUAAACUCACCUACAUCACUUCCAAGCACUCUUGGCGAUUUGUUGAAAAUCUUCUUUAACUCUUUCCACGGAUUUGAGGCCGAACGAAUUCUUGCCUCCUUUUUUGGGUUCAAGGAGCAAACCGAUUCUCUCACGGGUUGCAUCCAACGUUACAAUAUGUUGAAGUUUUUAAAUCACACAAAGAAAACUUCUCUAAAGACGUGGUACUACAAUUUGAAGCUCACAAUUUAAUCCUCACAAUACAUAAGGAAACUCUCAAGAAUAGACUGAAAGUAAUACAAAAUUGGAAGGCUUUAGAGGAAUAACAAUGUGGCUUUUUGCUUGAGGAUUGUAAAGAUUUUAAUGAUCAUUGUGUAAAUGCUGAAGUAUUUUAAAAAGAGAGGAAAGAUAAUUUCAAAUCAUCUGGGUCAUUAGAUAUUAAGCUAACAAAUUGAAAAAUGAAGCUGAGAUUUAAACUUAAUUACCGUUAGACACAAUACAAAUAAUAAUAUGAAUAAUAUGUCUUUUCAAAAUACUUUGUUUUAAAAAGAAAUCAAUUAAAGCCAAUUCACCCUCUUUUUAAAAAAACUAGUCGUUAGACACAAGAAAAAAUAAUAAAGUAAAAUCAUUUUCCUUUUAAAUUCAUUUUCUUUAUAAAAGCCCAAUAAAACAUACAAAAGCCACAUUAUGCUUACUCCUUCAUUAGCUCCAGUGGCUUUCUCUAAUUCGUUUCAAAUCUAAUGCUUGGUCGCCACGCUCACCAUCUCGGGUAUUUUUUCGUUAAGCGUUCUUUUAGCAAUAUUUUCUUUCAUUUGACUGUUCGAUUUGGGUGAUCUUUCAAUAUAGGCGUUAGCAAUCAUUUUUCAAGCUCUCAUGAUAUGGUUAUUCAAAUUAAUAAAAUUGUUCAUAUAAAGAAAAAUGCAGGAUUGCUUAUCACUGCAAAACAUAAAUUAACUUGAAUAAUUAAAAUAAAUAAUUUUGAUAUUAAUUCGGCCAAAAAGCCAACAAUCAAUUGGUUUCUCGAAGUACGCCACCUUCAUCCCCACUACAAAACUAUGUUUAGUCGAGGCUGGAUAGCACACUUGUUCUUUAAGAAACGUCUUGAGUUAUGGGGAGUUCCAUCAAGCAUUGUAGUGACAGGUAUGGUAGAUUCGUUGGUACUCUCUGGACGAACUAUUUCCGCGCUUCCUUGGGACAGCUACAAUAUAUCUUUAAGCUGCCAUCUCAGGACGAAUGGCCAAAACUGAGGAUUCAUUGUAUGCUUUAAUGGAAUAUCUACACAUUUUGUGAUUAUGGACAAAAGAAUUGGGCUAGAUUGGAUAGGAUGUGGCUCAAUUAUUGUUUAUAUGCAUCAAACCUAGUCUUAUCCACAAUGAACGAUGCGAACCUUUCGAAAUCUUCGAGUGGAAGACACCUAUACUGCCUCAUUAUUGUUGAUCAUCAGCUUCUACAGAAAAAAUCUCAAGUACAUAACUUUACGGAAAAAUCCAUAGUAUCCACCUCGCGGUACUACGCACCCCCCCCGUUCCACAGUGCGGCGCGGCGCGAGGUUAAGCCCGCGGCUGUUGGGAGAAGACUACGAAACAUCCGGCUCGAGCUUAUUACUAAGAGAAAGUCUCGGAAGCGUAUGAUUAAGAAGCAUCAUCCGCUCUCAUAGUUUUUUGAGCGGAAGACCAACUCCAUAGAGUUUAAAAGCAAAGCAAAUUUGAUUUAGAGCGACAUCAACAUCAGAUCUUCACAGAAAAUACGAAUGGGCCCUGUUGAAGUUUUUGAAGGGAAAUUGGAAAUGCCUCCUAUAGGGUAUCGCUUGCCUGCCAUGGAAUAAAAAAUAUCUAGUCUAGCUCAAUGUGAGCAACUUGAAACCUUACCACUCAAGAAUCCAGACUGCGACAGUAGUGAACAAUGGUGUAUGGUCAUCUAUUGACCUAAGUAGCAAAGCACGAGUAAAGAAACUUGGAAGAAAUCCUUAUACAAAGAGAGUGAGGAAAGGGCGUAUAACCAUGAAGAGGCAUCAUGAAGUUCCUACUGCAAGGAAUGAAUAAGACCUCCGAGUGUGGAAGAAACACGUUAUGGAAUGUGGCUGAAGACCUUUGGAGCGUGAAAGAGAAGAAUCGAGGAAUUCUUUAGCUUCGCAGUCGACAGGGAUGUCAAUUCUUUAAGCUGGGGGAGAAUGUUUAAGCAAGCAUGCUUGUCCAGGGCGCUGUUUGCUUAUUGUCGCAUGCCCAAACACCCCCAAUGUUACAUUGUUUUAUGUUUGUAUUUUAGUUUCUACUUUUUUGCUUUCCUUUAUGAUAAUGUCUUAUAAUUUUAGCGGCUGCUGACUUGCUUUUUCUUAUUGGCGCAACACCCUCACCAGAUCACUAAAAAGCUCUAAAAUAGUAAUUAUAGAUGGCGACAUAUGGUAGUGAAUCGCUGUCCAAGCCUUGUUGCACUCUUCGCAAUCCAAAGUUUUUUCUUUUUUGCCCAAAUUGACAUGUCUUCUUAAUGCUUGCUUUAACGAUAUUUUCAUUGAAUUUCUUUCUUCUCACGUUUUAUAAAACAUUUUCUCAAGAACCUGAAGAGACGGCUACAUCGUAUCAUGUGUUUGUCUGUGGUUUUUGGAUUUGAUCAGCUAACUUGUUGUCUACGUAAAACAAGUGCAACAUAAUCAAGCCUCUCGUGUUUGAAAGCUCGCGAUUGUGACACAAGAACUGCACUAGCCAAGAAUGCACAUGAGAGGGCUAUACGAAAUGCCAAGCACGCAACCAAGUGAGUUCACAAUGUGCUUGUGUGUGAGGUUAGCACGCGGGCAUGCCCAACACGCAUGAAAAGCCUAUUGUGAGAUCACACACAGUAGCAAGCGCCCAACCAAGGCCCUGCCACCCACCCAUUUCGUGUCAGGCAGUGUCAUAUUGCGUGUUGAGCUAUUGGUAAUUUUUUGAGUUUUUUAAGUAUACUUUUAAUAUUUUCUUGGCAAAAGAUAAUUAAUUGUACUAUUUUACCAUUAUUUCAAGACAUGAGAAGAUCAUACAAAUUUAUAAACCAAGGAUUUGAGCUUGUAUCCGUGAGUGGAAAAUGUUUUAUUUAAAGUGAUUUCAAGCAUGUUCUUAAGUCAUGAUUUAUGACGGAUUUAUGAUAAAAUAUUUAAGUUUGUUAUGAAAAGUCUUUCAAGCGUGUUAUUGUUUUAAAGGUAUUUAUUCUAGCAUAUUGUUUACUCUUCAAAAUGCAUAAUAUUCAAAUGUUUUCCCACUUUCUAGGUAGAGAUCGUGUCCUCUAAGCCUAACUUGCUGCUACCGUCUACUGAAGGAUUUCAUUUUGUUAUCGUAUGUGUCCUGUUAUUUUGUACUAAUGAUAAAUUAGUCUUUUGUGCUAUCAGACUUAGGCUUUUGGGAAGGUUUUAUAAGGUUUUGUUCUAGAUAAAUAAGAUUACGUUUUUUCUAUGUAAAACUUGUCUAAGGUUGUUAAAUGAAAAAGGUUUAGCCAUUUAAGAGUUGUUGACAAGAGUUGACACUCUAGAAUUAAAAGUUGUAAGAAACAAAAAGAAACUACCCACUGUCUCUGCUAAAAGUUGGGAUAAAAUAAGAGGGGAGUGAUCAGAAAUACCCGAAGGCCAUGCAGUAAUCCAACACCAUUAACUAGAAUACGAUUAAACCGUUUUAUCAAACCAAACCCAUGAACCUUUCUAGUCCAGGUGAACCAUAAAUAAGGCACUAUAGACUAUACGAUUAAACCGUUUUAUCAAACCAAACCCAUGAACCUUUUGAGUAUAUAGCCUAAAUAGUCUAUAGUGCCUUAUUUAGAGAAACUACUAGCACCUACUUGCGUGGCUCGAGAUAUGGCGUGAAGCCAAUCGAUAGCACCCACGUCAAGAACGACACCAUUUGACCCUUAGCUUGAACGUUUAAACUCUAAACAAUAGCGGAAACAUAACACCAAAACCUUAUGUCAACCUUUGAUUCUCUAAAUAAGGCACUAUAGACUAUUUAGGCUAUAUACUCAAACUUGAUCCGCAUUUAUGUCUCGACAUAAAGUUCAAAUGUAUUAAAAAAUAGCAUUAAGACUUAGUUUAUUGGAUUUAAGAUUAUAAUUUUUAAUUUUUCAAUAACGAUGAUUUUAUUGAACUGAAUAUGAUAACAAACUACGAGUUUUAGGACAUAAAAUCCCAACAUAUGUAUUUUUGCCUCUAAUAAUAAUGUUGAAAGAUGUUUGUUGUGGUUUCAUAUUGGUGAUAUCUCUUCUGGUUGGACAUAGUCAGGUUUUGUAAUGGGUGACUUUAACGCUCUCAAAAUGCAUUUUGAGGCUUUUGAUAGGUCUUCUGUUCCUAUGGAUAUAGGGUAACUGGUUCACCUGGACUAGAAAGGUUCAUGGGUUUGGUUUGAUAAAACGGUUUAAUCGUAUUCUGGUUAAUGGUGUUGGAUUACUGCAUGGCCUUUGAGUAUUUCUAAUCACUCCCCUCUUAUUUUAUCCCAACUUUUAGCAGAGACAGUGGGUAGUUUCUUUUUGUUUCUUCAACCAUUGGGUUGAGGAUUCUUUGUUUAUUGAUAUUGUCUCUUCGAUUUAGAGUCGCCAUGUAGGAGUUUCUCUGAUUGUGAGUUUCGUGAGAAAUUUACAUAACCACAAGCCUACCCUCCAUAGACAGUUUGGUAAGCACAUUUAGAGCCUAAGUGAGGAGGUUCGUAUUGCUAAAGAGUCCAUGGAUAAAGCUCAGAGAAAGGUUGGGCAAAAUCCUAUGUCUGAUGUUUUGAGUCGCCAAGCAGGUCUUGCCAUUUUGGCCUUUUGGACGGCUGUUAGAUUGGAGGAAGCCUUCAUGUGUUAGAAGUCCAAGAGGUUUGUGAGUUGCCUUAGAACUUGUGUUACCUCCUCGAUGUUCUCCAUUAUGAUUAAUGGCUCUUUCAAGGGUUUUUUAAUGGGAGGAAAGGUUUGCGGUAGGGUGAUCCUUUAUCUCCUUUCCUUUUUAUCGUGGUGAUGGAGGUCCUCUCUCGUAUGUUGAAUCGGCCUCCUCCGAGCUAUCAGUUUCACAGGCAUUGUGAGAAGGUUAGCUUAACUCAUCUGACCUUUGCUAAUGAUCUUAUGAUUUUUUGUGCUGCUGAUGAUUCCUCUUUGAGUUUUAUUAACGAGACUAUUCGAAAGUUUGGUGAUCUCUCGGGGCUAUUUACUAAUCUUAGUAAAAUUUCUAUGUUUGUUGUAGGGGUUAAUAGUGAUGAUGUUUAUCGUUUGACUACCAGUUUGGGUUUUGUCCUCAGGCAUCUCCCUGUUCGUUAUCUUGGGCUUCCUUUACUUUCUGGGAGGUUACGACCUACUGAUUGUGCUCUCUUAUUCAACGUAUUACUAGUCAGAUUCAUUCUUGGUUUGCUAGAGUUUUAUCAUUUGCAGGUAGAUUGCAACUGGUUCGAUAUGUGCUUGAUAAUCUUCAGGUUUACUAGGCUAACGUGUUUGUGCUGCCUGUGAGUGUGCAUCAUGAGGUUGAUAAAAUCUUGAGGUCUUAUCUUUGGAGGGGUAAGGAGGAAGGUAGAGGAGGUGUUAAGGUGGCGUGGGCUGAGGUGUGUUCCUUUUGAGGAGGGUGGUCUUACUAUUCUUGAUGGGUCUUCUUAGAAUGUUGUGAGUACUAUGAAGAAUCUUUGGUUGUUGCUGACUAGUUCGAGUUUUCUAUGGGUUGCUUGGGUGGAGGCUUAUAUUCAUAAAGGAAGGUCGUUGUGGGAGGUCGAUUCUUGUGUUGGUCGGUCUGGUGUCUUUGCGCUAUCAUGUGUAAACAAGAUAGUCUAAAAGAGCAUGUUCAGAUGGAGGUUGGGGAUGGUAGGCAUUGUAAACUGUGCCUGGAUCCGUGGUUGAAGGGUGGUCCUAUCCUUCAACAAGUUGGUGAGAGAGCGCUUUAUAAUGUAACGAGUAGAUAGGAGGCUAGGCUCUCUAAGUUUAUUGGUUCGAAAGGGGAGUGGAGGUGGUCGAGGGUGUCUUUGGAUUUGAUUAAUUUAUGGGAUAGGGUUCAAGUUGUAAGUUCGUGUCCUAAUGUUGGUGAUAGGUAGGUUUGGGUUCUUGGUCGUCAUAGUGGUUUUUUGAUUGCUAGUGCAUGGGAUACUAUUCAUUCUCGUAGUGUUAAGGUUCGUUGGACAGGUUUCUUGUGGGGUGGGGAUUGAGAGUCUCGUUAUCAUUUGUUUUUUCAUGUCCUUUUGGGUGUGAUAUUUAGUCUCGGGUCCUUUAGGUUAUGGCUUCCUCUCACAGGAUUGGGUAUUGGGGGGUUGAGUUGUUUGGGGUUUGUCAUUAGAGUAUUGGUAAGGGUGUGAGAAGGAAGUUGUGGUAUGUUCUCUGGUGUGCUACGAUUUAUUUUAUGUGAAAGGAGCAUAAUCAUUGUCUCCAUGGUGGUCAAGCUCGUUUGCUCAUUGUUCUGUUUCAGCUUAUUCCAUAUUGUAUCAGUGCUCGUGUUGUUUAUUUGCGUGAGGAUGCUUAUGGUAUUAUUUAGCUUGUUUUCUUUUGAUUUUUGUUUUAUCUGCUUGUUCUCGGGCUGUGGGGUUGUUUGGACUUUUUAUGUUUUUGUUGCUCUUAAUUUUGUUGGGUUUAUUAUUGUUCUUUCUUUUGAUACUCUGGAUUCUUCCUGUUUUUGUGAGCAUUGUUCGCUCUUGUGAGGUCAUCCUUGUUGUAUUAUGAUAUUAACUUUUCAAAAAAAAAAAAAAGAUAAUGCAAUUCAACUUUAGAUAGAAACAUGAUUCGAAUUUUCAUUUCAAGAAAAUACAAGGGGACAAACUCAAGGAUUAUGUGGAUCACAAAACUUGAAUUACUAGAAUCUAAAUUUCCAUAUGUUAGAUAUCAUCAGAAGCAGUUAGACCAAAAGUUAAUUAUCAAUAUGUUAGUUCACAGGAACUGCAUAAUCAAGCACAUAAACAUCCACAUUGUCAUUCAUUGUAGGCAGCUUUGAUACACAAAAAAUAUGGAUAUUUUCAGAAGUUCAAGCAUACACAAAAAACAUAUCCUUGUCAGAAAAUAGCCAACUAAGAAAGAGAAGUUCAAGAUUUAUAUACAAAGUGCAGCUGCAAAAGGACAAGCAAGAUGCCAUAAUCUAUAUAUUAUGCAGUCGGAUAUUAAUUGGCAAGUACUAACAGCAAAGGUACCAAAAUAAAACUGUAUCAAUUUAUCUUGUCUAAAACUAAACAGUAUAUGUAAAUCUUGCAAACAAACAAGUUUUUUUGAAUCAAAACUGUCAAAAGAUUUUGAUUCAAGUGAUAAGUGGAUUGUGAUCUUUUGUGUCACCCAUCCAUUCCUCCUGUUUUAACCAUUUAAAUCAAUAAAUAAUUUUAUGUUCAAACAUAAGUUGGACAACCUUUGUUAAAGAACUGCUUCCCAAAACAAAUAGCAUUAACCACCCUUUUUUAAUUCAACACAUGGAAUAGAGAUCAAAUCUCUAAUUUUUUGGUCUAAGGUACCUUUCCUAAACUUGUCGAAUUCCAUUUUCUACACCAACUUUAAUUCGACCUCCCACGAAUUCUCUUCUUCUAAGGAUUAACUUUUCUCUAAGGCUCUGCACUCUACUAAAAAGCCUUGAUCUUCUUCCCCCCAAUGUUUUCAUAAACUUCUUAAGACAGACCUUGGCCUUGGUUAGGCUCGGAUCUCCUUGGAUUAUCACCUUCUUCCCCUGAUAUGUAAAUGUUAACAUCAGAUUCUUCCAAUUCACUCCAGUCGUUCCCAAGGAAUACAAUCACUGCAUUCCAAGUAUGGCAACUACCCCUCCCAACUUCAAGGAUAAAAACUCAUUCACUACCUUCUAGUCUCCCAGCAUUAACUCAACAUCUUCACAAAUUACCUUCCCUUUGACUACAGUGCCCGAGCCCAAAAUGACUCCAUAAUUUGACGUUUCUCUUGUACUCAGUUACAACUCUUUCACUAUUUUUUUCUGAAAUGAAAUUGCGUGUGACUCCACAAUCAAUUAGUAUUAUAGCCACCUUCCCUUGUAUCAUCUCUUUUACCUUCAUUUUCCCUAGGUUGGAUAAUCCCACCACAUAAUUAAUGGAUAAUUCCACCAUCAUUUGACUCUACGAUCUCAGGGGCAUUCAAUUCUUUCUGAUCAAUUCCUCCUUCUUCAAUAAUUUCAUACUCCUCGCCUUCUUCCUUCACAACAAUCAUUCAAUUCCCUUUGCUCUUUCAUCUUGCAUUUGUGGUCAUGAGAAUAUUUCUCAUUACAGCGAAAGCACAAUCCCUUCUUUCUAGAUUGAAAUUCAGCAUCAAAUAAGCGCUUCGUCUGUCCCUCUUUCCGUACUUCCUCUUUUGUUGUUCCUCGUAGAGUAAUAGUUCUCAUCGGCCAAUUCAUUCCUCCUUUACUUUCUUCUGUAUUCGCAAUGGUAUUAGCCUUGGUGCUAUUAUGGGAGUUUAUCACCUUUUCUCCAGAAUAUCCAAAAGAUUUGCUUCCUGACGUAUAUCUUCCUUGUUCUCUACCUUUUGCGCAAUUCGUAUCAUUUGUGCUAAUCCCUUCGACUCACAUAAAUCCAUCUCCGCCUAGAUCCACAGUUUCAAUCCGACAUAAAUGUCUCUUUUACCACCUUCUCUAAUAGGUCCGACAAAGGAGCUACGCACUUAUCGAAUAAAUUUUGAUAUUCCUCUAUCGUUGUCUUUUGUUGAAUUUGCAAGAACCUUACAUACAACGAUUCCUCCCUAACGGAUCGAAAUCGCAUAAUCUUUCCUUCAUAUUCACCCAAUCUACAAAGUUCUCUCGUUCUUCUUGAGAACGGUAAAAGUUCAAUGCUAGUCCCUCAAAACUAAUAGUGGAUACAGUCAUUUUCUCAAAUUCAGUAAGUUUAUGAAUGUUCAAAUACCUCUCUACGCAAAACAGCCAAGAAUCGGGAUCAUCUCCAUUGAAUAUCGACAUCUCCACCUUCUUAAACUUAUUGCAGUCACUAUUACUUUCAUCAUCUAUUUUCUUUCCUUCCUUCCCUGUUUCGUUCUCCCAUCUUGGUCACCCUUCGCCUUCGUCCACAUUCUUCGUCGAUGAAUUGUGCAUUGUUGUCGAUUCCAUAAUUCGUAACAUCAUCUGAUUCUACCUCUCCAUAUUUUUGGAUAUUUUGGCCAACGUCUUUUCGAUCACCAGUAUCUUACUAAUCUCUUUCUUAAUGUCUUGUAUUUCCUGGUCAAACGUCUCCAUCUCUUCGAUCCGAGUCUGAACCAUUUGCAUUCUUCUUGCCCGAGAUCAAUGCUCUGAUACCAAUUUGAUGGAAACCACUCUUGGAAUGAAAUUGCUACUAUAUUAUUAAUGAUAGAAUAGGAAUGAAAUCCUAAUUACAUUAUGAAAUCCCACUCCUGUUAUCCUCUCUCUCAAGGAAGAAUAGAAAUUCACUUUCUCAAACAAAACCUAACUUUCCCGCCCACGAUUACUUUUUAUUUAUACUAACAAUAAGGUAACUAACCCUCACAUGCUAUUCAUGUGCACGUGAUUUUUUUUUUAAUUUCUUUGUCCCUCUUCCGCUGUACAGAUGUAAUAUAGGGGGUCUAUCAGAUUCCUCCUCUUUUCAAAGCCUCCAAUCAAACUCAAUGCUAAGUUUGACUGCUCCCUUCAGAGUGACGACCCUCAUUUUCCCCCUUCCGUGGUUUGGGGAGGAUUCCUCCUCUUUUUAAAGCCCUCAAUCAAACUUGAUGCUAUGUUUAGAACGCUAAGAAUAGGUGGUCUAGUUUUGGUUAGGCCAAAAGUGAAAUUUUCCCCCAAAAGCACUAAUAGUUAGGGAACUCAACACAUUCUACUUGACUUAAUCGACUUGACUCUCUAAUUUUUAUGAGCUUUUUUCAAUGCAUAUUGCAUAUGUUUUUUUUAUAGUUGUUGAUUGUCUCACAUUUUUAUGGUUUGCAUUUACAAGCCUCUUUUUUCUUUCUUUGGUAUGAAAUAUGGUAAUAGGCCUUGCUAGAACGGUGGGGUAAUCUCUCUAUGGUUCUACACUUAGUUUCAAAGUUUGAUUACUCCCUUCGAAGUGACAACAAGCCUCGUUUUCCCCUAUUGUGGAUCAGAGAGGAUUCCUCCUCUUUUCAAAGCCCUCAAUCAAACUCAAUGCUAAGUUUAACUGCUCCAUUCGAAGUGACAACAAGCCUUGUUUUCCCCUAUUGUGGAUCAGAGAGAAUUCCUCCUCUUUUCAAAGCCCUCAAUCAAACUCAAUUAGAGUAAAAAAGGAAAAAUUUUCAUCUCGGGCGCGUGUACCUCACACGCGUCUCUCUAGGAUUUCCAAGUUCUCUCACUCGGGUGGUGAAGGAGGCGAACGGCUGGUGAGUGCUGCGGUCAGCAAGGGAUCAAAUUCGAAGGUAAUUCGUUCGGUUUUGGCAGAUUGAAUGUGAAAACUAAUGUCAUUUGGUAUCCAUUUCGAAAUUGAUUACAAUUGAUCAAUUGAACCAUUACGAAUGAUAUUCGUUUUGAUUCGGGAGAAUUAACGUCUGUCUAGAAAUUGUUUAAAUCGAUUUCCAAGCUGAAUUGAUUUGAACUAUCUUGAAAGUAUUGCGUGUGGUACGAAUCGAUUUAUUGGCUAUCAGUUCUGGGUUUGAAGACCGUGAUUUAAUUCACUCGCUGAAGGGAUCUCGCAUGAAUCUCCUCGGUUGAAUUUCAAUUUUUUUGAGUUCAUUCGUGUUCCCAGAUUGGGCCGAAAAGAUCAUCACGGGUGUUGGGUUGAUGUCCUAAGCAUGAAACGAUGAAGAAAUUAUCCAGUGACAUUGAGGAGGUGAAGAAAAACGUGUGAUGUCAAGCCUUCAACGCGUACAUGAUAUGGCGGCGAACGACCGAAGGGCGGCGACUGCAAAGGCUGACCUAAUUUCUGUGAGGAAGAAAUGGUCGGACAUGAGUGGACCCGAACCGGUUUACGUGAACCGUGAAACAUAUAAAAACUGAAAUACAGGAAAUGGACCGAGCGGAGAUGGUCCCAUGAAGAUUGUUGGCCCAAAGGCGUGUGGGCCGAUUGUUUUGAAUGAAAACGUGAUGAAGCCAGUGAGCCGGUAAAGGGGCUGAAGCCGAAUGGUGUGGACACAUUUACGAAUGGAAUUGGUCAUGGAUUUCUGGUUGAUGGGCAUCGUUGAAUGAUGGGCCGCCAUCUCACACGAAACUGGGAUCUCACAGAAGGAGUGCUUACCUGCUGGUGCUUCAAGUGUUCAGCAUGUUGGGCAAAUUGCAACAGCCGAAGGAUAUGGACCUGGGCUGGAUGCUAUUGCAAGUGCCCCAAAGAUUGGGCCGGUUGAUGGGCAUUUGAAUGAUGGGCCAGCCAUUAGAGAAUCGUUUGGUAUUAAUUCAAAUGGUGGGCCGCCUGUUCGAUUCGUGGGCAUGAGGUGCAGAAAUCUAAUAAUUCUGGAGGUGCAGGCAAAAAUUCAUGGGCUUCCUUAUUUGGCUCAACAAGAGGUUUCUCUAUGACCUAUACACCUCUGACUACCGUGGGAGAGAAAAUUGUGGUGACCCCGUUUGAAGAAGUUAUUAGUCAAGGAGUUAGAGUGUGGGAGAACUCCCUCGUCAGCCAAUUAAUUGAUGCAAAAUUGCUGUAUCUAGUCAUCUAUCGUCUUAUAGAGAAGAUUUGGGGUAGAAUUGAAAUGCCAACAAUUACUCUGAUGGAGAAUGGGCUCAUCUGCUUUCAAUUCAAACAUCUGAAGUCGAUAGAGUGGAUCUUAUCCCGUGGCCCAUGGCACCUUGGAGGCAAACCUAUGCUCCUCCGCAAAUGGACUCCAGGUAUAGUUCCUGAAUCCUUUGUCUUUGAUUCAGUUCAUGUUUUGAUAAAGUUAGGGAGGAUUCCGUUGGAGCUAUGGACGGAUGCUGGUUUGGCUGUGGUAGCGAGUGCAAUAGGAAAACCUCUUUCAGUUGAUCUUGCUACUAAAGAGAGGCGUCGUCUUUCUUAUGCCCGUAUAUGUGUGGAAUUGAAUGUGGACAGUAUUAUGCCUGCCGAAGUAACAGUCAACCUUAGAGGAGAGGAAUUUAUUGUAACUGUCACUUAUGAGUGGAAACCGAAAAAAUGUAACUUGUGUCGAUCUUUUGGACACUCGCAGAACACCUGCCCUAAGAAAAGAGGCAAUGAAGAUAGUAAAAAGGAAGCUGCAAGUAAAGAGGUUCCUGUUAAAGAGGUUGUUCCUACUAAAGAGGUGGUUCCAAUUGUGGGGAGUAUGAGAUGUUGUGUUGGAAUCCUUCCAACACAUGGAAGAAGGAGAAAUUAUUACCCAUAAACUGCCUGAAAAGGUGGAGGUAAAUUGGGAGGAAUUUACCCCAGUUGACAGGAAAAAUAGGGGAAUGAUCUCUAUUUGGGACAGAGGGAAAAGGGCGGAAGUGAGUAUCACUAACUCCUUUAACAACCUCAUGGAGGUGGAUAAAGGAGAUAAAUGGCCUUUAUCUAUAGUGGAUGCUCCCCUCCUCCCUUACGAGUAGAUGACUCUUCUAUGGUCCUUUUGAGUACUAAGGUGAUGUAAUUCCUAUGGGAGAGGCGGCUCCCAUACGACCUCAUGGUUAGUUGGUGUACGUGGAACGUGCGGGGCCUUAAUAGCCCUAUAAAGUGUAGAGCGGUGAAGGACUUCUUAGCUGUGUCUACGGUGGGUUUCUGUUGCAUCCUGGAGACUAGAGUUCGAGAGGAGAACUUUGUCUCGAUAUCUAGAAGAUUUGUGAUUCGUGGGGUUCAUUAGUAACUACAGCGAUAGUGGAGCAGGUCGAAUGUGGAUUAUGUGGAAACGUAACAGUUUUGUGUUCACGACUAACGAGGUUGUCGACCAGUUUAUUUUGGUGUAAUAACAGAUUUGAUCUCUGGGGAGAAGGUAGAGGUUCUGUGUGUGUAUGCCUAUAAUAGUAACAUCGAGAGACGUGUUUUAUGGAGGCAAAUGGCUGAGAUCUCUGCUGGUUGGAGAGGACCGGGUAUGGUCUUGGGUGAUUUUAACACCAUCAGACUCCAGUCUGAAGCAUUCGGGGGUGCUCCGAACGUGGGGGAUAUGGAGGAGUUUGACAUGGCUAUUCGAGAGGCGGACCUUGUUGAACACGCGGUCCAGGGGAACUGGUUUACUUGGACUAGUAAGAUACAUGGGUCGGGUUUGAUGAAGAGACUUGAUCGUAUCCUAGUGAAUGAUGAGGGGCUUAGUACAUGGCCUAACAUGAGGGUUAACGUCCUCCCGUGGGGUAUUUCUGAUCAUUCUCCCAUACUUGUCUAUCCCAGUAAUCAGCGAAGCCAACAAGUGGUCUCUUUUCGUUUCUUUAACCAUUGGGUUCAAGAAGCGUCCUUUAUGGAUGUUGUGUCCUCUGCUUGGACCAAAGAUACUAGAGUUUCUCCAAUUGUGAAUAUUGUGAGGAACUUAAGAAAUCUCAAGUCGAUUCUUCGCAGACAUUUUGGUAGGCAUAUCCGGACCAUCAGUGAGGAUGUUCGUCUUGCCAAUGAUACCAUGGACCGAGCUGAAAGAGAGAUGGAGACGAACUCUCUGUCGGAGGAGGCGAGUAAUCACGCGAGCUUAGCCACGGUAAACUUUUGGAAAGCGGUUAGAGUGGAGGAAGCCGCUAUGCGUCAGAAGUCGCGAACCAGAUGGUUGAAGCUAGAUGACCAGAAUACUGCCUUUUUUCAUCGAUCUGUUCGAUCAAGGCAGAGCAGCAAUGCUUUGAGAUCAGUUAUUGACCCAGAUGGAAAUCGGUUGACUAACCAUGAUCAGGUGACUCAGGUGGUAGUGAAUUAUUUCAAAGAUAGUCUGGGUUCUCAGAAUAUUAGCUAUGAGAGCUCUCUACUAGUAUUGAGGAGAUUGUUCAGUUUAGAUGGACUGAGGAGUGUUGCAGGCCCUCCAGUCGCCUAUUGGCAGGGAGGAAGUGAGACGUGUUCUGUUCUCCAUGGAUGGUGNNNNNNNNNNNNNNNNNNNNNNNNNNNNNNNNNNNNNNNNNNNNNNNNNNNNNNNNNNNNNNNNNNNNNNNNNNNNNNNNNNNNNNNNNNNNNNNNNNNNNNNNNNNNNNNNNNNNNNNNNNNNNNNNNNNNNNNNNNNNNNNNNNNNNNNNNNNNNNNNNNNNNNNNNNNNNNNNNNNNNNNNNNNNNNNNNNNNNNNNNNNNNNNNNNNNNNNNNNNNNNNNNNNNNNNNNNNNNNNNNNNNNNNNNNNNNNNNNNNNNNNNNNNNNNNNNNNNNNNNNNNNNNNNNNNNNNNNNNNNNNNNNNNNNNNNNNNNNNNNNNNNNNNNNNNNNNNNNNNNNNNNNNNNNNNNNNNNNNNNNNNNNNNNNNNNNNNNNNNNNNNNNNNNNNNNNNNNNNNNNNNNNNNNNNNNNNNNNNNNNNNNNNNNNNNNNNNNNNNNNNNNNNNNNNNNNNNNNNNNNNNNNNNNNNNNNNNNNNNNNNNNNNNNNNNNNNNNNNNNAUGGAGAAUUUUACUAUCUUCCUCAUUAUUGGGAGUGGUUAGAGCUCGUUGUUGCUAGAAAUACGGCAGUACUCAAGCGAGCCUCCCUAUUUAAUGCGUGUGAUGGCUUCCCUAUAUACAUAUGAUCGCAACAGUGACAUUGAUCGGGCUUUCUGCGAGGCAUGGUGUCCUUCAACAAACACUCUUCACACCUCAGCUGGUGAGAUGUCCAUCUCCUUAUGGGACUUAUGGAUACUAGGAGGACUCUCGAUUAAAGGUAGAUUUUAUGAAGAAAGCAUUCCUUGCCACCAAGACUUAAUAGGAUCACCUGAUGUAUGUCCAAGAAGUUGUGAGCAUUUAUUUGCAGCCUAUUACCGCAUUGUUUCUCAACGCAUGAUCACUCUCAAAUCACUGUAAGUGAAUGGAUCUCUUUUUGGGUUACACGAUCUGAGGUAAAGUAUUCGAAACCGCCUCCUCGAAAGCCUAAAAAGACUUCUCGCCCUCGCUCAACUCAUAAUCCAGAUGGAAUUCCCAUCAGACGUCCUGACUGGUCUAAAGCUGAACUCAAAGUGUUCCUUGACUUAAGCGUCACUGAUGAUCAUAGGGACAAAACCUAUCUAGCGGCAUUUCUCUCUUGUUGGCUAUGUGUGUUUGUGUUCCCUGAUAAGCAACUUUCCCUUCGUCCGGAGGUUUUUAAGGUUGCUAGCCUCAUGGCGGAAGGCUACACAUUUAACCUUGUCGUCCCUGUUUUAGCUAAUAUUUAUAGUGGCCUACGCCAAGUUCAUGAUUCUACUUCAUCACUUGGUUAUUCAAAUGCCUGUUUUCCUCUUCACUAUGUCCAUGGGUGGCUUGCUCUUUACUUCAACACUCAUUAUAAAGCCCCUAGGAGUCUUAGGGGUCCUCGCAUGGUUGAAUUUUCUGGUGAAGGUGGGGCCAAAUAUUAUACUAAUCUUGAGGCUCGAACACAUAUCCACAAGGGAAAGUAUGUGUCAUGGCAUGCGUGUCUUCCAACAAAGAAUAAGGACGAACUCUUAACGGAUGAUGGAGAGUUAAUUAGUUGGAAUGCUUCAUUUUUCAUAAGCAUUCGCUCUUGUUUUCUAUCCUCGCAAUGUGGAUCCUCCACAGUUAUUGAGCCUUAUAGUCCUUGUCGCUUUAGCCGACAAUUUGGAUUUUAUCAAGACGUGCCAUAUGACUUAGGUGAAGAAAUUCCCGAAGCCAAUUUUUUAACGUACGAUAUUGUUGGAUGAUUUGUAUUCGCGAGAAUACACUUUCCCAAGUAUAUCUUCCUGUGUCUGCCCCUAAUCCAGACACACAUGUUACCUCUCAUUAUAAGGUCUGGUGGCUUGCAAAACACGGUGAUUACCUCCAAGAAGGAGUACAACAUUUGAUAGAUCGUCCUACUCCCCCUCACAUCAAAUCCAAAACCACAAAAAAGAUUGAACAUAAUUUUGGUAGUGGAAAUCAGAAGAUAUGCUCCGAUGAAACUGAUGAACGACUUGUGGAGAAAAUUGAGGGAGGGACAAAACGCUUGGUGGAUAAUUUGUCUCUUUCUACACGAUUUAAACAUCUUAUUAAAGGUGGUAUUGACAAUAUGGGUAAGGACAACCGCUUAUCGAUAGCUACCAAGCAUCCUUCUGAACGUAUUGAGGACAGUCAAAGCAGCAAUGAUGAUCGCCAUUGGAAGAGACCCAAGAAGCCCAACAAACAGUCGAUCGAUGAUGAAGAGUCUCCUAUUCGGGUCCCUGAUGCUGCACAAUUCUUCGAUGUCCCUUCCCCCAUGGUUUCUUUUCGUCUCCCUUUUUAUUUAUUUAUUUAUUGUAUUUUCUCUCCUUUACUCCUCUUAUUUCUUGUUGUUAAUAUUAUUUUGCAGUCUUCUUUAGGUGAUCACGACCUACACAUCGAAGAUACCCUAGAGUCGAUGCCGAAUCUAGAAGACUGUAACGUUGUACUUUCUUAUAAUGGAAACUCUAAGGAACCUAUAGGCGCAAAUAUUGUGUCUGCUUGUCCUCCUGUGAUCAAGGGACCUCCUCAAAAAGUGGAAGGCACGGAGCCUAUUACAGUUUCUGAGAUUUCUCAUUUUUGUGCUGACAGCUUAAUUUCUGACCUCCGACGACAGGCUGCCAUAACCUUAUGGGAAAACCUACGACAGAAGAUCAUUCGUACCCCUUUUGAACGACUGAGUAGUCUUGAACCAGAAAUGCAUAAGAUCUUUGAUGCGAUUGCGACUAGCGGCAGCGACAACCUUAUUGUUUUGAGGGAGCUUGUGAAUGGUUACUUCCAAGGUGUCGAGAACCAUAAUCAAAUACAUUCCUCAUUUCUACUCCAAUCAACUAAGGAUGUUCAGCUAACGGAGGCAAAAGGUUUUGUGAAGACUCUGCGAGUUGAUGAGAAUCGUAUAUUGGCAGAGACCAACACUGCUAAACGUCGUCUUACACGACUGUCCGCCAAGGAGGCUAAACUAGAGGCAAAACUAAAGAUGGUGCGGGCUGAGUCUGCUAAACUUUCUGGAAUAAUUUUUAAGAACGACCUGGAGCUGAAGCAGAAGCAACAUGAGAUUUCGAAGACUUGUGAGGAAAUUGACAAACUCGAAUGUGCCCCGAUCGUUGGAGAUAUUGAUGCUAAAAUGCUAUCAACACUUCGUGAAUCUUUAGAAAGCACACUAGAGGAGCUGAAGAACUUUAAAUGGACUCCAUGAUUCUCUGCUUUCUCUUAUUUAUCUACUUAUGCCUUUUUAAUUUUUUUUUUGCUAGAAGUUUAUAAUAAAAAAAAAUUAUUCUUUCAUUGUUCCACUCCUCAUCAUAUUUUCUAUUAAAUGUAAUUUGUCUUUCUUCCUUUUUUUUUAUUGGACUGAACUUAAAGUUUCCUUUAAGCUGCCUACGUACCCUUUAUAAUAUAGGGAUCAAGUCAUAACAUAGUUCAACUUUUUUUUUUUGCUGGACUGGGCUUAAGGUUUUCCUUAAGCUGCCUACGUACCCUUUAUAAUAUAGGGAUCAAGUCAUAACGUAGUUCAACUUUUUUUUUGCUGGACUGGGCUUAAGUUUUCCUUAAGCUGCCUACGUACCCUUUAUAAUAUAGGGAUCAAGUCAUAACGUAGUUCAACUUUUUUUUUGCUGGACUGGGCUUAAGGUUUUCCUUAAGCUGCCUACGUACCCUUUAUAAUAUAGGGAUCAAGUCAUAACGUAGUUCAACUUUUUUUUUUUGCUGGACUGGGCUUAAGGUUUUCCUUAAGCUGCCUACGUACCCUUUAUAAUAUAGGGAUCAAGUCAUAACGUAGUUCAACUUUUUUUUUUUUUUUUUACCUAACAAAAUUAAGCAUAAAAUUUUUUAAGAAAUUUACCAUUGAUUGGGCCAAUUCGUAGUCCGUCUUGAUCAACGAUCUUGUAUGCGCCAUUUGUAUAAACUUCUUUAACAAUGUAAGGUCCAUCCCAUUUAGGUGUGAACUUAUUUCCUGUAUGCCUUGUUGUGAUGAUCGGUCUCCUUACGGCAAGUACUAGAUCACCGACUUGAAAGGAGCGAGGUUUAACGUGUUUAUCAAAAGCUUUGGACAUUCUCGCUUGAUAACAUUCCAAUGCUUGCUGAGCCUCUAAUCGCUUUUCGUCAAGUGCUUCUAAUUCUUGAAGACGUAACUUCACAUUAUCUUCGGUAGUCAAUCCCUCUUGUACUGCCAUUCUUAGUGACGGAAUUUCCCUUUCGAGAGGAAGGACAGCCUCCACACCGUAAACAAGCGAAUAUGGUGUAACCCCUGUAGGGGUGCGAUGAGUCGUCCGAUAAGCCCAUAAUGCCUCGCCGAUCUUUUCUUGCCAAUCCCUCUUUGACUUGGAGACAAUUUUCUUUAAAAGAUUACACAAUGUUUUGUUGAAUGCUUCUGCUAGUCCAUUCGCAGCUGCGUUGUACAUGGAUGACUUAUAUUGCUUGAAUUUGAAUUUUUCACAUAACUUGUCCAUCAUACUAUUGGAGAAUUGCUUUCCAUUAUCCGUCACGAUUCGAUGUGGAAUACCGUAUCGAUAGAUGAUGUGUGUUCGAAUAAAGUCUGCCACGUUCUCCUUCUUGGCUUCUCUCAAUGAAAUGGCCUCAGCCCACCUUGAAAAAUAGUCUGUUGCUGCUAGGAUAUAAGAAUGUCCUGCUGAUGAUUUUGGUGUAAUGGGGCCAACCAGAUCGAGUCCCCAAGCCUCAAAAGGCCAAGAAGCCACAGUUGGAUGAAGAGGUUCUGGAGGUUGGUGUAUGAAGUUUGCAUGGUAUUGACAAGGCUCACACUUCUUCACAUAGUCUAUUGAAUCUUGGAUCAUCUUAGGCCAGUAGUAGCCCAUUCUUCUUAGCUGGAAUUGAAGCUUUGGUCCCGAUUGAUGUGCUCCACAAACACCUGCAUGUACUUCCUUUAGAGCUUUUACCGAAUCUUCCUUUCCGAGACAUCGAAGGAAGAGCCCUUCAAGAGAACGGCGAUAUAAAGUUCCCUUGUAAUAAAUGAAGUGUGCUGCCCUUCUUCGUAUCUCAAUUUUAUGACGAGAAUCCUUUGGAAGCUUUCCAUGUUCAAGAUACUCUAUGAUGGGUUGACGCCAAUCUUCUUCAUCAAUCAAAUAGGAUGUUGCCAUGUUCACUUCCUGACAUUCAGGCCUAACUGGGGGUAUAAUCCAUCGUUGACAAAGUGGUAUGUUCAGAGUUACAUCAUCUGGCAUGGUCAAGGCCGUGGCUAAAUUUGCCAAUGCAUCCGCUCUCUUAUUUUCUACUCUAGGGACAUGUUCUAACAUCACAUUAUCAAACUUUUCCAUCAAUUGUCGAGCAUAAGCAAAAUAUGGCUUCAAGUCUUCAUGUUUCACGUCAUAUUGAAGCGAGAGUUGAUUGAUUAUCAAUUUUGAAUCACCAUAGACCUCUAUGAAUGACACUCCGAUUUCUAAUGCUAUUUGAAGGCCAAUUAUCAAAGCCUGAUAUUCAGCCACAUUGUUUGAACACAAUUCGGAAAGUGCAAAGCUAUAAGGCAACAUAUGCUUCUCAGGAGAAAUGAGGACAAUGCCUGCCCCCGCACCACUUCUUCGAGCUGCACCAUCGAAGUACAUAGUCCAAGGUUCCAUAACUUCUGUGAAGAAAACCUCAUCGUCUGGUAGGUCAUCACAUAACUUCCAAUCCGAAGGAAUUGGGUGGUCUGCUAAAAAGUCUGCUAGCGCUUGUCCUUUUAUCGCCUUUUGGGGAAUAUAGACAAUGUCAUAUUGUUGGAGUAGAACCGCCCAUUUGGCUAAGCGUCCAGCGAUGAUUGGCCUGGAUAGAACAUACUUUAUAGGGUCUGCUUUUGCCACUAGAUGAACCGUGAAGGCCUGCAUAUAAUGCCUCAACUUAUCAAUGGCAAAGAAAAGUGCAAGACACAUCUUUUCGAUAGGAGAAUAGUUAACUUCAGCCCCAAUUAAUGUUCUGCUUAGAUAGUAGAGAGAACGCUCCUUUCCCUUUACCUCUUCUUGUGCCAGUAAUGCUCCUAAGGACCUUUCUUGUGCAGCAAUGUACAAUAUUAGUGGUUUGUCAGGUACUGGAGCUCCCAGCACUGGGGGAGUAAGCAAGUAUUUCUUUAUGCUAUCAAAAGCGUUCUGACAAGCUUCAUCCCACACAAAAUUUUCUCCUUUUCUCAUCAACUUUUGAAAAGGUUGACACCGACCGGCCAAGUUAGAGAUGAACCUUCGGAUGUAAGCCAGUCGUCCUUGGAGACUUCUUAGGUCAUGCAAACUUUUAGGUCUUGACAUCUUCUGAAUGGCAUCAAUCUUGGACUGGUCUAUUUCGAUCCCUCGAUGCCUUACAAUGAAGCCAAGAAAUUUUCCUGAAGUUACACCAAACGCACACUUGAGAGGGUUCAUCCUUAGCUGAUAUUUUCGCAAGCGAUCAAACACGACUUUUAGAUCCUUCAAAUGGUCUUGUCGUCUCUUUGUUUUGACUACAAGAUCAUCAACAUAACAUUCAACAUACCUGUGCAACAUAUCAUCAAACACUUUCUGCAUGGCACGUUGAUAAGUAGCGCCGGCAUUUUUCAAUCCAAAGGGCAUCACCUUGUAACAGUAUAUUCCCUUUGGAGUUCUGAAAGCUGUCAUUUCUUCAUCUGAGAGGGCCAUCCGUAUUUGAUUAUAUCCAGACGACCCAUCCAUAAACGACAACGCCUCGUGUCCAGUAGUUGCAUCAACCAUGAUUUCGGUGAUGGGCAAGGGAAAAUCAUCUUUAGGGCAUGCAUUAUUCAGAUCGCGAAAGUCUACACAAACGCGAAGUUGUCCAUUUUUUUUUCUAACAGGGACAAUGUUUGCUAUCCACGUUGGAUAUUUGACCUCGCGAAUGAAUCCUGCUUCGAUCAACUUGUUGACUUCCACCUCGAUUUGAGGGAUAAGCUCCGGUCGAAAACGUCGUUGUGCUUGUUUAAUCGGUCGAUAUCCGGGUUUAAUUGCAAGAUGAUGGACUGCUACUUUUGGGUCAAGUCCUGGCAUCUCCUUGUACGACCACGCAAAGAUGUCCCUGUAUUCGGUGAGCAAACUCAUAUAUUUAUCCACCUCUUCGUUAGAGAGGGACGCACUAAUGAAAGUCGGACGUGGUUCCUCUAUUGUACCAAGGUUCACCUCUUUUAGCUCGUCUACAGUAGAUUGACCACCAUCCUCUAAACUUUGUGGGGCAUUUUCUGCGUCUUCUUCAUGAGUUCCAGUCUCUGAUUCCUCAAUAAUGGUGAUGUGAUGACAUGAAGUUUCACAUUCCCCUUGUUCCGACCCUUCUUUUUCAGGAUUCGUUAGUAUAACAUCAUGUCUUUUUACCUUUAACGAACCUUGACUUGUAUUGAGAGUAACAAAAGUUUUUCUUUUCAUGCGAGAAGGAACGUUGCUAUGAAUUUCUCCAUUUUCCUUUGUCUCGCAAGGAAACUUCUUACUACGAUAAUUAUCGACAUCUGUAUGCUUAAUUCGACGCCAAACUUUCACACGAGACAUUGGUUCCUUCUUCUUUGUAUCUAUGUUGGAAUCAAUGUUGUCGUGUGAUCCUUUAUCCCCGAGAUGAUUAAAAAUCGGAGCACGGGGUGCUUGUACAUUUUUCUUUUUAGACACACCUAGCCUUUCAAAGGCUGAUGGUCUUGUAGUUGUCAAGGCAUGGCAUGUGCUUUCUUCCUUUAUGGGAGUCGUAGUUAGCCUUCGAAAGACCGAAUGUCUCUCAAGGUUUGGUACUGACUGGAGCCUUUCUCUUUCUGCCUCUGUCAUGCUUAGCCUUUCAAAUACUACGGGACGUGCAACAGAUGGUCUAAUUCGAUCAAAUACUGAGAUUCUCUGAUUAUCACCUUCUUUUACGUCAGUAUUGUCAUCCUCCUCUAUAGUUAUAUGAUUGAUGUCAACCACUUUUUCCUUCCCCUUUUUAGUUAUACGGAUCGGUUCUGGCGACUUGUAUCCGAGUCCUUUUCUCGACACGGGUAUAGAAUGUCCUUCCCGUAGAAGCUUCUUUUGAGUUGAGGAGAGCUCAGGUCGGUCAUGAAUUUCCAAGCUUUUAAACUCGGUGUGAGCUGUGAAGUCAUAACCUGCUUUCGCCAUCAAUUUGUAAGCCUUGGGGUCGAAUCCGUCUUUCGUUCGCCUUUGGGGCAAGUUUGCUUCCACCAGAUCUACCUUUACCUCCUGCUUCGCUAUCUUAGUUAGUGGUGUAGUGAAGCUUUCUUUUAUGAUUUCGAUGUCCCAACUUUCAAACCUUUUGGAGACUCCAUGAAUGGUGAUUCGCCUUUCUUGCGCCUUGACAGAGGGACAUAACGCAAAACUGGUGUGUUUGCAGCAUUUUCAUCCUUCAAGAUCAUACCCUUUGUGCUGCUAGUGUAUGCUUCACCCUUUCCAGAGUUAAAGGUUCUCGCACUUUCAUGUGGUUCUGUGGUUGCGAGUGAUUUCAGUUGUGAAUUAUCUUCUCCUUUUGUAAGAGGGGUUUCUGCAGGCAAAACUUCUAAAAUAUUAUUAUUCUUUGAAUAAAACUUUGCAUCUGCGAAGUGAGACUCAGCUUCUGAGAAUGGAUUAGAGUCGGCUUCAACCUUCUUUACACCGUCCUGAUAAAAUUUGAAGCACUGAUGCAGUGUUGAAGUUACUACUCCGUUUCCAUGAAUCCAAGGACGCCCUAGUAACAACUUGUAAGUAGUCCUUGAGUCUAUGACAUGAAACAAUGCACUGGCCUUUAGGUCGCCAAUUAUGAGUUCUAACCGUAUCAUGCCUAUUGCUCUUUGGCUACCUUGGUUAAAACCUUGAAUUACUAGCUUGCUAUUUGAGAGCUCGUCCAUCAAGAUGCCUAAUUGCCACAUAGUCGACUUUGGCAUUAUGUUGACAGCUGAGCCAUUAUCAAUGAGGAUUCGAUCGACUCUCUGUUCUCGAACGUAUCCAGAAACAUACAAAGGUCUAUUAUGAAGUUUAGAUCCCAACAACAAAUCCUCAUCUGAGAAGUCUAUAGACAUACAAUAAGAACCACUCUCAUAUGUCAUAGUCGGAGUACUCGAACUUGAUGCUCUUGAAUUUAGCAAUGCAUCAAUAAGGAUGGUUUUGGUCUCUUGAGGAAGUGAUAAUAGAUCCUCUACAUUAAACCUUGAAAGGUCUUUUGAUACUCCCUCUCCUUCUAGUGAUCUUGGAGGGAUUAUUUCUUCCUCCGUUGUGUUGAUAGCAUGACACGCAACGACUUCUGGGUCUUCAUCCUGAUGAUCACAAAGGAAGCUUUUUGGAAGGAAGUCUGCCAAGGUCACUAAGCGUUGAGGUCGAGAGAAAUUCAUGUCUUCAUUAUGUACGAGCUUAAGCUUAUGAGUCUUCUUCUUUUUCUUAUUCUUUUGAGUCUUAUUUCCUCUUCUAUAGUUUUGGUAAGAGCGAGACUCUCUUUGGGUCGGGAUCGACUGUCUUUUCUUUCGGUGGGUCACCACUAUCCACCCUUCAUCGUCUUCUUCAAUUGGUCUUUUCUCUCCUUGAGGAUCCUCGUAUGAGAUUUCCUGAAAGAAUUGGACAACUAUAGGCUCAAAGGUCCCGAACUGGACCAAGCUUUUCCUUUGCUCAAAAAUCAAUCUCGACGAAGAAGCCUCAGACAUUAUCGUCACUUCAGCGUGGUUUGUUUGAGCUACUUCCUCCAAAUCUAGCUCAAUCCUUUUCUCACGAGCCAACCUUAGAAUUAGCUCCUUCAGCACGAAGCAUUUCUCUACUGGAUGACUGAUGACCCGAUGAUACUUGCAGUAAUUGGGAUCAUCUACCUUUCCUGCUUGCUCAGGUCGUUUACAUUCUGGCAGCUGGAUCAGCUGCUUCUCUAGUAGUUGCUCUAGCAUGUCAGCGAUAUCUGAAUCAGGAAAUGGGUAAACUUUUUCCUGCCUUUCUUUUAAAGUCAGACGUCGCCUUUCGCUUCCAUCAUCCUUCUUUUCAACCCUCGCUUCCUUUCCUUUGGAGAAUUUCAGCGGGGUUGUGUUUACGACCAUAGAUUCUUUCGAGGUGCUUUUCACUAUCUUUUCAGCACCUUUCAUCUCUUUCUUAUCUUUCUUUACUUCAGGAACAAGAAAAUCUUUAGUUCCUCUACUGGCGAUGCUCAACUCCAUAUCAUGAGCUCGAGUUGCCAGUUCUUCAAAUGUGCGGGGCUUUAUUCCCUGCAAAAUGUAGAGGAGUCCCCAGUGCAUGCCUUGGGUGCACAUUUCUACAGCCGACAGUUCGGUGAGCCGAUCUUUACAGUCAAGACUUAGAGCUCUCCAUCUAUUGAUGUAGUCGAUGACUGGUUCUCCCUUUCUUUGUUUCGUAUUUGUAAGCUCCAUCAUGCUUACAGUACGCCUGGUGCUGUAGAAGCGAUUGAGAAACUCCUUUUCUAGUUGUUCCCAACUCUCAAUGCUUUCUGGCUCCAGAUCAGUAUACCAUUCAAAAGCAUUUCCUUUCAAGCUUCGAACAAAUUGUCUGACUAGUUGAUCUCCUCUUGAUCCUGCAUUCUCACAUGUUUCGACGAAGUGAGCAACGUGCUGUUUUGGAUUGCCCUUUCCGUCAAACUGCUGGAAUUUUGGAGGCUGAUAUCCAAGCGGCAUUCUCAAGUUGUCGAUUCUUUUGGUGUAUGGUUUAGAGUACAUGAAAGAAGUCUGAGAUGGGCCUCCAUAUUGUGCUCUGAUGGAGUUUGUGAUCAUAUCUUGUAAUUGUUGAACCGAGAGAGAAGCCACAGAAGUUGAUUGUUGUUGUGGCUGAUUUUCUUGUACCACGUUCUUCCCUUUGUCAUCAACUUUAACGACAGGAGUUUGACUCGAUUCAGCAGUUUCACGAGUCUGCAUCUGCUCCUUUAAAGCUGCAAUUUCGUGGUCUCGUUCAUCAACAACCUUCAUCAGGAGAUUAAUUUUUCUCUCCAUCUCCGCCAUGGCAGUCUCGACUGCUACAUCAGCCAUCAUGACGGACAUCACAUCUGGGUGUGCUUCUUUCAGUGACCUGCUAGAGGCAGAAUCAUAAUCAUUAUAUAGAGGAUUUUCCUUGAUGACAAUUCCAGCUUUAGGAGAUUCCAUCAAUUGCUUCAGGAUGCUCUGCGCGAUGGCGGAACCUUGGUCUUGCCCUUGGAUGAUCCCCUUGGAACGACUACGGGUAAUAGGUCCCGUGUAGGUGUCGCUUGCAGCUGAAGAUUUGGAUGCAGCUUUCUUUGAUGCCAUUGAUUUGCUUGUAGAUGUAGAUGAUGAGAGAGAGAUGAGAGGUAGAGAUGAUCCCACUGGGCGUGCCAAUUUGUUCGCACGAGAUUUCCGGAGAAAUUUAAUUCGUGGACUUGAACUUGGGUUGAUGUUGUAUUUUUGUUGAUUUGAUGCGAUGCGGUUCAAUCUCUAGAAUUUGAUCCUCUGAUUCUCUCUCAACUGUAUGUCUACGCUUGAUUUAGAGGAAGCGGAGCACGUGAUGUUCUUGAAGUUUGUUGAACGUCUACGCUUGAUUUGGAGAAAGCGGAGCACGUGAUGUUCUUGAAGUUUGUUGAACGUCUACGCUUGAUUUGGAGAAGCGGAGCACGUGAUGUUCUUGAAGUUGGAGUCUUGGAAGAAAGUUUGUAUCUUCAAAGCAGCUUCAAUCUUCGAGGGUGGUCAACUUCAGAAGUUAGGGAGUCUUCUAACUCUUGGAAGAAUUCUCUCUGGAUCUUCUAGAGUCAAAAUUUUCCAACCCCUACAAAUGAGGAGAAUUCCCCUAUUAUAUAGAGUUCACUGGUGGGCUUUAUGGGUUUGAACUUGGUUGGUCCAUGGACCAGACCCAUGGGCUCAACCAUAUGGACUUAGGUUAUAUUUAGUCUUUGGGCUCAAUUAAGCUUAUUUUUUGGCUUAAUUGAACUUAGUCCAAGUAAAUAAUAUUUAAUUGAACUAAAAUGAUUGACUUAAUCCAACGAUUAAUAUGAAAACAUGUGGCAUUCUUAGAAUGACCAAUUUAUUUAUUUUAACUCUUUAAUUUGGAGCAUGUGUCAAUUUUAAUUAGUUCCAAAUUUAAUUAUUUGUACUUUUCAUCAUUAACUUAAUAAAUGAUGUGGCAACUUGUGAUUGGUCUCAAAAUUUCUUAUUCAACAACUACCUCCCCCAUUAAUUUAUUAUGGUAAUAUGGAAACGCCCAAUUCUACUCUAGAUCAACAACUGAAGGACCGAGUUAUUGUUUUGGGCAUCUUGAAGGAACAUCUCAGCAUUGCACAAAAAUAGAUGAAAAAGGUAUGCUGAUUUGAAAAGAAGAGACGUAGAGUUUGGAGUGGGAGAUCUGGUUUUUCUCAAACUCAGACCGUACAAACAGACUUCUUUAAGGAAGAAAAGGAAUGAAAGUUAUCUCCUAAAUAUUUUGGGCCAUAUAAAAUUAUUGAGAAAAUUAGGGCAGUGGCUUAUAAACUGGAACUUCCAUCCACGGCUACAAUUCAUCCUGUUUUUCAUGUGUCACAAUUGAAGAAGGGUUUAGGAGAUUAUAUACAGGUGCAUCAAAUAGUGCCUUAUUUAAAUGACAAGCACGAAUAGAUGACAUUACCAGAAGAAGUCUAUGGUUAUCAAAAGAAUCCUAAUACUAAGGACUGGGAAGUCUUGAUUAGCUGGAAGGGGUUACCGCCACAUGAAGCUACAUGGGAAGUGUGCAGCGAUUUUCAACAACAAUUUCCUGAUUUCCAUCUUGAGGACAAUGUGGAUUUGGAGGAGGAGAGUAGAGUUAGACCACCAUUGUUAUUUACUUAUAAUAGAAGAAAGAAAAAUAAAGGACAUGAGGAACUACCUACAGUUAAUUUAAAAAAAGAACCACCUAUAGUUAAAUUUAAAAAAUGACAGUUAUUUCAAAAAGGAAGUUAAAUCAAUGAGGGAGAUGGGAAAGGACGGGCAGUUUUUGGAGUGAAAGAAAAGGUCUGCAAUACUCCUUGAAAAACAGUGGAAGCAGAGGUUCACGAUUUGGUUAUUAGUAUUUUGUUUGCUUUUUAGUAUUUUGUUUUGUAUUUUGUUUUGUUUGUUGUUUGGUAUUUUGGGUUAGGAGGUUUACUUGUUUGAUGUUUGUGAAUUAUCUGUAACAUGACUCAUUUUGUGAGGUUCACGGUUUGAUUAUGUUGUAAGUUGUGUUUGAAUUAUCAAUAUAAUAGAAACACUACAUCAGUGUUCUAUCAGUGAUGUAAUGCUCAAACUUAAGACAAUAAAGAAAUUGCCUAGGUACAAGGGAGAAUAAAUAGAGUAUACAAUGGAAUAAAAAAGGAAAAGAUUUAGGAAAAUAAGGAAAACAUUCUCAUAAUCUUUCCAUAAUUAUUCUAGGAUUCUAACAAGGAAAAUGCCUAAAAAAAAAAGGAAAGAAUUCCAACAAUAAUCAAGUCAACUUAUCCUCUCUAAUUACAACUUACAACUUCGGUUGAUCAUUGAAGUACAGCUCCCCUUUCUUCCCAUGCUAUGUUGAAUACUAUACAAGCACAAAGUUGAAUACCAUACAAGCCUGGUGGUUCGCAGAGCAGCUUGUGCGCUUAUUGGCAUCUAUAAGAAUGAACUAUGGCCUCCACCAAAUGGUACCAUUGGCUUGAACUCUGCAGAAGCAACCAGCCAUGGACAAUGGCUGAACCUAAUGCUCUGAAAAAAUCACCAAACAGUAAGAAAACAAAAGAAAGAUCGUUAGUCAUGCGCUUCUUAAACUACCAACCAUAAAGUUUACCAACUUUUUCAACCUCAAACCACAAAGUUUACCAACUUAGUCAAUUAAUACUGAUACGCUCAUGUUGUCACUAGUUCAAAUAGUGUACGUAAUAUGUUAGGAACUUGGAAUAUGAGAAUGGGAUUUUCUCCUAUAACAUUGAUCAGCCAAAUUUUUGCAAUGCCUCUAACAUUUCUUUCUAGUUCUUUUUUUUGUAGAGCAGUUGAGUAAAUAUAAAUUACUUAGUCUAAAUUGCUCUAAGGUACAAGUCAAGCCAUGGAUCUUUUCCCAUUCUGUUGAAUUGGAAAGAUCCAAUCCCUUUAAAUACGCAGCAUCCAGUUUCUAUUGUAAUUGUAAAAUAUAUACGUACUGGAAUACUUAGAAGCAACCCUUGAUGAUUGACUAGAACUGGAAGACUUCUUCUUGCAGCAACUGGAAUCAAUUUCAACAGCACCAAUGCUUCUCUAGCUGAUGAUCUGGCAGAAUUUAAACAUCUAUUUGUACUCUCCAUGGUCUGCCCCUCCAAACUGGCUAAAGUAUCUCUUGGGUUUUGACAAUUCUUCACAGUGCAACUGCACUUGGACAACUUAGAAAGAUAAAGCCAAUCAGAUUCGGUCAUGUGCCGCACCUCUAACUCCAUAUCACAACCUAACAAACAGGACUUGCAAAAUGCAUUACAACCAGCUGCCUUAAAAGUAGAGUUAACUUCAUUUUCAUCUUUUAUAUUCCAAGUGAUAAAGAACCUGUUCAUAUAGUUACAGAUUUGCCCUGGCUUAAGCAGGCCACUGGAUGAAGUUCGCACAGAUUGUGAACCAUGUUUUGAUUCAUGUCCAGGAGUGACUUUUGGUUCUGCUUUGAAGAGUUUGGUCUCUUGCAUCUGCAGUGAAACGAUGAUUCUAUAGGUUGAUUCACUGAGAAUAUUUAGCCUUUUUGCUUCAUCUAGAACAGUUUCAGAGGUUGCAUCCAAGAAGUGCACAUCUGAAGCUUCAGGAAUGAAGUGUUCUAAAUAUGACUUCCCAUCAUUGAUGAUUUGUUCUAACCCAUCAGAAACAUCGCGUCUCUCUUUCUUAUAAGAGGGUGCAUGGAAAACUUCUAUUUUGGAAGGCAAAGGGCAAUCCACAGAACAACAGACUAUGCACCUGGUGCCCUUAGAUCCAGGAGCUGGACAAAUGUAGCAACCAGCUGCUGUCAGUGAAGUCUGCAUGGUUUGUUUUUUAUAUAAUUAAUAAGAAAACAAAGAAUAGAGGAAAUCAAGCCAUGACAAAAAGAAUCAAAUGAAGUACUUCAUGAAGCAACAAAAAGAACAGCUUCCUAUACACUUUCACCACUUGACUUUUAAUGAAAACUGGAGGAAAAACGUUGCUGGUAUAUAACAGGUCAACUCCAUUACUCUUAAGUCUGCAAGAGAUUUACACUAGUUGCUUCUGAACUUUAUGUGCAUGCCAUAAAUAAGAAUAAUUACUGAAACCAUAAAAUACAGAAGGGACAUGGAGAGAAGAAACGGAUUAUUGGCGCAGCAGUUGACUCCCAUGUUAUUUCUGUGAACUUCAAGGAUCAACGAAGCUACAGCAAUGUUCCUCAAUAAACAAUACUGAAAGUUCAAAUCGAUGCACUUUUACCUAAAUAGUUCAUUUGAACACAUUGCACAUAGCCAACACAAUUUGAUUUCUUAACUCUAAGAAAAUAGACAAACCAGAAGUUAAAUGAAGCUGAACCCAGACUGUGCCAAGAAAAAAUCAUUUGUUUAGAAAUCAUGUAAAAAAUUAGUGAUAUAGAAGCAAUGAUGAGAUAUAUUUCUUAAGAAAAGGGAGUUGACUAGUAAGACGAGCAUAUUGGAAUAACACUCUUAAAAUCAAAUACGUUGGGAAAAAGUUAUUCCAUGCAUCAGGUAAGGGUAAAGCAAGCCAACCACCUUUAUAAAUAUGUAAUUUAUGCUUAAUGCACUAAUAAUUAAAAUUUUCAAAUAUAUUCAUCCAAAUACAAAUAUGGAAAGAUGAAGUGUCUUAAUAAAGAGAUUGACUUGUAUAUUACCUUGCAAGGACCUGUUUGAAUGUAGUCUAACACCAAUUUUGCAGUGUUGCCUCUAACCGGUCUGUGCCUUUGAGAGAUGAACUGAAAAUUUUUUAUGGACUCACAACAAUGUUAAUUGGCCAAUUGCUUCAAAAUAUAACGGUUGUCAUUAUACUAAUAAUGUUUUACCUGCAAAACUAAGGUCACAAACUUUGCCAGGCAAACGUCUUGAAUUUUAAAUUGAUUGAGAAUCUCCAAAUUAAUAAUGGCAUAUCCCACCUACAAGAAGGAUCCAAAUUCUCAUCCAUCAAAACUUAAUAAUGUUUAAUUAGAAAAUGGAGGGCCGAGAGGGAGAACUGCUGAAGAGAUUCUUAAAAAAUGAAUAUGAAAACUGUAAGAUCAAUUAAUACACACAGAUGUAAAGAGUACCCACAUCCGUUAUGGUCAAAGUCCAAUUUGCGAGGCUUAAACAAACUUGAUCAAUAAAUAAGCGUGUUUUCCUACAGGCAGAAAUAAUGGCAUGUAGCUCAGAGUUGAAAGUACCUGAAACUCAAAAAAUGGCGAGAUGAAAUCAUGAAUCUCGUAUAUUGAGUAACCAUCUAUAGGAAAGAAAGCCAGUCCCCUGACUGUUAUAUUGGAACUUUAGCAAACCAGGCAAGGCACCAACAAGAUCAAUGGCGUUCUCUAAGCUGCUUAUCUUAGUCACUAAACAUCCUAAGAUUCAAGACUUUUAGCUUCAGAUUUUUGUGGGCCAUGGUUUCUGGGAAAACAUUUUUUUAUAGACUAUUUAUGCAAAAACUGUUAUUCAGGCGUUGUGUCAGAAAAAAAGAUGACAGUUUUUAACAUGAGUUCAAAAGUGGAAGCAGUUGUUUUAAUAAAAAUAAAAAAUAAAAAUAAAAGGUGGAAAAUCAUUGUGAUGUUUUUUCUACCUCUAAUUGGAGUUGAGUAACCUAAAUCUUCUUCUUUAUGCAUAUAUAUAAAGAUUUCUGUACCAUUGGAGAGCUUUUUCUAAGCCCUUUUAAUUCACACUUAGAAGAAUAUUGAUACAUCAGUAUAGUAGAAGGAAGAAGAAGAAGGAAGGGAACCACAGCAGUUGCACGUGUGAAGAAUAAGGAAGUUAGAAUUCAUUAGCUGUCAUUUAGAAUUCAUUAGCUGUCAUUUUGUAAAUCAGUUAGUAUAAAUAAAGAAUUUUGAGGGAGAGAGAAAGUUAGUUAGAAAGUUAUUUUGAGAUAUUCUUGCAAUUCCUUAAGAGAUAGGAAGGCAGAAUAGGGUUUGAACAGUUCCGAAUUGAGGUAUUCUCAAUUCGGAUUCCUUGUAUUCUUUACCAGAACUUGAGUAAUAAGAAUUUCUUUAUUUGAUUCAAUUGGAGUCCCCAUCAAAUUGGUAUCAGAGUAGUACGAUUCUGGAAAAGAAGGAACAUGGUGCAGACGCGUAUGGAAGAGAAGGUGGAAGCGCACAAUCAAGAAAUGAUAGCAAUGAGGAAAGAAGUAAGCAAAAUUCCUGCUAUUGAGGAAAAACUAACGACGAUCAGUGUACAGACUGAAAAGACUCAUCAGAUGUUGAUAAUGCUUAUGGAAUCCAUCACGAAAGAACGCACCAUUACAAGUGAGAAAAUGGCAGAAUCUAGUGUGCUGGAGACUAAUUCGAUGAAAGCGAAAGAGAAAGAAGGCUCGACAAGUAAGGAUUACAAAGGCGAAACAAAAGGAGGAAAGAAUGAAGGAGAAGACGAAACUAGCGAAAGGAAUAAGUUCAAGAAGGUUGAGAUGCCGGUAUUCAAUGGUGAAGAUCCCGAUUCCUGGCUUUUCCGUGCAGAAAGAUAUUUCCAGAUUCAUAAAUUGACUGAUGCUGAGGUGUUACUGGCGAUGGUAAGUUUUGAAGGCCCAGCGUUGAAUUGGUAUAGGGCACAGGAAGAACACGAUAAGUUCACCAGUUGGAUAAAUCUCAAAGAUAGACUACUCGUACGAUUCUGAUCAGCAAGGGAAGGGUCCAUUUGCGGACAGUACUUGAGAAUCAGACAACAGACUACAGUCGAAGAAUAUUGAAACCAGUUCAAUAAACUGAUGGCACCACUUUCUGAUCUACAAGACAGGGUCGUGGAGGAGACGUUUAUGAACGGCUUAUUUCCUUGGAUCAAAGCAGAAGUUGAUUUGUGCAGACCGGUUGGUUUAGCCCAAAUGAUGCAAGCGGCUCAACUCGUGGAAAACCGGGAGAUCAUCUAUAAUGAGGCUAGCCUUAAGGGUUAUGCUGGAGGAAAGUAUCCUCCUCAAAGUUCUACUAAUGCUAAAAAUAAUACGAUGAUGAAUAGUAGUGAUAACAGAGGAAAUACAAUAUUUCCGAUGAGAACAGUCACAUUAAGAACCACGACCGGAGAAGUUAAGAAGAGGGGCUUAUGAAACGAUUGUCUGAUGCAGAGUUCCAGGCAAGAAAAGAGAAAGGGCUCUGUUUUCGUUGCAAUGAGAAAUACUCUCAUGAUCAUCGAUGUAAAAACAGAGAGCAAAUGGAAUUAAGACCAUGCCAUCAUUGAGUUAAGAAUGAAUGUAUAGUAAAAACAGAGAGAAGUUAAGAAUGUAUUAUUAAACCACCAAUUCAUCCAAAAGCUUAAGCUUGUGGUUGAAGGCAAAUUUAAUUAUAUAUCACCAACACUCCCCCUCACUUGUGGGCUUGAAAUAUCUGAAAGGCCCAACAAGUGGAAAUUGAUUUUAAUUAGGGAGGAAACGACAAUGCAGGGGCUUGAACACAGGACCUCCCUGGACCACCUGCUCUGAUACCAUAUUAAACCACCAAUUCAUCCAAAAGCUUAAGCUUGUGGUUGAAGGCAAAUUUAAUUAUUAUUGAAAAGAGAGACACAACGAGUUCACACCAAUUUACGUGGAAACCCGAGUACCGGGAGAAAAACCACGAUUGUUUGUGUUGUUAUUAUUUUCUAAUGAAUUAAGCAAUAGGUACAAGGGAGAAUAAAUAGAGUACACAAUGGAAUAAAAAAGGAAAAGAUUUAGGAAAAUAAGGAAUACAUUCCCAUAAUCUUUCCAUAAUUAUUCUAGGAUUCUAACAAGGAAAAAGCCUAGAAAAAAAAGGAAAGAAUUCCAACACUCCCCCUCAAGUUGGGACGUAAAUAUCAAUGAGGCCCAACUUGCUAACACAGAAGUCGAAGUUUGGUCUGAGAAGCCCUUUGGUAAGAACAUCAGCAACCUGUUGACUCGAAGGGAUGUACGGAAUGCAUAUGCUCCCACUGUCAAGUUUUUCUUUGAUAAAAUGUCGAUCAAUCUCAACAUGUUUAGUUCUAUCAUGUUGAACAGGGUUGUUAGCAAUACUAAUAGCGGCUUUAUUAUCACAGAAAAGCUUCAAUGGUGUCUCACAUUCCUGAUGAAGAUCUGUCAAAACUUUCUGAAGCCAAAUUUCCUCACAUAUUCCUAAACUCAUAGCUCUAUAUUCAGCCUCAGCGCUGCUCCUGGCCACAACACUUUGCUUCUUACUCCUCCAAGUUACAAGAUUGCCCCAAACAAAGGUACAAUAACCAGAGGUAGAUUUUCUGUCAACAACAGAUCCUGCCCAAUCCGAGUCAGUGUAUGCCUCAAUGGUCUUUCUGUCUGUUUUUCUAAACAUCAGCCCUUUACCAGGUGUUGAUUUUAAGUAUCUCAAGAUUCUGUUGACAGCUUUCAUGUGUUCCUCAUUAGGGGUCUGCAUAAACUGGCUGACAACACUCACAGCAAAGGAAAUAUCAGGACGAGUAUGAGAUAAGUAAAUUAAUUUACCCACGAGGCAUUGAUAUUGUUCUUUAUCAACUGGAACUUGAUCAUCAGAGUUUCCUAGUUUGCAGUUGAAUUCAAUAGGAGUGUCAGUGGGACGACAUCCUAACAUACCUGUCUCGGUUAACAAAUCAAGGAUGUAUUUUCUUUGAGAUACGGAGAUACCUUCUUUAGAUCGGGCCACCUCCAUUCCAAGGAAAUAUUUCAAAUUUCCCAAAUCCUUGAUUUCAAACUCAUCGCCCAUUCUCUGCUUUAGUUGACUGAUUUCUGCCUGAUCAUCUCCAGUCAAAACAAUGUCAUCCACAUAAACUAUUAGAACAGCAAUCUUUCCUGUUUUGGAAACCUUUGUAAAUAAAGUAUGAUCAGAGUGUCCCUGCCUGUACCCUUGGGACUUGACAAAGGUAGUGAAUCUGUCAAAACCAUGCUCUGGGAGACUGUUUCAGACCAUAUAUAGAUUUCUGGAGUUUACACACAUGCUGACCAAACUGAGCUUCAAAUCCCGGCAGAGGGCUCAUGUAGACUUCCUCUACGAGGUCUCCAUUCAAAAAGGCAUUCUUAACAUCCAGCUGAUAUAAAGGCCAAUCUUUGUUCACAGCAACAGAUAACAGAACUCUAAUAGUAUUCAACUUAGCAACUGGAGAAAAAGUUUCUGAAUAGUCAAUACCAUAGGUUUGAGUAAAUCCCUUCGCAACUAACCUUGCCUUGUGUCUGUCAAGAGUACCAUCAGCUUUGUAUUUGAGAGAGAACACCCAUAUGCAUCCCACAGUUUUGUGUCCCUUAGGUAGAGUACAAAUGUCCCAAGUACUAUUCUUUUCAAGAGCUUUCAUUUCUUCCAUGACAGCAUUCUUCCAUUCAGGAUACUUUAAAGCAGUGUAGAUAUCUUUUGGUAUUAUGGUAGAGUCAAGGCUUGCUGUAAAAGCUCUGAACUGAGGAGAGAGACUAUCGUAGGAAACAUAAUUGCAAAUGGGGUGUUUAGUACAAGACCUGGUGCCUUUUCUCAGAGCAAUGGGAAUGUCAAGAGAGGAAUCAUACUCAUCUGAUUUUCCUGUAUGACCCUGUUCCGCUUCAUUAUUACGGGUUUCUAUUCUGACCUCAAUCUCAUCACCACUGUCCUUUUCUUCCACGUUUUCAAGAACAGCAACAUUAGACCUGUCAUUCUCACUUAUCAUAUUCUUAGUACAGGGUUCAGUAGGGUUUUCCAUACCUUGAUCUCGAGGAGGUUCAGAGUCUUGGACUGGAGCCAGCGGCUGACUAGUAGGGGAACCGACUUCCUUUUUGUGAUUCCUCCUGUAGUACGUUUUCCAGGGGACUUGGUUUGUGGGUAGGACUAUGGAAUGAGGAAUGAUGUUAGACACGACACGAGGAGUGGGUUCGAUGAAUUCAAAGGUGUUGUUAGACUCUUCACUCACACUCUCCCCCUGAAGAUGGCUAACGGGAAAGUAGGGUCGAUCCUCACAGAAAGUAACAUCCAUAGUGACAAAGUAUUUUCUGGAUGGUGGGUGAAAACAUUUAUAACCACGCUGGUGAGGGGGAUACCCAACAAACACACAUGCCUGAGCCCGAGGGGUAAAUUUGGUUUGAUUAGGGCCAAAAUUAUGGACAUAAGCGGUACACCCAAACACACGAAGAGGAACCUCAAAAACAUGACGAGUCGAUGGGUAGGACUCCUUAAGACAAUCUAAGGGAGUUUGAAGAUGAAGAAUACGAGAAGGCAUUCUAUUGAUUAAAUGAGCUGUUGUAAGAAUAGCAUCUCCCCACAAGUAUGAAGGAAGGGAAGUAGAAAGCAUAAGGGAACGGGCUACUUCCAGAAGGUGACGGUUUUUUCGCUCGGCCACUCCAUUUUGUUGAGGAGUGUAGGCGCACGAGUUUUGAUGAACAAUCCCCUUUGAAGCAAGAAAUUCACUAAGGUUAUGGUUUUGGAAUUCCCGACCAUUAUCACUCCGAAGAAUAGCAAUUUUUUGAUGGAAUUGUGUUUCAAUGGUGUGAUAGAAAUUUUGAAACAUAGAGGAAACCUCAGAUUUAUCAGUGAUAAGGUAGACCCAGGUAAGACGGGUAUGAUCAUCAAUGAAGGUUACGAACCACCAUUUUCCAGAUGAGGUUGUUAUCUUGGAUGGUCCCCAGACAUCACUAUGAACAAGAGUGAAGGGUUGGGUUAGUUUGUAUGGUUGUGAGGGAAAAGAGACUCGAUGUUGUUUGGCCUGAAUACACACAUCACAAGAUAAGGUAGUCAUCUCAACUUUAGAGAAGAGAUGUGGAAAUAAAUGUUUCAUAUAUUGAAAAUUAUGGUGGCCUAAACAAAAAUGCCACAACAUGCAAUCUUGUUCAGAAGUGGUGAAAUAGGAAGAUAAGAGACUAGUCCUAGGAAUGCUACUAGAAGAGGUAUCGUCAUCAAGGAGGUAGAGUCCCCUACUAUGUCGGGCAGUGCCAAUCAUCCUCCCCGAGCUCAAGUCCUGAAAAGAGACAGAAUCAGGUAAGAAUAUUGCUUUGCAGUUUAACUCACGAGUGAUCUUGCUUAUCGAAAGCAAAUUAUAAGAUAGUUUGGGCACAUGCAAAACAUUAUGUAAGAAGAGCCCUGCACAAGGAGAAAUCUUCCCCUUUCCAGCAAUGGGGCCAAGGAGCCAUCUGCAAUUCUAAUUGUCUCGUUCCCAGCACAAGGAAUGUAAGAUACAAAAUGUUCAGAGGACCCAGUCAAAUGAUCUGUGGCACCAGAAUCCAGAAUCCAGGGGUUCUUCCCAUCAAUACUAACAAGACCGAAGGAAUGAGGUAUACCUGAUUGGACAAUGGCACCUAAAGUGGCAAGACUGAGAUAAGUUUGGUUUUUGUGUGGAUCGGAUUGUUGAGGAGGUUCAGCAGACUCACUCACAUACGCCCGCCCUGUGUUCUGUUUGUCGUUGGAAGGGCGUUUCUUACUUCCUGGGGGACGACCAUGUAACUUCCAACAUUGUUCUUUGGUAUGCCAUUGUUUUUUGCAAUGCUCGCAGACAGGAAUUGGUUUUCCAUUAUGCUUGUCACUGCUACUAUUAGAAGAUCUUGCACUAAAAGCAGCAGAGUCAAUAGUAGGGGUUGCGGAAAUAUUCAUAGCACUUGUGCGAUCUUCCUCGAGGCGGAUUUCAGAGCAAACUUCCAUCAGGGAGGGAAUCGGUCUUUGACCUAGUAUACGCCCUCGAACUACAUCAAACUUAGGAUUAAGACCAGCAAGAAAGUCAUAAAUCCUGUCAUUCUCUUCAAUUCUCGAGUACUGUACACCAUCAGUGGGAUCACGCCAGACUAGUUCUCUGCAUAGGUCCAUUUCUUGCCAUAUAAGAGAAAGCUUAUUGAAAAAUGAUGUGACAUCCAUGGUUCCUUGCUUGCAUUCAUGAACUUGCUUUCUCAGCGUGUAUAGACGAGAGGCAUUCUGACGUUUUGAGUAAAGUGUCUGAGCUGUGUCCCAAAUAUCCUUGGCUGUUGCAGCAAACAAUAACGGCUUGCCAAUUUGAGGUUCCAUACUAUUGAUCAAUAUGGAUCGAAGAAUAGAGUCUUCUGCCUUCCAAUAUCGUUCAUGUGGGUCGCCCGGUAGGGGGCGAGGUAUUUCCCCUGUCAGAAAGCUAAAUUUUUGUCGUCCUUCGCGGACCAUCUUUACUGACUGAGACCAUGAGAAAUAGUUUGUUGCCAUUCAACUUUUCUCCUGAAAGAUGAUACAUGGAAGACUGAGUCACCGUAUUAGUCACAUAAGGAGAGGAUACAUUAGGGAACGAGUUUACCGGAUUCUCAGAAUACAUCGGUAGAGUGGAUGUCGUCCCUAAGGUAGCCUCAAGUGCUGCCAUCUGUUGUCGAAGCCCUUCCAAUUGUUGAUGAACUAUUCUCGAGGAAGCUUGCACGUUACGGUUGGAAUAUGCCGAAGAUUCACCAACCUCAAAUGUUGAGUGAAUUUGAGAGUUUUUAACAUCGGGAUGGUAGCUAGGAUCAUUGGGUGGCUGGCCAUACAGAUUUGACGGCAGAAGCGGUGGUAGCCGAUUGGAAUUAGAUGGCAGAACAUAAAUCGGGGCGUGGGGAGCAAUAUAGGCCGCGGACGAAGAAAAGGGUUGGACAGAUGGGAUGGUCGGCGCCGUCUGAGGAAGAAAACCAGGCGCGUGGUGGUUCGGUGACGGCGUGUGGUGGUUCGGUGACGGCGCGUGGUGGUCCGGUGACGGCACGUGGUGGUCCGGUGACGACGCGGACGACUGCGGUAAUGACGAAAAAUUAUUUUCGGACGUUUUCUGUAGCCGGCUUAAUAAUUCGUCCAUGGCAGCACGCAUCCGAGCAUCAAUGGCAGCAGCUACGGCAGCACUAAAAUUGAUGGCUGUCCCUUCUGUUUGAUUUUCAUAAGUGGUUUGGUUUUUUUGGGUUUCUAGGGUGUUUUCAUUGUCCCUCUCUGAUACCAUAUUGAAAAGAGAGACAACGAGUUCACACCAAUUUACGUGGAAACCCAAGUACCGGGAGAAAAACCACGAUUGUUUGUGUUGUUAUUAUUUUCUAAUGAAUUAAGCAAUAGGUACAAGGGAGAAUAAAUAGAGUACACAAUGGAAUAAAAAAGAAAAAGAUUUAGGAAAAUAAGGAAUACAUUCCCAUAAUCUUUCCAUAAUUAUUCUAGGAUUCUAACAAGGAAAAAGCCUAGAAAAAAAAGGAAAGAAUUCCAACAAUUAUAUAUCACCAACAUGUAUGUUGUCAAUGCUGAUGAAGAAGAAUUUGAGAUUGUAGAAGAAGUGGAGUAUGAUAACAAAGAAUUGAACAAUGUGGAGUUAAUAAAAGAAGACCAUGCCAUCAUUGAGUUAUCCAUUAAUUCGGUAGUCGGAUUAACAAACCAGGGACAAUGAAGGUGAGAGGGAAGAUUGGUGAAAAGGAAGUUGUUAUUCUGAUUGACUGUGGGGCCACCCAUAAUUUCAUAUCAGAAAAGAUCGCGAAGGAACUACUGCUGACUACGAAAUCUACGUCCCAUUACGAGGUAAUCCUAGGUUCAAGAGUUGCUAUCAAAGGGAAAGGCAUAUGUCAAAAUGUGGAGAUCCAGCUGAACGGGUGGAAGAUAAUAGCGAAUUUUUUACCAUUGGAGUUGGGAGGAGUAGAUAUAGUGUUGGGAAUGCAAUGGUUAUACUCCCUUGGUAUGACUGAAGUGGAUUGGAAGAAUUUAUCAAUGACAUUCUUGCAUCACGGGAAGAAGGUAGUGAUCAAAGGGGAUCCGAGUCUAACGAAAUCUACAGUGAGUCUGAAGAACAUGAUAAAGACGUGGAAGGAUUCUGAUCAGGGAUUUUUAAUUGAGCGUAGAGCAAUGGAGAGAGUUUAUGAACCAACUGAAGAUGAUGGGAUUGAAGAAGUGUUAACGGUAGAGGAGUCAAUUUAAGUGGUUUUGAAGAAGUUUGAAGGCGUGUUUACUUGGCCCAAGACUCUUCCUCCGAGGAGAGAUAUUGAACACCAUAUUCAUUUGAAGCAAGGAACAAAUCCAAUAAAUGUACGACCUUACCGUUAUGCCUAUCAACAGAAAGCAGAAAUGGAGAAAUUGGUUGAUGAGAUGUUGACAUCAGGAGUGAUUCGUCCGAGUAAUAGCCCUUGUUCUAGCCCGAUUCUAUUAGUAAGAAAGAAGGACGACAGUUGGAGAUUUUGUGUUGACUACAGGGCAUUAAACAGUGUAACCAUACCCGACAAAUUUCCUAUCCCUGUCACUGAAGAGUUGUUUGAUGAACUAAAUGGGGCGAAAGAGUUUUCUAAGAUUGAUUUAAAGGCUGGCUAUCAUCAAAUCAGGAUGCGUAGUGAGGAUAUAGAGCAAACUGCAUUUCGUACUCAUGAAGGGCACUAUGAAUUCAUGGUUAUGCCAUUCGGUCUAACUAACACCCCAUCUACCUUCCAGUCGUUGAUGAAUACAAUCUUCAGACCAUACUUAAGGAAGUUCAUAUUAGUAUUUUUUGAUGAUAUAUUGAUAUACAGCGAAAACUUGGCGGCACACUUGAAGCAUCUUCAAUUGGCACUGGAAGUAUUGAGGAAGAAUGAGCUGUAUGCUAACCAAAAGAAAUGUAGUUUUGCAAAAGAAUGCGUGAAUUACUUGUGCCAUAUUAUUUCAAGCCAAGGGGUAGAGGUUGAUCCUGAGAAGAUUCGAGCAAUCAAGGAAUGGCCCAUUCUGACAAAUGUAAGGGAAGUUCAUGGAUUCCUUGGUUUAACGGGUUAUUAUAGAAAAUUCGUACAACAUUAUGGAUAGAUUGUGACUCCAUUGACUCAACUAAUAAAGAAAGGGGGAUUUAAUUGGACUAAAGAAUCUAAGGAAGCUUUUCAACAUUUGCAAAAUGCUAUGAUGACAAUGUCGGUCUUGGCAUUGCCAGAUUUCAAUGACACUUUUGAGUUGGUGACUGAUGCUUCAGGGUAUGGGAUAGGAACAGUAUUAAUACAAGCCAAGAGGCCAAUUGCAUACUUUAGUCACACAUUAGCAGUGAGGGAUAGAGCAAAGCCUGUGUAUGAGAGGGAGCUAAUGGCAGUGGUGUUGGUAGUGCAACUGAGUGGAGGCCAUACCUGUUAGGGAAGAAGUUCAUAGUCAGAACAGAUCAGAAGUCUUUAAAAAGUGGGUAGCCAAGUUGUUAGGUUACUCGUUUGAGGUAGUAUAUAAACCGGGACUUGAGAAUAAAGCAGUUGAAGAAUGCCUCCUACAGUUCAUCUAAAUAGUUUGACAGCACCAAUUUUAGUAGAUUUAAUGAUAAUCAAGAAAGUGGUGGAGGAGGAUGAAAAAUUGAAGAAUUAUGGUGGAGUUGCAAACGAAAGAAGAAGACAAAUAGAGUAAGUUUUCUAUUAAGGAAUGCUAAGGUACAAAGGAAGACUGCUAUUAUCCAAGAUGUCAUCAUUGAUUCCAACCAUUUUACAUACCUAUCACGAUUCGGUGUUAGGAGGACACUCUGGAUUUUUACGUACAUAUAAGAGGUUGACGGGGGAGUUGUACUGGGAAGGAAUGAAGGCUGAUGUGAAGAAGUAUUGCGAUGAAUGUGUAGUUUGCCAAAAGAACAAGACCAUGGUGUUCAUGCACUCGCUCCAGCAGGAUUACUAUUGCCAUUGGAACUUCCCCACAGUGUUUGGAGAGACAUAUCAAUGGACUUUGUUGAAGGUCUCCCAAGGUCGAACGGGUUUAAAGCCAUAUUUGUGGUGGUUGAUAGAUUAGCAAAUAUGGUGAUCGACAUAUUUGCUCCAGCUUGAGGGGGAGUGUUAUGAUAUAUAUAUAUACAUAUGUCCUUUAUUGUAAUUUUACAUAGUCUCUAGGGUUUAGUUUAUUCUCUAUAUAAAUAUGUAACAUUGCUUUGACUCAAAUAUAAUAAAACAGAUACUUUUCUGAAUUCUAGAUUACAGUCAUUUCCUAACCCUUAAACAUCCUUUCACGGUUAAGACAGUGGCAGAGUUAUUUGUAAAAGGUCGUACAUUUCCUAACCCUAACCCUUAGCUUCUUCCGGGGAGGGCCCUCUUAUCCCUCGCCCUUAGGCUGUUCUGUUUUGUUAUAUGAAUAUACUUGUCUCUUAUCAAAAAAAAGAGUUAUUUGUAAAAGAAACCGUCCGGCUAUAUGGGUAUCCUAAGUCAAUAGUAUCGGACGAAGAUAAAGUGUUUUUAAGUAAUUUCUGGAAAGAAAUAUUCAAGUUGUCGGUACCAGAUUGAACCGAAGACAUCUUACCAUCCAUAGUCAGAUGGCCAAACCUAACAAGGGUGUUGAGAUGUAUUUGAGAUGCUUUUGUGGUGAAAGACCGAAGGAAACGACAAGAUAGUUACACUGAGCGGAGUAUUGGUACAAUACUACGUUUCAGAGAUCCUUGGGAAUUACUCCUUUCCAGGCAGUAUAUGGUCAAAUGCCGCCCCCUUUGAUAUACUAUGGAUAUCAUAAUACCUCUAAUGCAACCUUAGAUGAACAGCUUAGAGCAAGAGAUGAAGCUUUGGAGGCAUUGAAAGAACACCUUCGAAUAGCUCAAGAUAAAAUGAAAAAGAAUGUUGAUCCGAAGCGACGGGAUGUAGAGUAUGCUGUGGGCGACAUGGUGUUUUUGAAGAUCGGGCCAUAUAGACAAUCGUCAUUGCGAAAGAAAAGAAACGAGAAGUUAUCUCCCAAAUUCCUUGGUUCCUUUAAAAUUGUGGAAAGAAUCGGUCCAGUGGUGUACAUAUUGGAAUUACCUAAAUCGUCAUCCGUCCCAUCCAGUCUUUCAUGCGUCUCAACUUAAGAAGAUGAUAGGUGAUCAUAAGCUGAUACAACCAGAUAUGGUAUCUUAUUUGACUGAGAACUAUGAGUGGAUAGCUAUACCAGAAUAGAUAUAUGGAUACACGAAGAAUAAAGAAGGAGGUUGGGAGGUAUUGAUCAAACGGCAAGGUCUGCCCCCUCAUGAAGCUUCUUGGGAGAAGUGUGAGGAUUUUCAACAGAAAUUUCCUGAUUUUCACCUUGAGGACAAGGUGAGUUUGGAAAGGGAAUGUAAUGAUAGACCACCAAUUAUACAUCAGUAUAGUAGAAGGAAGAAGAAGAAGGAAGGGGACCACAACAGUCGAACCUGUGAAGAAUAAGGAAUUUAGAAUUCAUUAGUUGUCAUUUAGAAUUCAUAAGCUGUCAUUUUGUAAAUCAGUUAGUAUAAAUAAAGAAUUGUGAGGGAGAGGGAAAGUUAGUUAGAAAGUUGUUUUGAGAUAUUCUAGCAAUUCCUUGAGAGAUAGGAAGGCAGAAUAGGGUUUGAACAGUUCUGAAUUGAGGUAUUCUCAAUUCGGGUUCCUUGUAUUCUUUACUAGAACUUGAGUAAUAAGAAUUUCUUCGUUUGAUUCAAUUGGAGUCCCAUCAAAUUGAAGAAUAUCUUGACUUCCCUCAAGUACUAGGACUAAUCAGAUCCUUUCUUAUUUGAAUUGUAAUAUCAAUAGUAACAAUACGAUGCAUUCUUCAAAACACCUCAUAAAUAUUAACAUUUUAGCAACUCACUAGAUGACAGAUCUCCCAAUGACAUUCGAAUUCUAUUUCGAGCAAACAAGGAACUUCUAUUUGUUGGGUCUUCAACCCAAUCUUGAUUAGCAGCUUGGCAUAUCUGCAAAGUGCAGAUAGAACAAGGUUAACAUAGUACUGGCCAAAUGAAUGAAAGCACCGUCUCUAAAUAUAUAUUUUCAUGCGAUUUUAAACUUUUACCUUGUACAUGUCAUCUUUAGAAAAAUCCAUUAGUGGUCUCACAAGAAGGACACCAUAAUUCUUGGAAACUUCGCUGUAAGAAUAUGUAUGCGAGGAGAAAAUUUGAGAAGUGAAAGGUAUUCCCGCAAGUCCAAGCACACCACUACUGCGAGACAACCUAAGAAUGAAUAACUCAGCCUGCAUUGUGUUCCAGCAAUCACUACAUUUCUAGCAUCUCUAACAAGCUUCCAGCAUUACACUAAUUGAGUUUACAAUAGCCCUAAAGAGUGAAGUUACAAUACAAGCUAUCGCAAACAUGGAAUACUAAGAUUUGGGAAAAUCAAUUUUAAUCAACUUAUAAGGCAAGAACUUAAACUAAAAAUGCAAGCUUGAUAUCAGAGAAUUCAACCUGGUCAUCAGCGUGAUGCGCAACAAGUAUCACUCCAAUAUUGUGUUGGACACAAACUUUCUGCAACAUUUGGUACCUGGAGUGAAAGAAAAUGAAUUAAAAUCGCAAAUUAGGGGACCCCCGUGGCAGGAAGCAAACAAAGUUAGCUAGUAUUAGAACCAAGGUCAACAACAAUAAUAUUCACACCAGAGAUUAAGCAUAUUUUGAAGAACGCAAACCACCUCAUAUCACGAGCUGCUUCUUGCAAGUGACCCUGCUUUGGUCUACCGUUUAUCCAAUCACAAGACGCAAGCUCGCAACGGAUACCUACAGAGUAACAUACAAGUUGAACAUUUAUAUCAGAUAAUUGUACUGAAUUGAUUUUAUCAUAACUAAGCAAAUCACGCUGAUAGGGAGUUGUACCCAAUUGAGUAACUCGAUUGCAGACAACUUUUGCUUCAUCUCUGCUCUCAGCACGAAGCCCAUGAUCCACGACUAUUGCCAGGAGACCAUCGACAAGAGUGCUACUUUUACAUGAGGUACCCAGGCCAUCCAUUUUCCAGCCCGCCGUAAGAACACAAAGAGCCAUACUAUCGGGCCCUCCACUAACUCCCAGAGCUGAAAAGAAGCAAAGAAUAAAGGGUAAAUGAUGUCAGUUUGAAAUUGAAAGAUAGCAUUAUCAUUUGCCACUUCAGUUCUUGGUUACUUUGGGAGAGAACCUAGUGGUAUUUGGGACUCAAGUCGCCAGAUUGUGUGUUGUGAAACAAAAGGGUAAUAGAAACAAGUUACAAAUAAUACUUCCGCAGAAAGGAAGCUGACCUAUACGGUGGUGGGGUUUGAGUCCCGCCAUAUCCAUGCGCUUGGAGAAAGUUUCCCUGUAGUUGCACAGGUCGAUUGGUUGUUGCAAAGAAGAAUAGCUGCAAAAACAGCGAGGAAGAGGAAGAACACGAAGAUGAAAAGAUGGAAGAAUGAAGGAUAUUGCAAUUUUGGAUUUGGAAGAUAAGAAGAAGAAUGAGUGGUUUGUUCCCGUCUGGAUGAGGCCCUGCGCCAUGGCUUGCAACUCUGAACUCCCCCACUCUAUCACUUUGAAAUCAUUUCAAUGAGGAAAAAAGAAAACAAAGUGAAUUGAAAUUUUGUUGGUUUUAAUCCAAAUAUUUCCGGUUGGAUUUGACAAGAUUUGAAAUUUAGAAGAUGCUCUAUUCUCGAACAGAGCAGAGGAAAGAUGGGAAAAUUGUCACAAAUAACUUUUAAUAGCUUUUGUCACCUAAAUUGUUUUUUGAGUUUUUUUUUUUUUUUUUGGUUGUGCAGGUUGCUAAUAAUGUAAAGAUUAAAAAAAUUUCAAAUCUUCUUAAAAUUUAACUAAUUUUUAUUUGUAAAAUUUAAAAAAUGUUUUAAUCUAUCGCUUAAGUUUUAUAUAAAAUUCCAAAAGUAGAGGACUCUCACGAAACAUAGGUUUUUUGUUUUUAUUAGAAAAUUUCGAAUGAAAUUGUCUCAAGAUUUCAUGUAAUUUCGUGUGUUAUAGAUUUGUCUCGAGUUUUUUGUAAAUAUAGAAAUAUGCAUCCCGCGAUUAAUUUUUCGAAUGUGACAAAAAUACCCUUAUAACCAAAAAUUUUAUUAUUAUAUUAAAAAUAAAAUAGCUUGUUCAAAAAGUUUCACCACCAACUUCCAAGAAACUUAUUACAAUUGUUUGGGCUUUCUUUCACUUUCUUCCUCCCACAUUUCAUAUUUUUCAAACCCAUCAAAAAAAAUAAAGUGAACAAACCUUACUGUUUUUUAUAAAUUUCGUUUUUAUUGUCAUUUGCAUAAUGAUUAGACUAGCAAUAUUUCUUUUAGGUAUUUUUGUACAUAAUAUUGGUUCUUAUUAAGGGAUCUCAUGUUGGAAUUUAUAUCCUAAAACUCGUAGUUUGUAAUCAUAUUUUAUUUAAUAAAAUUGUUAUUGAUACUAUAAUCUUAAAGUCAAUAAACAAAUGUCUCAAAGUUAUUUUGAGUAAACUUGAACGGUAUGUAGAGACAUAAAUGUGGAUCAAAUUCGAGUAUAUAACCUAAAUAGUCUAUAGUAUAGGAAUAUGGUUAGACACCUUAUUUUAGGGACAUUAUGGAUGCGGCUCGCUUUAUAGUAAGUACAAACAGUGUGAUCUUGAAUCGUUCAUAUAGGGACAUGGAAGUGGGGGCAUCCUAUGUAAAUAGUUUACAUAAGACUGGAACCAUAGAAAUAGUUGCUUUUAGGUUAUAACAUCAUUGACUUUAAUAAAACCGAUUAUUUCAUUUAUAGAUAUUCAAUGUAACUUAAUCUUAAUCCUGAGCUAACUAUGAACUUCUGUUCAUACAAGAUUAUCCUUACAUAUGUAUAAGUGAGGGCGACUCAAUGGCGCUAGUCCAAUAAGCCUCCCAUUUCAAGGGUAAGAUCAGAUGGAUAGCUAGAGACAUAGGUCCACUCUAGGGUUAGUAGAUAGGUUGUUCCUUUAAGGACUGAAUCUAGAUCUUCAACAAAGGGCCACACCCUCUCAUUGGCCCGAGAGGGAUUCGGUUUAAAGGUUGGACCUUAAACCAAUUGUUCAAUAGUGGAUUAGUGAGACUUAAAGAGAAAAGAUUUAUUCUUGGGGGUAAAACAGUACUUUGACCCAGCCGAGAUUAUGAACAACCUAUGAAUGAUUAACUUACUUAUCAUGGUCAUAUCACAGGGACACAAAUAUAUCUAUAGUGAGGGGAGUGCAACUACGACACUUUAGUGGAAUGACCCGUUAGUUAACGAAGGUUGUUAACUUGGUCUAAAGAGUUUAUCCAGUUAAUCUUGAAUCGUUUGAGCCCAUGAUCUAUAGGUUCAUUAGGUUCCCUCGCUAACUCACAUGGAAUCAACUUAGAACAUUAUGAUGGAAUAAUUCAAAUUAGGUAAAGAGAGAGAAACCAAAAAAUAUAUAUGAUAUAGUCAUCGGUUAUAACUUAAGAUAGAGCUUCAUGUUUAAAUGUGAUUUAAAUAUGAAAAUAGAUUCAUAUUUGAAAGCUUGGAAUUAAUGAAAAAGGUCAAAGAUGUAAAAAGUAAAAAUGUUGACUUUUGACUUUGAAAAAUCAAACUUUGACUAACUUUAUAUUCAAAUGUGAUUUAAAUUUUGGAGAAAUGAAUACGGAUUCAUGUUUGAGAGGUUGAAACUAGUCAAGACGGACAAAAUGGUUAAAAAUCAAAAUGUUGACUUUGGACUUGAAAAAGUUAAACUUUGUAUAUGAUUUAUGUUUGAAUUACCAUAUUGUUCUUAGAAUAAUUUAAAUAAUAACACUUGUUGAGAUUUGACAAGCUUAUCACUUGCAUGUGAUAUGCAAGUGGCUUAUUGCAUGCAAGACACCUACUCCACUAAGAAUGUCAAGUGGUGAGAUAUGGAAGCUCUUGCAUGUAGUUUGCUUGUAAACAAGUUUAGUGCAAAGGUGAAAUGACUCUUGGAUUUGAGAUUGAAAAUUAAUUUUGUAAUUGAGAAUUAAAAAAUAAAACCAAUGAACUCUUUUCAUUUUGAGACUCUUAACAUUAAAAAAAAAAAAAGGUUAGGUUCCUCCAACGAAUCUCAUUUCUCUCUAUUUCCUCCACCAUUUGAGUCUCACAACUCGAUUCUAAGUCCGGAGAAUAGCGAGUCAAUGCUAGUGGUAGUCCUGGCUUCGAUUUCAUAAGGAGAUUACAAGAAAAAAAACGUCAAAGGAUAGGGUUUUUUUUAACCGUAUCUUUGUUAUUUUAGGGUUUUUUUAUGCAUGUUAAUCACUAAACUUGUUUAGUUGCAAUUAGAGUAAAAAUCCAAUCUUUAUUCUACUGUGCAUGUCUAUUGUUUCCAUCGUAUUGGGCUAGCGUCAUUGAGCUGUCAUCACCUAUGCAGAUAUAAGGAUAAUUUCGUGUGAACAAAAGUUCAUAUUUAGCUCAGGGUUAAGAUUAAGUUACAUUGAAUAUCUAUAAACGAAAUAGUCGAUUUUAUUAAAGUCAACGAUGUUAUAACCUAAAAGCAACUAUUUCAUGGUUCCAGUCUUAUGUAAACUUUUUACAUAGGAUGCCCUCGCUUUCAUGUCUCUACAUGAACGAUUCAGGAUCACAUCGUUUUGUACUAACUACAAAGCGGAUCACAUCCAUUGUGUUCUUAGAAUAAGGUGUCCAAUUGUAUUCGUAUACUAUAGACUAUUUAGGCUAUAUACUCGAAUUUGAUCCACGUUUAUGUCUCUACAUAAAAUUCAAGUUUACUCAAUAAUAGCCUCGGGUCCUUAGUUUAUUGGCUUUAAGAUGUAUCAAUAAUAACUUUAUUGAAUAGAAUAUGAUUUACAAAUUACGAGUUUUAUGAUAUAAAUUCCAACAAUUACAGCUUUAGUGAAACGUAGGAGACUGAAGACCCUCACAUUUCAUAUGCCUUGCGGGAAACGUACCAUCAUAUUGCAGGACGUUGUGAUCUAGUUGGGACUACCAGUGGACUAAGAUCCUAUUACGGGAUUGUUAAUGUAUAACUAGAAACAUGUGAGGAUUUAUAGGGAGUUCUACCACCACCUAACAUGAAUGGUUAAAGGUUGAGCCUUCCAUAGUUGGCCGAAUUAAUUCACAAAAUUGCCACAAGAUGUUGACGUUGUGAGUGUUCAAAGAUAUGCUCGUGCGUACAUAUUAUGCAACUCAUUUGAGGUUUUUUGUUCAUCAACAAGUCAAAUACCUUGGUAGAUUGUAUGUUUCUUCUGCUUUUAGGCGAUUUCGACUAGGUUGAUACGUACUCUUAGGGUGUUGCAUGCCUUGCAUAGUUGUAUAGAGAAUUGUGUCGAACAAGUAAUGGACAAUCCUAUGAAAUAGCUAGGUCAUUGAUGUUAUUGCAAGUAUGGGUAUAUGGUAGAUUUUCUAUUGUAGAACCACAAGUUGUAUUACAGGCUCCAGUUGCUCGAUAACUGAGUUCCAAGUAUUAUUUUAUUUUUAAUUUUUUUUAUAAUAUCUAGUAUUUAGAUAUUUGCACUUAUUGUUAUUAUUUUUUGUCACACAUUAGAUGGAGUGGUGUCCUACCUGCAUUGGAACAAUCAACAAAUAUGUUGUUAACAUACCGAAUGAAUACUGCUUAUUUUUGACCGAGUGAUGCACACUCAAGUAGUAAAGUGUUAUACGAAUGAAUACUACUUAUUUUUUGUGUCUACUUAUGUCAUUUGUUUUUUAACAGAUCAAUUAGACAUCAUACAUACAUGAUAUUAUGACAUUGGUACUUGAUUGAUGUCAUACUGGUGAAGAAGUACGAACUUACUUGGGCCCUCUAAAAUGCUUCCAUAUCGUGGAGUGGCAUUUACCAGAUUGUGUGUGUUGCAACAAUUUGGUAUUUUGCAAAUCACACCAUCAUUGUGCUUUACAGAUCCGACACUAUACCAAUUAAAUUGAUUUAAGAGAUAAACACAAUCAAGAUUGACGUAAGAUUUAUGAGGAUUAUAACACAAUGCGGCAUACACAUCAUGGUCGUUGUGCACAAGGAAAAGCAACACAUGAACCAGCUGUAUCAUAUGACUAUUUUUCUAGUACAAGUCAAUUACAAAACUAUUUAUCUCAUGCAAUGGUGCUUACUAUUAUUGUAUGAUUUAUUUUAAAAUUUUAUAACAUGCACGUUACUUAAUUAUAUUAUUUGUAGUUUUUUAGAAUAAUUUUGUUCAAGAUGUACAUAAUUACUUGGUGGAACACGACUUACAAGAUUUGAGUUCAAUGUGUGGUCAAACUUUGGAAAAAUAGAACAUAUUAUUUAGCAGACAAGAUGACUCAAUGUUGCAGACAUGGAUCGAAGAUGUAUUCGACGUAGAUGACGACGACAUGGCAAGGAUGUUGUAUACAAAGAUCAAGAUCAUGCUUAGUUCGUAAUUGCAAAUUUUAAUUCAUAUGAACUUCAAUUUUGAAUGUAGAAUUAUACCAAAUUGCAUUCUUAUUUGCACCAAAACCAUGUCAGAUUAGAAACUUCUUGUCCAAUGUAGUUUAAGUAUGGUGUUUCCUCUUGCAUUUUUUCUCUUUGAGUCCAAAGUUCAAAUAACUAUCAUUUAGACUUCAAACAAUAGGCUAAUUUUGAGAAUAAUUUUUUUAGAAAGUUGUGUACUGGUACAUGACUUCCUUUAAUCCAGUCACACCAUUUGACCUAGUCUUCAGCCAUGUAGGCUAUGACUGAAUUAAAGGAAGUCGUGUAUCGAGUACAUGAAUUCUUUCAACGCAAAAACUACCUUAUUUUUUAUAAUAGUUUCAAUCUCAACCUCAUUUCUUAUUAUCUUUUCUAGAUAUCCUAUCUUCAACAAUAGUCUAAAAAGAGCAUUAUUCUUGAAAUUAAACAAUAGUUAUUAGAUUUGAAUUUUUUUCUCUAAUCAGUUUUGGUCCCCUUUUAGAUGGACUAUUUAAAAAAUUAUUUUUAUAUAAACACUUCCAAUAGAAAAAAAAAGUGUUUAAGAUACCCUUCAAACUUAUUUAAAGGAAUUAACUAUAAUUACGCAAAACAAAACUAAAAUAACCACUACUACAAAAACAGGCUCUCUUGACGUUUUUAAACUGUCAAGAGACGGCUCUCUUGACAGUUUUAAAAACGUCGUUGAAGCCAGUGUCAAGAAAGACAAAGUUCUUGACGGUUGAUUAAACGUCAAGAAUAGUGAACGUUGACGUUUUAUAAACGUCAAAUAUACUUAUGUUCAUGACGUUUUAGAACCGUCAAGACUGGUAUUGUUUAUGACAUUUUAAAGCCGUCAAGAAUGAACUGGUUUAUGACAUUUUAAACCCGUCAAGAAUUUUAAUGUUCAUGACAUUUUAAAACUGUCAAGAAUGUAAUUGUUCUUGACAUUUGUAAACCGUAAAAAAUGCAAUUGUUCAUGACAUUUUAAAACCGUCAAGCAUUUUUUAAUUUUUUUUUUUAAAAAAAUUGUAAUUGAAUUAUGCUGUAAUUGAAAGAAAUAUAUUCUGAUUGCCUGUAAUUGUCCAGCAAUAGUUUCAUAGAUAUUUGAUAUUCAUCAAAUACAGUUUCAAAUCUCAAACAUAUAUAAAUAAAACCAUUCACCAUAUAUAUUCAAUUCCAAGACUUUACAUAUACCUAAUGAAAUAGACUUUACAUUAGAUUUCAUAUUCCAUUACAUUGCCAUGAAUCCAAAUCAACUUAGAAAGUCACAAAACAUGCUAGCUAUAACAAUAAUCAAAAGUAUACGAAUGAAUCCCCCUCCCCCUUCCUCCAUAUGAACAAUUCAAAAGAAUUAUCGGCUAAAGUUUCUAUUACAUAAAGUUUCAUAUCAUAAAGAAGCGACACAACAAAAAAAUUUUCUACUUUAGAAUCACAAAAUAUUGGUCAUAAUCAUAUGUAAGAACCCAAAAAGUCAGCUAACUCAACUCGCACCUCGUCUAGUUCUGCCUGUGAGUAUGAUCUUCGUGUAUCAAUCUAUAAACAUGCAAAAUAAAUUAAAUGAAUUAACUGACUAUACAAAUAAACCAACUAACUCACAAAACCAAUAGUUUGACAUAUAACAUACCGCAUCGGAUAUGACAAUGCUUCCCCUAAUCACAAUUUCUCUCAUAUACCUCAUCACGUAGUAUCCACACUCAGUACUCCCGACUUGUAGUGGACACUAAAUAAAAGCAACAAAUUUGAAUAAUAAAGUAAUCCUAAUUGCUAGUAGUCUACAAAAAUAUAAUGACUUUAAAAGUUGAUACUUGCCUUUACUGUUCGUCAUAAAGUUUGUUUUCUACUUUUUUUAAUGUUUCUUUUGUGACUGAAACAUGGCUAUUGCUCUGUUUCGACAUGAUAAGAUUGAACAAAUAGUUUAAAUAUUGUGUACAUGCAUAUAAGAAUCAACACUAAAUGAAAUACUAGAUUAACAAUUCCCACAUUUCAAACAAGGACAACGAAUAUAGGAGCUAGUUGUAUUAGAAAAUCCAUAUUUGAAGAAGUUUUCCACACCCAACUCAUAAUCUUUAGACAAUCUACUCUUGUGCAUCCAAGAUUUAUCCAUCAUUGUAAAUCUAAUGAGAAAUAAAGUUAUUGUCACUAUUGAUAAUUAAAGUGGAAGGACAAACUUAAAAACACCUAAUCUUCAACAAACUACAACAAAUUGAACACUGUGGAAAGGCAAAAUAAUGUCAAACUCAUACAAAGAAUGACUCAGAAAAUAAAAAAAUCAGAAAAGUACAAGUACAAGUUUCAUGCUUGGAGUAAUUAACACAACAGGCCCAAAUGUCGUUUCUAAUGUGGUAUCAUUUUCAAAGAUAAAGACUGAUCCUAUUAGCUCAGAAGAUAGGCAGGGAGGUUCCUCUCCAUAAAUUAAAGGCUCAAACUUGUACUUCAAGGAAAAAGUAAACUUAACUAAGCCAGGAUGGUUCCAUCAGGAUUUCCUCUGGUACCCAUUAAUUGAAUACUAGAGCAAUUUGCAUUAUAAAUAAACAAUUACUAAACCAAUAUUCGUUAACAUCUAAAGAAUGUACACAAGGGUAACGUCUCAGACUUCAAUUUCCUUCAACAGGUAAGAUAGAAAAACAAGUGAUAAUCAAAUUGAAAGCAAAAGAAACACAUAAGACAACAAGAUAUAAAAUGCGUGUGAAACUAGAUCUGAGAGGGUAAAGAUAAAAUUCGUACUUUCUCAAUUGAAGACUCCCUUCUUCGAUUAUCCGUAACACAGUUCGAUUACAAGUAAGUAAAAUUGAAAAGAAGAAGAAAGAAGUAGAUUAGGAAAAAUGUUAGAGCCGAAAAUUAAAAUUCAAUACUUUCUCAGUGUAAGCAAUAACAGGAGCUUCCCUUUUACACAGGAUUUGGAGACAAAUGGAGGUUUUCCGGUGAAUGUAUUCACGCGUUUUCGAACAGAGGUGAAUGUGUUACGCGUUUUUGAACAGAGAAGGUGAUUACGAGUUUCGAAUGGUGAACGGUGAACGAUGAACGAUGAACUAAACGGUUAAUGAACGAAGGGAGAACGAUGAACGGUGAAAGCUUGAGAAUGGUGAAAGGGGAGAACGACGAACGACGAAUGCAAAAGCUUGAGAUUCUGGAGAAGCUUCCCUUCGAACGCACGACAAAUUAGGUUUUAGAAAAGAGAAAAUGAACUUAAAUGGAACGACGUCGUUUUACGAUUAAAUUCUUGACGUUUUUAAAAACGUCAAUGAUUUUUUUUAUAAAUUUCUUGACAUUUUUCAAAACGUCAAGGAUUUUUUUAUAAAUUUCUUGACGUUUUUAAAACAUCGAGUAAAAUUUUAAAUUCUUGACGUUUAAGAAACGUCAAGCAUGUCGAAUUCAUACGCUUCUUGACGUUUUAAGAACGUCAAAAAAUUAAUAGAUAUUUCUUGAUGUUUUAAAAAUGUCAAGAGAAAAUUUAUUUUACUUGACGUUUAAUAAACGUCAAGAACGAUGUUUCAGAAAAUUUCUUGACGUUUUUUUAUUAAAAAUGAAAUCUUUCUUGACGUUUUUCGAAAAAAACGUCAAGAAAUGAAAACUGCAAACGUCAAGAGAGCCUGUUUUUGUAGUAGUGAACUUAUUAACUAGGGAUGUGUUAACUUUUUGUUUACCAAAAGUUUGUUUGAAAUAGUUAGGAUUUUGAAAUUAUUUUCAUUCUCUAAUAAUCAAUUCAGGCUCACACAUAAUUUAUUCAAUAUACUUCAUUGAUUAUCUCGAGUUUCUAUAUUGUUCUAUCUUUUUUAUAUUUUUUUCUUAUUUAUUUCUAAUCUCUUCCGGUUGAUGAUUUAAAAUGGAAUUUACAAUGUUAGUCGCAUUCACUAUGAUGCCAGACUGAAUUUUGAGAGUUUCAAACAUUAAAUUGAAUAAAACAAAUAAUUUUGCAAAUAAUUCUUAGUCUACUUGUUUUUUGCAAAUAGUUUCCGAAACUGCCCUCUAUUGCUGCAGUUAAUAGUCUAACCCCCCAUUAAAUUGAAGUUCUUCUGGAAGAUUUGAAAGAAAAGCUUCUUUCAAAGUUCACUAGAAAUUAGUCAUCUGUAAGAGCAUUUCAAUCUUAUAAUCUUCCAUUGUUCAUAAAUAAGAAUUAUGAGCUUUUGCGUGUACUGUCUCAUUGGUUUUUUUAAAAGUACAAACCUAUCGAGCUCAUGAGUACCAAUCCACCCCCAUGAAGGUGCCCUAUCCUGAGCACCAUUCCUGUGAACAAUUUUGAAAUCCCUCCACAUUCCCCCUUGUGCUCAUAGGUAUGCUCAUAGGUAGCCCCAUUCAAUCAUGAAAACCCGACCAAAAUUUUAAAUCAUUUUCUUUAUGUAUUCCUAUAAUGAUCGUGAUUAUAAUCACUUCCAGGUGAAUUAAAACUAUCCCUAGCCCGAUAUGAAGGAUUAAACCCGAUUUUGAUUGCAAUUCAUAGUAUUUAAGUUGUAAAAAAAAAUUAAAUUUACAAGGAUCUGUUUGGAAUUACGUAAGUUGAAUUAAAUUAAAAUACUAAAAAAUGUGGAAAAAUAAAAAGAAGGGUAUCACAUUUAGGUUGUUUACCUUUACCGUCGUAGAUCGUUAUUUAUGUUGGUUGACAUGAACUUUGUGCAUGUUUUGUUGUUGCAUUUUGUAUUACCGCACCAAGUGCACUUUUGGAUUUGCACAUGUUCUCUAGUAGAAGGAAUGCUAUUAACACGCGGUUUACCAACGAUGGUAGUUACUUUUUAUGAUAGUAUAACACAAUCCAUGUAUUUUGGUGGUCUUCUCCACUUCGAAGGAUGUUUGACAGGGAAGAUUAGUUCAACAUAUGUUAAAUAUCAAUGAUUCUACUCAAUAAUAUUGGCUACAAAGGGUCUACGGGUUAAUGUUUUGUGACCUUGGAGAAACGAUUGUGUGUGAGCAUAGAAUCUUCAAGUAGUUGAGCAUCUUACAUGUGCAUUGGUGGCUGUUUAAAUUGAUCAGAUCAUUCAAGCAAUCAGACCUCUAAUGUGCAUAAAAUUUAUGACUAACAUUUAUCAGAGCACAAAGAAUGGAUCUAACACUAGUAGAAAAGUGGUCUACGACGACAGUUAUUUAUUGUCGUAAACGAAAUUCAUGACAGUUAUUUUCAGUCAUAGAAGCGGGAGUCAUGGAAAGUCCUUCGAUGACAAUUUUUAAAAAUUGUCGCAAUAAGUUAUUUUAUGACAUGAAAUAAAUGUCGUUAAUCAGAAUUCAACGACAUCAAAUAAUUGUCAUAUUUUAUUUUAUGACAACAAAUAACUAUCAUCAUUUGUGUAUUAACGACGGUUAAAUAAUGUCGCAAAUUCAUUUAUUGUGACAUUUUUUAAUUGUCAUGAAUAUGUUAAUCGUGACAGUUUUUUUGUAUAAAAAUGUCAUUGUUUUACUAUUGACGACAUUUUUUUCCUGUCACAUAUAGGGCAAUCGUGACAAUUUAUUUUAUUAAACAACUGUCAUCGUUUUCGGAUUGACAACAAUUAAUAACUGUCACAAAUUCAUUUAUUACGUCAUUUGUUGCAAAUUUCUCAAUUUACUACAGUUUUUUCCUGUUCUCCUUGCCACUCCACCAUUACACGAACCAUUUGAAUGACAAUAAUGUAGCUGAGAAUGACAAUUUUGAAUUUAUAAUAUUGACACCCAUAUAGAAAAAAGUAGCCAACACUUUAAUAUAUAUACGAUAUAAUACAAUUUAUAAUAUUCGUACAUUUCCAAUCAAGUGUCAACAAUUUACAAGUACAGAAUCCCAACCCUUAAUCAAAAAAUAUUUUAAAUAGCAUUAGAAUACAUCUAACAAGAUUUUCUGCAGAAGCAUAAACGACCAACCGAGAAUGUUCGUCUCUGAAAAUGUUCUUUGAAAGUAAACUUAUGAAGUUGUCGACUCCAGUUGAAUCUACAAAGACAACAUGAAUAUAAGCAUCCAUCAUAGGACAAGAGAGUACAACUCUUAUAGAAACUUUCAACAUUGAGCAUUACCUAUCACUACAUGCGUCGAUAAGAGAAACAACUACAUAGCAGAGCACAAAUGUAGAAUAACAGCAUCACCGUAACAUCCACUUGGUCUACAAUAUUGAAACUUUUUAUAAAUUACAACUCUUGUAUCAUUGCUCUUUAGAAAAUUUACCUGGAUAUAAAUAAGUAAUCUACAAGGAAAUUAUUGAAUAAGUAAUCAUAAGUAAUAAUCGAGAUGAAUGAAACUUAAGAAUCCAUUAGUAGUUCACUGUCAAUAAGGUUGGAAGAAACGUUAUCCGACAAGAACUGAAAAAUUUCCAUCUUAAGGAGUCAAACACUUUCAAUCUACAAAUAUCAUAAAUAAGACAGUUUUCAUGUGUAAUCCACUUCAGUUAACGAAGCCAAGAAAUAUUAAGGUACUAGGAAAAUGAAACUAGAACAACUUGUAUCAUUUAUGGCUUAACAAAAAUAAAGGUCUCCUAGUUUCUUAUCCAAAAAAUGCUCUACCAAUGAGUACGACAUAAAAUCCAUGACAAUUUACACAAGUAGCAAUUUAGCAAUAGCAAUAAGUACAGACAUAACACCCAUGACAAUUUACACAAGUAGCAAUAGCCAACCAGUACAAGCAUACUAUCCAUGAUAAAAAAAAAAAAAAAAAAAGGUAUCUAUUACUCUUAAUCCUAUAAUAUGAACGACAUUAACUAAGAAGGGACCAUUGACAUGUACCUGAUGUUCUAAUUCCAUGGAGAUCGAAGUCCCGAAUGAGCUUCCAUAAGUUAACAUCCUACAAUACAAUACAUUUUAGUCAAAUCAUAUAGCAACUCAUUAAACAUAUAGAGAAGGACUUCCAACUGACAUUUGGAAAAGAGUUGGGUUGAUCAAUUUUUGUGGCAUGGGGAGCAAUGUUAUCUUGAGCAAAUUGUUUAACACUUUCUUUGAACUGCAAUCAAUUAAUCAAGAAUUUUGAUAUAUUGACAUUAUAAAUGAAACUACAUACAAAUCAUUGUUGUAAUAAACUAAUUUGAACCAUUUACUAUCAUUUAAAUAAAGCGAGAGAGAAAAGAGGAAGCCUUAAAAGCAAGAUUCUUAAUAUAUCCUCAUAAAAAAAAAAAAAAAACUUGUUCAAGUGUCAAAGUCGACAAAAAAAAAAAAAAAAAAACUGCAACUGACAAAAACGAAAGAACUAUGAUUAUUUGAUGAUGUUUGGUUCAAUAAGUAGGAAUGUAGCUCGUAACCUUUUCUCAUUUUCUCCAACUGCCAGAACAUUCAGGACAUUUUUUAAAGAUUCACAACACUCUAUCACUUCACAUUUCAUGUACUCAUCUGCAUAAAUGUGCUUCCAUAGGUCAGAAUCUCUGGAUCGAAAUUCAACAGCCAUAUCCAAUGCUAUUGGAAUCUGUAGCAGUAGAAAAAUUGUUAACAGUUGCUAUAAGUAUGCCUAAAAAUUAAAAGAAAACAUAAAUGGGCUAUAUUGACCUUGCUGGCUAGUAAAAAGGGAGGCAUUUGGAUUAUUUUUAGGCUGGGAUCUGAGGAAUAAGGAACUAGCAAGAGAUCCAUCUCCCUGUUUCAUUUGAAAAUUCAGUUUAGUUUUAAAAUUAUAAUUAGAAGGAUGCUUGGAAUGAAAAUUUCUAAUUUUUAGGCAAGAGUUCUAAUAAACUCUAUGGUCGUGUCUCCUAAUCCUCCGUUUCUAACUUUAUUGUUUUCCCUAAGAGAUUUGACAAGAUACUUUUAUCUGAUAUUGAAGAAAUUUCACCAAUUGUGGGCUGCAAAUAGUUCAAACAGAACUAGUAUUGGAAUAUAUAGAAUAUACAAAAUACCCUAGCCCAUAAGAAACAAAAGAAAUCCAAAACAUAGAAGAAGCAAAAGUCAUUAAAAGAAAUGGAUGAAGUGCAAACAUACACAAGACAACUAGCAGUAACUACCACAAUAUGCUUAUGAACCAACAACUGAAGUAACCUAACUAAUAACAAAGUCAACCUAUCACAAAAGCACAAGUUUUCAUUUUUCAACCAAUAGAGGCAUGCCUGCAAAUAACCAUCAUCUUUUGUAGACUUUAGAAAGAUGUCUGACAAAGCAGACAAUAACUUAGGAGAAGAGGACUUAAGUAUAGUCCGGAAAAUAUGAGACUACAUUUUUCAACUAAAAGGCUAAUUCCUUAGACAUCAUGUAAAUCAAGUCCCUUUGGAUUGCAUAAACAUGGCACCAACUCCAUUGCUGAAUGAAUAAAACAUAAACUACCUUAAUAAAGCAUAAAUUUACCCAAAUGCAAUCUCGUGAAUUAAUUGCAACAUCUUUAGAGAACAUAAAGGGGCUAUAUUGACCUUGGGAAAGACAAUUUGAAUGAAUAAAUCAUAAACUACCUUAAUAAGUUCAUCAGAUGCAACGUAUCCUAUCGCUUCUUCAAGACUCAUAUCUGCAUUUAAGUUUAGAAUUAGAUGUUAGUGUGAGUAAUUAUACUUAGGAAAAGAUAAUAAAGCUUUUCAGCCUACUCGUGCCCUGACAUUCUAGAACUGAAUUCUACAUCUUGGAUACUGGAUUCACAAUAACACUAAAAUAUAUACAAUUGGAACUCAAUGUAGAAAUAACAUACAAGUCGAGGUGGAGAUAGCUUCACGUUUUCAUCUUUGCAAGCAGAACGGAUAUUGGUAAGUUUUCUUUAGUUCUUACAAGAUUAACCUAGAAAAAAGAAAAUUGCUUACCAUGUAAAUCAAGUAGAAAUUACAACUUCGAUCCAAAGUCUAAACAUAAAGUUCUCAACUUACAUCUAGAUCUGAUUCCCUAGAAUGUUCUCCAAUAAUCAUUCCAUCAUAAGUCUGGAACAUAAAUUAUCAGGAAAACUGAAGCAGAACAUUUUCGAGGACCCAUAUAUUAUCUACAAUGAAAAGAUAGUGGAUCCUCAGUCUAAUGGAGACAACAAAAUAUACAUUUAGACCAACUCAUAGCAUAAAAGAUAAUAGGUCUAUGAAUCAAAUGAUUUCAGGGUAUCAAAAAUAGCUCCUAAACAAACGUAUAUAUAAUUGAACAUCCACGCUUCCUGCCUAUGAAAACAGGGAAACAAUUAAUUCACGAGAUGGAACAUUUUGAGCAACUUCUAUCCAAAAGGAGGAAAGAGGGGUGGAAAGUGUACACUAAAAAACCAUUAUGCACCAUAUAGAUGAAUUGACAUGACUUAGCUACAAAUACUUGUGCAAACUGCAAAAUGACAGCAACUAGCACAAUAAAAACAAAUCAAACAAUUUUCUAAAUGGUGAAUUGCCAAUUGCCAAACUAAACUUCAUUACAACAAGUCUAAUAUACUAAGUUAAAAAUAGGCUUCAACGUGUGUAACAAUCAGAUCAUAGAACACACUCGCACAAUGCAAAAGAAAAAGAAAAAAACUUUUAAAGCUUCAGACACAUAUUGUCAAACACCUUACAAGCACAAACUAAUAUCAUAUUUUCUCAUAAUCUCACCAAAAAAAAAUCUUGUUUAAGUUUCAAGAUAGAAUUGAUUGAUGAUGUUCUUUUCUAGAAGAUUUCAAGAAAUAAAUAAGAGAAUACUUCAACUUUUCUGCAUGAUUCCAAAAUCCCAUCAAUCAAGAAAUCUUGUUGUAAUCCCACAAGGAAAGCUUAUGUUCUUCCUCCGUCCACAGUACAACAAGAUAAAACCUAACGAAAAUCCUAAAUGUAUUAAGUGAAAAUCCCCACAAAUUAUCAGUCAUUUACACAACUACACCAAAUCAUAUCUUAAAAUCACAAGGUAAGAAAAAAUGGAUAUGUUGCUGUUGAUCAGUAUCAUCAUCAUCAAGUUACUGUUUGAAAUCAUUUUCUUUAAGCUUCACUCUUGAUUUUGUUUGAGAUUUAUGAGGAAAUAAAACAGGAGGCUCUUGAUCUUAUGGGUUAAAGAUUGAAUUCAUAGCUUGAUCCCAUAGUUUCAACCAUAACUUAAAGUACUCUAAAACAUGAACUUAGGAUCUUGAUCUUAUGGGUUAACGAUUGAACUCAUAGAUUAGAGUGUGAGAAUGACUUUCUUUUUUGCAUAAAAGGGAAAACAAUGGUAAUGGUGAACAACAUUUUCUCUUCGAUGCUUUGUUUUUCAUUUCCAUCUUCUUUGUACAUUCUUAGAAGAAAUUGUUAUUUAUGAUUAUUGUACAAGUGUGAGUAUGUUUAUAGAUGUUUUUUUAUGGGUAUUAAAAAUAUGCUACUUCGGUAUCACUUAGGUCUUCAUAAGAUUACUCAUUGCCUCUUAAGAGUAUGGAACUUGUCAAUUUUGCUAGGUUUCGUCUUGCUACAACAAUGGAGGAUUUCUAGAGGGUCAAAGGUGAACAUUGAAACUAUGGAAGCACCCUAUGUUUUCUUAAUACUGAAAUUUUUAGUCAUAUAUAUAUAUUUUGCUAAGUUGGACAAAGGUUUUAACAAGACAAAAGGGAGUCUUAUAAGUUAUGUACUCAUUUCAUGUUUUGGUUUUUAGGCACAGUAAAAAGGAUACUUCCUUUUGGUUUUAUUUUGGUUUGAGUUUGUUGUUAUCUUGUUGUUAGGGUAACAAUUGAGUUAUCUUUUGUAGAUUUAUUUUCUUGGAUGUGGGAUGAAAUAUAGGUGGGGACUUAUGUGUAUAUUUUCUAAAAUGUAAAAUGUAGGUUUUGGUUGUCAUUGUUUUGGUUUUUGUAGAGAAAAGUUCGUGAGUUAAGUUUUGUUUUUGUAAGUUCGAUUAAGAGUUAUGUUUGAAAGUUGCUAUAUGUUUUGGUUGUAAAGAAAGGUUCAUAAACAUACGUUUAGAAUUUAAGUUUAGAUUGUUUUCUUGGACAUGGGAUGAAACAUAAUUUUGUUUUUGUAAGUUCAUAUUAUUUAUUCAUCUUCUUUUUUCAGAUUUCUUCAGCCACUCUUCCAAUUUUUCUUUCUUCUACUAAAUUCAUAUUAUUUUUCUUUAUUUUUUGAUCAUCUCUUUCUUUCUUUCACCACUCUUCCAGAAUAUCAAGAUUGCUUAAAUAUCACUUUGAUAUGAUCUAAAUGAUCACUUAUCUAGUCAACAUGAUCAACAAGAUCGUUUAGCAUUACAUGCCAAUACAAUCGUUUAGAUUUGAAACCAUUUUUCCAUCGUUAAAAAAGAACUACACGAUCGCGUAGAUAUGAUCUAAACAAUCACUUACCAUAGUUAACAUGAUCGUUUAGGAUGAUUACUACAAUCAUUUAGAUUUGAAGUCAUUUUUCUAAAUAACUACACAAUUAUGUGGAUAUGAUCUAAACGAUCGCUUACCAUAGUCAAUAUGAUCGUAGCAGUCAUUUAGAUUUGAAGCAUUUUUUUCAUCAUUAAAAAAGCUACACGAUUGUGUUGAUACUAUCUACAUAAUUGUGUAUCAUUUUCUACACUAUCACGUAUUAUGAUCGUUGAUUGUGUAAUAUUUUUUACACGAUCAGAUAUCAAGAUUGUUUAGAAAAAGAAUUACACGUACAUGUGUGAUCGAUCAAUCGAGUGUUGGCUGAAACAUAUUUUAUAUUUUUUAUUAUGGACUUAUUGAAUUUUUUUUGUUUACAAAAUAGCAGUAGAAUGUAAAUAUUGUAGAGGUUGGUUAUAUUUUUGGAAACACAUCAAAAACUAAAUUUGAGAAAAGAAAUUCAUAUCAAUGCCGACAGAAAACGGCUACUAAAAACCGGAGAAAAGCUAUAAUGAUAAUAAAGCCACACUAAUUUAUUAACGUUUUCUCCUAAGAAAACAAAUAUACUAACGUCGUUUUCCUUACGGUUGGAAGUUAGAACCCCGUCAAGCGUAACGGAGCUACGGGAACUAGAAACGGGAUACUUGCAGCUACCGACACUCAUAUCCAAGCCUCUACCUUCGGAUCCCGAGCCUGAGCUCCGAAUUUACACUCGCAGCUUUCUCCACUGAACCCGAAUCCCCCUCCCUGGCCCUUUCUCAGUGGUGACUGAUGGCUCAUCACUGCGUCUUUACUCCCACUAUCCCCAUUCACAUUUCUUCUUCCCUUCUCUUUCUCACUCCCACAGAAGGGAAAGUUCUUCUUCACAAUCUCUCUGGUUUUUCUCCUCCAAUUCCCAAUUUUAAGUAAUUCAGUUUGUAUUUUCCAUUGUUUCUUAGCGAAACUCAUCUGGGGUUUUCAUCUCUUUAACUUCUGAAUUUCUUGUUCAACCCUCGAAUUUCCAUUGCGACCCACCCAUCUUUCGUUACUCCUUUUGAAAGAUGAUGCACGCCAAAUCCGAUUCGGAUGUGACGAGUUUAGCUCCAUCCUCGCCUAGGUCACCGAAGCGGCCACUCUACUAUGUGCAAAGCCCUUCGAGAGAUUCUCACGAUGGCGACAAAUCUUCCACCCAUGCCACUCCUGCCUUCAACAGCCCCAUGGAAAGCCCUUCUCAUCCAUCUUAUACUCGCCACUCUCGCUCCUCGUCGGCGAGUCGGUUUUCCGGUACGUUUCGAUCCUCUCUUGGCCGGAAAGGUAGCCGGAAACGCAACGAUAAAGGGUGGCCAGAGUGUAAUGUGAUUGAAGAAGAGGGGGACUAUGAUGAUCUAAAUGGAGAUAAAGGGUUAACUAGAAGAUGCCAGAUUCUGAUGAUUUUGCUUGCUUUUGUUUUUAUCUUCUUGUUGUUCUGUUUGAUCAUUUGGGGUGCUAGCCGACCUUUCAAAGCAGAGAUCAAACUCAAGGUUGUGUUUCUAACUCUAUAUAUACUCUGAAACUAUAUAAAAUUAUUAGAAUAUUGAUUUGUUUUGUUGUAGUUGAUUAGAAUAAUAUUUGCCUAUAGUUGUGAAUAUUUUAAGACUUCUCUGGCGUGUAGGAUCUUUGUGAAGAAUUGAUACUAUCUUUAACAACUUCAUAUAUAUUUCUAUUUUCAUUCUUCUUUUGUCUAACUAUGGUUUUGGCUGCUGCACCAUAACUUCUCAGUUAAGGAUUUGAUGAUUGAAGUUAUUUGGUUGUCAAUGUAUGAGAAGUGAUUUUUGUUUCAUUGUUUUUAUCCUCUUUCUCUUACAGAGCAUGACCGUUCAUAAUGUAUAUUUUGGAGAAGGAUCAGACACAACAGGAGUUCCAACCAAAUUACUGACUAUCAACUGUUCAUUAAGGAUCACUGUUCACAAUCCUGCAACUUUCUUUGGCAUUCAUGUCAGUUCCUCCCCCAUCAAUCUUAUGUACUCCCAGAUUGCAGUUGCCUCUGGUCAGGUAAAAUUCCUAACGACAAACUUCCAUAAAAUAAGGCACUAAGAAACUGAAAUGGAGACUGAUCCACAGGAAAGGGAAAAUAUAUGAGAUCUUUUCUUACUUUGCAGUUGAAGAAAUACUAUCAACCGAGACAGAGCAAUCGAAUCAAAUUGGUGAAUCUUCAAGGGAACAAGGUGCCACUAUAUGGGGCUGGAGCAACCCUUGAAGCCUUGGAUAAAAAUGGAAACAUUCCUAUGAUGUUGGUGUUUGAAGUACAUUCAAGAGGGAAUGUGGUAGGGAAACUAGUAAGAUCAAAGCAUAGAAGGCGUGUAUCGUGUUCUUUGGAGAUUGACUCUCGCAACUCGAAGCCUAUGAAGAUUAAAGCUGAUUCAUGUACAUAUGAUUGAGACAUUAGAAUCUCCAUCUUGCAUCCUUCUUUUCAUUGGAAGGGAAAGAUUCUACCUGUAGGGGAUCAAACUAUGGUUGUAAAAAUAGGCUGUUGACUUAGUUCUUUCUUCUUGACAGCAAUGGAAUAAAUAAGGAAAAAAAAAAAGAUGAGUGGAUCAGUUUAUGGACAUACUAUUUUUAUUACAACUACUUUCCAUAAAACAAUAGAGCAUGCGCAAUUAUGGUACAAUUAUUUGACAAAAUGAAAUGAUAUGUUCUUUAUGCUUCUAACAAGACAACAUUGUUUUAUAAAUUAAAGCACUUUACUGCCUAUUGAAAAGGAAAAUGGAGCUAGCAGUUUAACGAUGUUUUCUUAAAUAUACUUUUUGUGGAUAAGAUAGUUAAAUCACAAAUAAAAAUUGAAAAAAAAAUGAAUGUGUUUUUACUUUUUAUUAUCAUAAAAGAGAAUACUAAAGUUUUUUUUCAUAAAGUUUUCUUUUGGAACACAUAAACAAAAUAGUAAAUUUAACUUUUGUUUUCAUCCAAUAUCACUCUACAUUGGAAUUAACUUACCUCAACCCACUCAACCCACACUAGAAUGUUAUUUCAUUUGUCCUCCCAGUAAAAAUUGGUAAUUAGACAGAAAAAAUAAAGAGGUUAGAGACCGCUGAAUAAAUGAAAUGCUUAAGCUUAAGAUUUUUUUUUUCUUUGCGUGAGAGUUAUCCAACUUGAGUUAUGGGGAAAAUAAUGAGUUUUUUUUUCAAAAGAAAAACAAAAGAAUAAGAAAAAAUUAUUUAAAUCAUAGUCUAAUUGAUUUAAUAAUCUAUGGAUCUAUUUGACAUUAAUUAGAAUUAUAUACAUAACUUUGAAUUUCCUCGAGCCCUACGAGGAGAAAACUUAAAUUCUACUUUGGUCUCUAAAUGUAAGACUUGUACUUAAGUUAAGAAGUAAAUUGUUGAUUAAAUGUUUAAGAGAAGGCAUUUUGAUUAGUUUUCAUGGUAAGAGGUUGGUGAUUUGAAGUAGUAUGAGAGAAAACAAGGUUAUGUGGUAAGGACUUCUCGACGUUUAAGUAAUUAUAUGCGAUUGAGAUACUACGCCAAAUGAAAGACUUGGUGAGAAGAAGUAAGAAAACUUCUAAGAAAUUUUCUAAGUUUGGUUAAUGGGCCACAUGUAGAGUUUAAGUUAAAGUAGGAUUAAAUUAAACCUUAAGCUUACACGUGCACAAUACAGGUAGGAGUUGGUGAGAGUUGGUGAGCUGACAAUAGUUUAAAGAUAGAGAGUGCCAUAUGUGGAUUUCUUUGUCUUCAUAUAACAUAUAAGGUAUGGACAAUAUAGCAAAAAUGUAGCAUUAACGAAUUUUCUAGUCUGGCCGAGUCCUCGAAAGAAGUUUUUAUGGGAUCCCUAUCUACCAAAAUUUUGACUUCUGGUUCCGGCGAACGAAUAAUCAUUGAGUCCUCCUCUUUCCGGACAACACAUACAAAGAGACCCGCCAAUAGUUAAGUAAUUAGUGAACCUAUGAGAGAUUUUUCUACUUAGUUUCUUUCUCUGCUAUCUCCCAUCUAUUUUAUUUUUUUUUAUUUAGUUAUUCACUAGAGCAAUUAUGAUCUAGAAGUUGAUCCGGGGCAAGUGUUCGGAUCUAUUAUGACAUAGCCAUGAGGCGCUCAACGGACCUUUUGAAUCUUAUAAAACCUUUUUCCGGGUUUUGAAUUGACACAAAUUCAAUUUUUUUGUAGAACCUAAUGUAUUCACAUAUCUCGAUUAGAAGUUCCUAAAUGGAACUACUUUAUGUCUUACAUAGAACAUAUUUCGUAGUCUUUCAUAACAGAAAUAUUGUUAAGAGUCUUCUGUCGUGAAAACAAAAAAGUUUGUGACGCUGAAAGAGGCCUUCGCAAUAAAUCAGCUACAAUUGGAAAUGCCUUUUAUCUCAUACUACUCUUUCGAUACAUAACCUAAUGGUUUAGAAAAAAAAAAAAAGAAAAAAAUUCUCAUAUCGAAUUCAAAGUGCCAUGCUAUUAUUACUUAAUAUUUUAUAUCGCGAAGGCAUAGUUUUUUGUCUAAAAAAAAAAAACUCAUUGGCGCCGAGCGUGAGGGAAUGCUAGACGUUUGGUAAUUUCUCCUCCGACUAGAAUAAAAGAUCCCAUUGAAGCGGCUAAUCCAAUACAUAUUGUAUGGACAUCUGGUGACACAAAUUGCAUAGUAUCAAAAAGACCUACUCCGGGUAUUACCGAUCCACCGGGAGAGUUUAUAAAUAAAUACUGAUCUUUGGUACCAUCCUCUAUACUGAGAUAUACCAUAAGACCCAUAAUUUGAUUCGAGAUCUCAUUAUUAACAUCUUGGCCUAAAAAAAGUAAUCUUUGUCGAUAAAGUCGGUUGAUUAGGAUAAAAUUGUAUCCCGUAAGAAGCGUACAAGUAUUAGAAAAAUUCUAUAUUUGUGUGAAUCGUUAUUGGUUUGAUACCAAUAAUAGCAGUCGUUUUAGUAUGCUAAGGAUCCAUAUGUAUCCACAAUUGAAAAUUCGUUAAUGCUACAUUUUUGCUAUAUUGCCCGUACCAUAUAUGGUAUAUGAAGACAAAGAAAUACACAUAUGGCACUCUCUUAGAUUCUGAUAGACGAUAUUAAUUCAAUGACGUAUCUAUUCGAUUUAGAAAUGAAUCCAGAAAAUAUUCUUAUUUCAUUUUAAAUUCAAAUUUGCAGUCUAAAUAUUUUUUGUGCAUGCAGAAAUAUACCAGACUUUUGUAUACCUAUCUAAAUACAAUUUUCAAAAAUUGAAUUGCUAAAUUUUAUAAAAAAAAAAAAAAGAAAUUCUUAAUCAAAGUAAGAUUAUUGUGUAUAUCAAAUUAAAAUGAGUAACAUUAUUAUUACUGAUCACUAAUAAUUUAUAAAAAAAAUAAAAAAAGGAGGCUAAGGAGAUUUCAUUUUAUGGUAAAAAAUUCAUUCAGCUCAGUUAUUUCGCAAGAAGAAAAAAAAGAAAAUGGAGGAUCCGUUGAAUUUCAAGUAGUCAGUUUCACCAAUAAGAUACGAAGACUUACUUCACAUUUGGAAUUGCACAAAAAAGACUAUUUAUCUCAAAGAGGUCUACGUAAAAUUCUCGGAAAACGCCAACGAUUACUUUCUUAUUUAUGAAUAUUACUUGCAUGAAUGAUUUGGCCAAUCAUGAAUUGGUUAUGAAACCAUGUAAAUGAGAAUUUUACUAAAAAUUCUCAAGAGAUACUAAAAAAAUUCAUUAAUCUCUAUAUGAAUGUUCAUUUGGUAAGAGUUGAUCAACAUAAUAUUCCACUUUCUUAGUUAGAAUCUUGCCUGGUGAAGUAACUGUGUUUUAGAUGUAUACAUAGGUAAAGCCGUGUGCAAUGAAAAAUGCAAGCACGGUUUGGGGAGGGAUUUUUUUUACUUAUUUUUUUUUUAAGUAAAUUAUCGACUCCAUCCGACUAGUUCCGGGUUCGAGUCCCGGGCAACCCAUAUUAAUGAUGAUAGUGAACUAAUUUAUCAUAUCAAAAUAAUCUAUCAAGUCUAAUUCGAUUUUUUAAUGAAUGAAAAGAAUUAAAUAAAAAAAAGAAAGAUUAAUCUAGAUAACUAAUAAAAGCAUAGAUAUAUAUUGGAAAAUUGCCAAAAAUAGGUAAAAAAUGGGGUAGAAAAUGAGUUUUAGGAUUGAUUUUAAAAAAGUUGAGAUUUAUGACAAAUUUGGAGUGAAAUGUCCAGAAUACCCUUAUUUAAUUUUACUUCACAUUUGUCUCUUCUCUUCCAACCUCUCUUCAACGUAUAGUACGUAAAGGAGAAAAAAAAACAAAAAAAACCCAUUUGCAGUUCUUCUCCUCUCUAAAAAAUUUGUCAACUUUCUGCUUUACUCCGGUGUCGUUCAUCCUCUACUCCGGUGAACAUCUCACGCACUGUGGUUUGUUUUAAUUUUUUUUUAAUUCGAAUCGUGUUGUGUUAUAUGUAUAUAUAUUUGCAUCUUAUAUGUAUAAAUCAAAUAUAAUUUUUAAUUGUUUCAAGUUGAUUUAGGGUUGUUUUAGAGUUGUUUCAAAGGAUGUUAGCAAGUUAUUAAUUUUUUUUUUUAUCUCGCAAACAUCUCGCAGACAUCUCGUAGGUUCUUAAAUUCAAAUGUUUAAUCUCAAAUGAAUUGAUUUAGGGUGACUUUUAACUAUUGUUUUAUGUAUCUCGCAAUAUCGUAAACAUUUCGUAGCUGUCAAACUUUAAAUGUCCAAGACUGAAUUAGUUAUAUACUUAUUUAGGAUGUGACUAUGCACGUUUUAUUUAGUGUUUAGCUACUAUUUUUUAAUUUCGUAAAAUAAGUCAAUAAACUUUUUUUAUGUGAUAUGUCAAAUUCUAACUUCAAAUCAGUUUUUGCAGCAAUUAAAAAGUAUAAGGUGGUUUAAGGAUGUCACAUGUUCGGAUGUUAGUGUGUUACGAUGGUACAUGGGAUGAUGAGCGAAGAAAAUACGAAGAAGGCAUGUUAAAAGGCAUCGUUGUCAGUAAAGAAAUAACACAUAAAGAUUUACAGGCAUAAUUAUAUGACCUUGCAGAAGUUGACCCUACAAAGUUCGACAUAAUGAUAAGAUGCAUAUAUGAAAUAAAAGUGGAACACGAAGCUCCUCCAUUUGAGUUAAGCAAUGACCGUGAUUUGAAGUUUUAUCUUCUUAGUGAAAAUCCACUAGAGGUCCCUUUAUGCGUCUCAUUUGAGCCUAAAAGUAAUCAAAGCAAAAAAAUGUUAAACAAAGAUUACAAUUUAGUAUCUGAGAGCAACCAAGCUCAUAACUUAAACCCUCAUCCUCCAAUUGCAAUGAAUACAUUAAAUGAGAAUGUAGUUCAUGUUUGUGAAGUUGAAGUUGGUUUGUGUGAUAACAUGAUAGGGACCACUUCGGCUAUAUGGGAAUCAUAUGAGUCAUAUGAUUCGAAAGAUAAUACUUUUCCAUGGGAGCCAGUUGAGAUGAAUAAUGAAUCAUUUGACAUCCCACAACAUAGAGAUGCUCCUACAAAAGAUUGCAAAGGAAAAUCUAAAGUUCAUUACAGCUCUUCUAGCCGAAAGUUGAAGACAGAAAGAAGUGAUUGGUCUAAAGAAAGCUCUACAAGUGAGGAGUUUGAUGUACGACAAAUAUUUUUUUCCAAAAGAGAUUUGCCAAUGAGAUUAAGUGUCUUGGCGAUGAAAUUUUUUUUUCAGUUUGUAGUAAAAAAGUCUACAAAAAAGGUUCUUUUUAUUAGAUGCAUUGACAACAAGUGUGGUUGGAGACUGCGAGUGAUGAGAUUGAAGGAUUCAAAUAUAUUCAAGAUUAAAAAGUAUGUCAAAGUUCAUUCGUGUUCUCUUGAGUUUUUGAAUCGUGAUCAUAGGUAAGCAAAAUCUUGGGUUGUUGGAGAAUUAAUAAAGUCAAAAUUCAAUGGAGUCGGUCGUCUAUACAAAUCAUGUGAUAUCAUUGAAGACAUGAGGCAAGACUAUGGCAUAAAUAUGAGUUAUGAAAAAGCAUGGCGUGCUAGAGAAAAUGCGUAUGAACGAGUGUGAGGGUGUCCUGAAGAGUCAUAUAAUCUAUUGCUUAGAUAUGGUGAAGCUCUCAAACUUGCAAAUCUAGGUACAAUAUUUCACAUGGAACUUGAAGAUGAUCGUUUCUUUAAAUAUCUUUUUAUAGCUGUUGGUCCAUGUGUUCGAGGAUUCUUAAACUACAUUAGACCGAUUAUAGUUAUGGAUGGAACAUUCCUUAAGAACAAAUAUCGAGGUCAGUUGAUAGUUGUUGUUUGCUUGGAUGGUAACAAUCAAAUUUAUCCUCUUGCCUUUGGAGUGGUGGACAGAGAAACAGAUGCUUCAAUACAGUGGUUCUUAGAGAAAUUGAAAGGUGCAAUAGGGGAGGUGCCUAAUCUAGGCUUCGUGACAGAUCGAAAAAUAUGUUUUUCUAAGGGUAUUUCAUCGGUUUUUCCCUCCGCAUUCCAUGGACUUUGUGUCCAACAUUUGACUCAAAAUUUGAAUGAUAAAUAUAAGAAUGACAUUGUAGCUACUUUGUUUUACAAUGCAUCUAGAACAUAUCGUGAAUCAACGUUCUCAGAAGCGUGGAGAAGUAUUCUUGCAUUUCCUAAUGGUUCAGGAAAAUAUUUAAACGAUGUUGGAAUAACACGAUGGUCUCGUUUUCACUGUCCAGGAAGACGAUAUAAUAUGAUGACAACAAAUAUAGCAGAGUCCAUGAAUUCUAUACUGAAAGAACCUAGAGAUUUGCCUAUUGCUUCAUUCCUUGAACAUGUUCGAGCUUUGCUACAACGUUGGUUUUGGGAGCGUCGAGAAGAAGGCAUUAAAGUGACGUCUAUAUUGACUAAAUGGGCAGAGUUAGUUUACCAAAGAAACAAGAACGAGCUUUGAUAAUGAAGGUCAACCCAAUUGAUUGUUACCAAUUCCAUGUUAAAGAUUUAGAUAAAAAGGAGGUCGUAAAUCUUCAUACUCAAGAGUGCAUUUGUAAGGAGUUUCAAGCUGAGCAACUACCAUGCGCACAUGCCAUUGCUGUUGCACGGGAUCGCAAUAUAAAUGUUUAUAGCUUAUGUGCUAACUAUUACACUAAUGUAUGUUUGAUGGCAGCAUAUUCGGAGGCCGUCUACCCAGUUGGGAAUCAGUCGGAAUGGAAGACAAGUGAAGAAUAUGUACAUAUGACUAUCUUACCUCCGAAAGUAGUCAAAAGAGUUGGUCGACUGAAGAAAAAGAGGAUUCCAAGUGUCGGUGAAGCACCGAAAUUGCAUAAAUGUGUUCGAUGUAAAGAAAUAGGCCACAAUAGAUCAACAUGUACCAAUCCAAUUUCAUACAUCGAGAAGUCGAGCAUACAAGAUUAGUCCUCGUCUUGGUAUGUAGUAUUACUUUUAUACUUGCUUGGUUUGUGCUUGAGUUGUUUGCAUGAUCACAAUGUAAAAAAGAUUCCUUGUUUUAAUGUAGGUGGAAGAUGAUUAUAAAAAUGUAUCCUGAGUUGUUUGCAAGAUCACUAAAGUCAUCUCACUGACAAAUCUAAUUUGAAGAUUUUCCUUCUGCAACUUCAAGACUUUCCUUCUCUUUUUAUUUAUCCUACUGUGAACAUUUUAUAGAAUAUUUACUUAUUGUAUUUUUUUUCACAAUGUUUGUAUUACUUUGCGUGUAACAACCAUUUUAUAUGGUAUUUGGUUUUAUCUUAGUGGAAUUGCAUGUCCUUUCAACUUACUCUGGUUUUGUAAGUUUCCCUUUCUCUUUGCUAUCUAAUUGACAUUCUCUCCUUCAUCUUCAUCUUCAGUUUUCAUUUAUUUUGUUAUAUUAAAACAAUAUUUUGAUUGUUAUAGAAACUGGGGUUUAUUUUGUUUUUCUUUCCUUUUUCCCCCCCUUAAAAAUAGAAGCUUUAAUCAUAGUUUAUGAAAUGCAUCAACAAAUGGAGAAGAUAUGUAUAACUUGAGUAAUGACUAAUAACUAGUGACUAGUGGGAACAUAGAGUAACCAAAUUGUUGACUAAAGUCUGGCUAGCUUGUGGUGCAAAUUGUGACCUUGCUGUUGUUGGACAUUAGGGGAUCUGUUGCAGAAGGUUUUCCUGUCACUCCUUGAGUGACGAGGGCUGGAACUUGAGGAAACUGAGAUUUCUCAUUCUGUUGGGAUAAGCCAACUCCACGUUGUGUAACGAAUUUGUUUGAGAGACCAUAAUUAUAUGAACCUAAAUGCUGUAUUUUCUAAAGGAUUUCUUCCAAUGGAGGUGGAGGUCCAGACAGCUUUACUACAAAAAUUAACAUAAAAUAUCAUGCUAUUGCCAGUAUUUGAAAAAGGAAUGUGAUGAAAGCAGAGGCAUGGCCCCCUGUGCCUAUAAUAAAAUGAGAUGAAAGCAUUAUUUCAAUUAAGUCUCCAAAGAACGAAGCAGAGCCAUGGCCCCCUGUGCCAUGUAUUUGAAAAAUGAAUGUGGGAAACUGAAGGUCAAAAGUUAAAAAGCAUAUAUAAGGUUCUCCUUCGUUCAACUUUAGCUUUUUGGUAGUGGUGGUAAUUUCCAAGUCUAUUUCCAAGCAACUUUUAUUCAACAGUUCUGCAGAUUAAGCUCAAAUAAAUAUACUCUUAUAGCCUAGCUGAUUCUGAUGUUUUCAUGUCACAUCCCCUUUUUGGAGAGUUUUCUUUUCUUUUUCUUUUUCUUUUUUUUCCCUAUGACAUCAAGACAGUCUAACAUAAUUUCAAAAUCAACAUGGAAAAAAGCAAACAUGGUUGUGUUUCCUUCUGAACAUGUAAAAGGAAAAAAAAUCAGCAAAAAACUUUCAUAAUAUAAAAUGGAAAAAAAGACUAUUGUUUUUGUCUCUAAAAAAGAUGAUCAUGAAUAAAAAAAAUGUAAAGUGCAAGGAACCAUGGCAAAAUGAUCCAAAAAAGAUCAGCAAUGUGCCUACUUCCUACCACUUAAUCACACAACAAGCUGACAAAAUGAUUCUUCAGCCAAAGCCAAAAAAGUUGGUUUGAUACCAGAUUUUUAAUUAUAUCUCUCUCACUUCAACACCAAAAUUAAUUAUGGUUGGUUUCAUUUCUUUCUCUAACCAAACCCAAAUGAUGUUGAUCCAUAGCAGUAGCCCCUAAAAAUGCAAGAUAACCACAUCUCAAAUGAUGCUUAUGGGAUUGUACAUACUGCACACUUGAAUUUUUUUCCAAAGAAUAAAAUAAAAAUUUCAAAACCAUAAAAUAACAAUGGUAUUCAUUCCAUUAUAUAAAUGUAUUUAUGUACAUAGUUCGCAACAUAUACGAUAUACAAUUCCUUCAAAAUUUGCAACUAAAAGUCAAUACAUAGGAUUGUUGAUCCAUAAUUGAAAUGCCAAUUGUUUUCUAAAAUAUGACAUGUUUUCUUGACAUAAUGUAGCUACAUCUAAACCAGAAGCUUCGUAUUCGAAAUACUUAAUGGUAAAUACACCACAAUCAUUAUUUUUGCGUUGUAGUGGAAUGGAGUCAACAAUGACAAGUGGCCAAGGUUCCUUGUGUGUUGAUGAUCCAUUCUCCUAGCAAAGAAUCCAGUAGUAUCUAGCAAAUUUGGCACCAUCUCUCGAAUCGACAUUAAUAUUCUUCUCAUAUCUUCGGCACUCGUAAGCGACGGAAGUGAAUCCCAUACCUUGACUUGACAACUUACCAAGUCCAAGCAUAAUAGAAUCCAAUGAUUGCCAUGAAUAUUGAAUGGAGAGUAAAUGUAAUCAACAUUUGUCCAAGGAUCUUGAAAGUCUUGUUUUGAUCCGACAACAUAGUCAACCAAUCGAUACUCCUCCUUCUAGUGAAAUGGCCGAUUCUCUUUAUACAUUCUUGGUAUUCAUGCCACUUCACAACUAAUAGUCUCUGCAAAGAAAAAAAAAUACACAUGUAUAUGUAUUUAUGUCAGACCGAAAUAUAAUAAGACAAUAAGACAAAUAUCAAAAGCAAAUUCAUAACAUAAAGUAUGGUUGCGAAUACAAACCAUGAAGAGUGUGUCUACAGUUGUGAAGUUUUGAGUAGAAGGUAUCAUGGCUAUUCUAAACUUGAAGCGAAUGAGAAGAAAGAGUGCAUCAAAAUGCUAAUAAAAACAAAAGAAAAUAUUUAAUACUUUUUCGGUUUUGAGAUCAAACCAACUUCCUAAAAGCUAUUAUUUUUAGUUAACAAAGAAAUAAGAUUGAAGGUAGAAGUAGUAUUGAUAGGUUUGAUUUUAAAAAACAAACAUGGUUUUCCUAAGUACUCUAGACCUGUAAAGAAGAAAUAAUAAGAAAAGUCCUUACCUCAUCCGCCAACCACCGACGACACAUGAACAAGUCUUUGAAAAAUUCCUUCGAUUUUUUUCUGUGAGAAGUUUCACGCACCUCAUCUUUCGUACGCUUGUCUGUAAUCCAAGCUCUAAGUCGAUCUAAAUUGGCGUCAGGUAUUUUGUGCAUAGGAUCAUAAACAGAUGGUUGAGACUGAGAGGUGGUGGUGGUUGAUUUCGUCGACCGUUUAAUUAAAGUUGUGAAGGGGGUUCACAAGUAAACACUUGCACGCUUGCUAUGUGCAGGCCGAACGUGUGGUUGUUGAGUGGAUAAGGGUUCUAUUUCCAUGAUGUCUAAAUCAAAAUGGGUAAGACUUUUUUCUCCAGUUUCCUCCUUGAAAUCGUCAACGACGUCUAUUGGCUCAUCCAAACCAAUAUGAACCUUCUUCUCUAACACGUCGAUUGUGUCAUCCUCCUUGCGGUCUCUUUUAACACCCUAUAGAAGGUCAAAUUGCAUUAGUAAGGAUAAUGAUAUAAACUAAGCAUCAAGAUUAGCUAUAUCAAAAUAAAGCAUUAGUAAAGAUGAUUUUUACCCCAUUACACAACUUUGAUUCCUAACCUUUUUUUGAAGUUCAACGUGUUUCACCCCAUUACUUGUGUCAUCCUCCUUUGGCAUCCUCAACCAAGAAGGGGUAACGGGUGUGUCAACAUCUUGGGUCUGGGCAUCAUGACCUUCAAAUCCUGUGCAGUCUCCUUCUUCACCCUUUGGAAAUGUCAAAAUGUAUUGGUAAGGAUAACUUUGAAAAUGUUAAUCAAACUUUACUUCCUAACCUUUCUUUGAAGUUCAAGGUGUUUCAAUAUAGUCGACAUAAUUGAUUUUAGGCUUCCACGUUCAUUCUCGAGAACCGCUACUCGGUAUUUGAGUUUCCGAACAACUUCUUUCAUCGUAGACUUCCACUUCUUUUUCUUACUCUUUUUACUCUUUUUGCAGUCAUCAUCAUCAUUACUACUUCUCUUGGUCGUUUUGAACCACCAUUAUUCUCAGAAACGAUGUUAGAUGGAUGGGGUUUGUCAAAAAGUUCUUCUGAAGACAUUCUUAGAUGCUCCUCUUCAGACGUCAUCUCAAUUACCGCAUUAAUUAUGAACUACAAAGCGGAAAAAUAAAUGUAGUUAGGCAAAACAAAAAGGAACAAAGUCAUGCAUACGGUAAGUUAGUUACUAUUGGUUGCUACUUACCAUGGACGAGUCAAACACCUGGCUCUGUAGGACAUGAGACUUUGGCGAUAGUUCGCACACCCACCUUAGCAUUCGUGGUAUGACAUUGUUGCUUACUUUAUGUACACCACAUUCAGUGAUGGUUGAUAUAAAUUCAUAUUCCCAAACCUAUUCCAUGUUCGACAAAACAAGUUUAGCAAGUGUCCCAAGAUAUAUGUAUAUAUAAAUAUGUGCAUAAGUUUGAAGUAGGAAGUAACAUAUCUGUAAUGCAUGCGGAAAUCCCACGACAAUAUAUUUUGUCUUAGUUGAUUUAUUCUUUCCCUUGGCAUGUUGCAUGUCCAAGGCUCGUUUUAAGAAAGAAAUUGUGCGUCCAAAAACCAACCGUCCACAAUCAUAAUUGUUAAAUGUGGUCCAAUCAUCUGCAAUCCUAAAUAAAGUUCGGUCCACUUUGGUCUGCCUAUCUUUUCCUAACAAUGACAACUCUAUAAAGUACACUAAAGCUAAUUUAACUAGGUCAUCAUCAUCGUCAUCCCCCUCGUAUUCCACAAAUGUGUCCUUUAAGUCACUUAUAUAAAUAAACUUUUUUCUUCAAAGAACUUUUCCAACAACCUACUAUUCCCAACCAAUUAAAUAGGCUCUGUUGGAGAACUCCAUAGACCUGUCAUGAUAUUAAACUCUCUCCUACCAAAAGUGCACACAACUCCCCCUAUCAUGAAACUGAUAUGAUCAUUCCUUUCAUCUUCCACCUCCCUUAACAAAAAGUAUUGGAUGAACGACCCAUUAAAGACUAUAUUAAGAUCCAAAAAGUGGCCAAACUUUCUAUUUCUAAAUAAGGUUAAUUGAUCCAGUUUCAAUUUAGCCUUUGUAUUAUGCGUACUAUUUUCUAAAUGAGAUAAACUGCUUACUAAAGCUUGAAAAUGAUGAGAAUGAUCAAUCUUGUACAUGAGACUGUCAGUUGAUGUCAAAGUCAUACUGAAGCCUGCACAAAAAACAAACAAAUCAAAUAUAAUUGCAUAAGAGACUUACUAAACAUGGAUGCAUUGAAAUUUGGAUAAGUGCGAGAUAGGUGCGAGAUAAAAAAAUUAAAGGCUAAUAAACUUGCUAACCCUAAACCCUUAAAGCCCAAUAAACUAGCUAAAUAUGCAUUCUAAACAAUUUAGAAAGGAUAGCAAUCUCAUUUUGAAACUCCUAGUGAAAUUUUGGUAGGUGCGAGAUAUAUGCAAGAUAGGUGCGAGAUAAAAUAUUAUGGCUCAAUAAACAUACAUAGGACCAUUAUAGACGGUUUAGGAAGGGUAGCAAUCUCAUUUUGAAACUUCUACUCAAAUUUUGGUACAUGCGAGAUAGAUGCGAGAAAAAAAAGUAAAGACCAAUAAACAUAUAUUGUAACACCUUUACUAAAAUGAGAUUGCUAGUGAGGGGUUGACAAGUUCAUAAGAGAGGGGUUGACAAGUCAUAAGAGGCUUACCAUAGCAAUAAACAUGUGAAAGGACAUGCUAAAUAAACAUAUGAUAGGGGGUUGACAAGUUCAUAAGAGGCUUACUAAAUCAAAUUGCUUGCACUCCUAAACAUAUAUUGUAACACCUUUACUAAAAUGAUUAAUAAAAGGAGGAAAGCUUACAAUUCUUAUGUUUAGGAACAAAACUAAUUGAAUCAUUUGUCUUCAAAUUCUCUCUAACAAAUGAAUCCUAAUUAAAUUGGUUUGGCAUAGGACGAAUUAAUAUGAGGAGAUGCUUGGUUAUACGAGGCAACAAAGAUUGUAUUUUAUUGGAACUACAUCACUAAAAACAUCAACAAAGUAGAGAACAACAAUGCAACUUUUGAUUAUAAUAAUGUGAUUAACUCUAAAAAUGAUAAUGUCUUUUAACAUUGUUCUACUGGUAGCUUUGCUGAGUUUAGAUGGGAUACCAAAUAUGCUGGAAUUCAUGUUCUAAACUCCAAGGUAUGUAUAUAUAUAUAUAUUACAGUACAUUGCAAAGGAAAUGGAAAUGGUUCUUCGUCCAAUAUGUUGCAUGCAUAUAUAUAAUAGAUUAUUAACCCAAUUAUCUAUUAUUACAAUACAUUGCAAAGGAAAUGGUUAUUCGUCCAAUAUGUUUAUUAAUUAUAUGGUUCUUCUUCCUAAAAAUAGAAUUCAUGUUCCCACGGCUCUCUAUGUAUGUGUGCCUGUAGGACAUAUGCAUUUCUUCUCUACAAAUUUAAUGGUAUAUCUAAGAUGCCUGACAAAAAACUCAGAUUUUAUUACUCACUUGACUUCAAAGAGGAUGGAUAUCGACACUGCCAACGGAGAGGAGUGGAGAAGAAAUGGAGAGGUCCGGUGAAAACAAAGUUGAAAUCGAAAAGGAGUGGGGAAGCGUUCACCGGAGUUGAAGUUGAAACUAAAACAGAGAGCCGUGAAGAAGAAAUGGAGAGGUUCGGUGAAAACGAAGUUGAAAUUGGAAAAGAGUGGAGAAGCUUUCACCGGAGUUGAAGUCGAAACAAGAAAAAUAGAGUCGUGGAGAAGAAAUGGAUGGAAGUGGAGAAGAAAUUGAUGGAAAAGAUGUUCACCAGAGGCACCGAAGUUGAAGGAAGUGUAGAAGCAGGAGAGUUCAAAAGCGGGAGAGUUGAAGUUCACGUUUUUUUUUAAUGUUGUUCUGUUUUUAGGUUGAAGAAAAGGAAAAAGGAAAGAGGAAAUGGGGAAAUUAAAUAAGGACAUUUUGGUCAAUUCACUCCAAAUUUGUCCUAAAUCUCAACUUUUUUAAAAUCAAUCAUAAAACUCCUUUUCUACUCCAUUUUUGGCCUAUUUUUGACAAUUUUUCAUAUAUAUUUAUGGAUGUUGAUAUUGGUUGACAUGGGUAUAUAAGUCAUGUUAUACUGUUGAAUAACAAGCCCUUCAUUUUCUAUUUCUAGAGAAUUCAUGUGCUUGGGAGUCCCUGAUGAUUAAUUAUUAAAUAAACCAAGAUUUUACCAUGACUGCAAUUUUAGAGAGACGCGAAAGCGAAAGCCUAUGGGGUCGUUUCUGUAACUGGAUAACCAACACUGAAAAUCGUCUUUACAUUGGAUGAUUUGGUGUUUUGAGGAUCCCUACCUUAUUGACCGCUACUUCUGUAUUUAUUAUUGCCAAUUCUAAUGUAUCUCUGUAUCGUUUACCCCUACAAAAUACCAAAAAAAAUUGAACGAUCUUAGAUUAGAAGGGAUAUAAUGAAAUUCCUUGAUUGGUUCUUCACUGAUAAAUUAUCCCUUUUAUUUGAUUUGACUGAUGCGGACAACAAACAAUUAUAACAAAUAUCAAAAUAUCCAAAUUUCUAACUAAUACUAGCUAAAUAUAAUAGCUAUAUAUUUAUACAAAAUAUAAAAAAUUCAUUCAUAUUUGAAAAUAUUUAUCAAAAGAAAAGUUUAAUAAUAGCAUAGCAGUUAAUAAUUAAAAUAAAGAAAAAAAAAAAAUAGAGUUUUCUUAUUUGAAACGCCUUGUGAUCUUCAACCAAUUUUGGGCUUCAAUAUAAUUACCGGGAGUAAGCGCUAUAGCUUGUUUCCAAUACUCAGCGGCUUGAUUGAACCAAGCCUCCGCAAUUUCAGAAUCUCCCUGUCGAAUGGCCUGUUCUCCCCGGUCGGAAUAGGCAGGUAAAUUCCUUCCCUUAGAACCGUACUUGAGAGUUUCCUACCUCAUACGGCUCAACAGUCAAUUCUUUUGCUGUCCCAUAUUUUAAAAAAUUUACCAUAUCUAAUCUAAUUGAAUGAAAUUUUUCAUAGAUCUAGGCCAUUUUUUUUUCUCGAGUUAAGCAAAAGAGGUUAAUUAUAUAAGUUUCAAACUUCAAUUUUGCUGAAUAAUUAAAUAAGUUUUAUCUUUUCUCCCACCUUCAGAAAAAUAAAGCAUAGGCAUUCCACCCACUAUCGUUACAAUUUUCUGAAAGAUAACUAUCUCGGUUUCAUCUAGAAAUUUAUAUAGAAUCCUUGAAAAAGACUUUCCUUCAUAAGAAAGAAAAGACUUACUGUCUUUGGGAUCUGAUGCUACACCGCUGCUCAAUAUUGUAGGGGAUCCACCCUAUUACAUAAGUGGAUUCCUUCAUUUUGAUCUUAUAUCAUGAUAUAAGUAAGCAGUUUUUAUUGUAUCGGCCAAAAACCUGACUAAUUGAUCUUUACGGUGCUUCUUCUAUCAAUUAGAUCCUUUAUCCAUAGAAUAAAGUAUCUAGGCAUACCUAUUUCUUCAUAUUUCUAUUUCUAUGAAGUUUCUUUCUUUGCUACAGCUGAUACAAAUCGUUAGUUUGGACAAUACAUAUGUAGAAAGCCUAUUUUUUUUUUAGUAUUUAUUAGCGAAUUUUCUCUUUUUUUUCUUUCUAUAGUGGAGAUAGUCGCACGUAAUGACAGAUCACAGCCAUAUUAUUAAAAGCUUGUGGUAAGAACGGGUUUCGUUCUAGUGCCCGAAAAUAAUAUUCCAAAGCUUUCGUAUGUUCUCCGUUCCUUGUGUGGAUAAGACCUAUGUUAUAGAGUAUAUAACUUCGAUCAUAGGGAUCGAUUUCUAGUCGCAUAGCUUCAUAAUAAUUCUGUAGAGCUUCCGCAUAAUUUCCUUCGGAUUGAGCCGACAUCCGUUACGGUCGUUCCUUAUUCCAUUCAAAGACUUCAAAGUACCAGAGAUUCCUAGAGGCAUACCGUCAGAAAAGCUUCCUUGACCAAUUGGGUAAAUCAAGAAAACAGCAGUAGCUGCUGCAACAGGAGCUGAAUAUGCAACAGCAAUCCAAGGACGCAUACCCAGACGGAAACUAAGUUCCCACUCUCGACCCAUGUAACAUGCUACACCAAGUAAGAAGUGUAGAACAAUUAGCUCAUAAGGACCACCGUUGUAUAACCAUUCAUCAACGGAAGCAGCUUCCCAAAUUGGGUAAAAGUGCAAACCGAUAGCUGCAGAGGUAGGGAUAAUAGCACCAGAAAUAAUAUUGUUUCCGUAAAGUAGAGAUCCAGAAACAGGUUCACGAAUACCAUCAAUAUCCACUGGAGGAGCAGCAAUGAAGGCAAUAAUAAAUACAGAAGUUGCGGUCAAUAAGGUAGGGAUCAUCAAAACACCAAACCAUCCAAUGUAAAGAUGAUUUAUGCUGGUUAUCCAGUUACAGAAACGACCCCAUAUGCUUUCGCUUUUGCGUCUCUCUAAAAUUGUAGUCAUGGUAAAAUCUUGGUUUAUUUAAUAAUUAAUCAUCAGGGACUUCCAAGCACAUGAAUUCUCUAGAAAUAGAAAAUGGUGAUAAUAGCUGCCAACCUUACCCGUAUACUAUUAUUGUCACCUCCUCACUUUUUUGAGGAUUUUAAAAAUUGGAAAAAAGAAAUAUAUGUAAAGUGCACAUAUAAUGCUAUUCCAUUAGCAGAAAACGAAUUUCCCCAAAAUUGGUUAACAGACGGUAUUCAAAUAAAGAUCUUAUUUCCUUUUCGUCUGCAAUCGUGGAACCGAGAAGAAAGUAUCAGCAACAACAGGUUUUAUUACGGGACAGCUCAUGAUGUUCAUAUCGAUCUAUUAUGCGCCUCUGCAUCUAGCAUUGGGUAGACCUUAUACAAUAACUGUCCUAGCUCUACCGUAUCUUUUGUUUCAUUUCUUCUGGACCAAUCCCAAACACUUUUUUUAUUAUGGAUCUACUACCAGAAACUCAAUGCGUAAUCUUAGCAUUCAAUGUGUAUUCCUGAAUAAUCUCAUUUUUCAAUUAUUCAACCAUUUCAUUUUACCAAGUUCAAUGUUAGUCAGAUUAGUCAACAUUUCUAUGUUUCGAUGCAACAACAAGAUGUUAUUUGUAACAAGUAGUUUUGUUGGUUGGUUAAUUGGUCACAUUUUAUUCAUGAAAUCGGUUGGAUUGAUAUUAGUCUGGAUACAGCAAAAUAAUUCUAUUAUAUCUAAGAAGUACAUUAGAUCUAAUAAGUACCUUGUGUCAGAAUUCAGAAAUUCUAUGCUCCAAUCUUUAGUAUUAUCUUAUUUAUUACCUGGGUCUACUAUUUAGGCAGAAUACCGUCACCCAUUCAACUGAAAGAAACCUCAAAAACCUCAGAAACGGCGGAAACGGAGGAAAGCGAGGAAGAAACAGAUGUAGAAAUAGAAACCACUUCCGAAACGAAGGGGACUAAACAGGAACAAGAGGGAUCCACCGAAGAAGAUACUUCUCCUUCCCUUUUUUCGGAAGAAAAGGAGGAUCCGGACAAAAUCAAUGAAACAAAAGAGAUCUGAAUAGAUAAAAAGGAAAAAUAUCUCUUCGGGUUUGAAAAAUCUCUUGAGACUAUCCUUUUCGACUAUAAACGAUGGAAUCGUCCAUUUCGAUAUAUAAAGAAUGAUAAAUUUGACAAUGCUGUUAGAAAAGAAAUGUCACAAUAUUUUUUUUAUACAUGUCAAAGUGACGGAAAAGACCGAAUAGUUUUUACAUAUCCACCUAGUGUAGCAACUUUUUUCGAACUGAUAGAAAAAAAGAUAUCUUUGUUUUCAACAGAAAAACUUUUUUAUGAUGAAUUCGAUAAUCCUUGGAAGUCUUUGAAUGAACAAAAAAAAAGAAUUUUAAACAAAAUAGUUAUAACUAGAAUUCUACUUCUCGAUAAGGGAUCCCCAACUCUAGUUGGAGAUGUACUGCAAAAAAGGACUCAAUUAUGUAAUGAUCAAACUAAAAAAGAAUAUUUACCAAAAAUAUAUGAUCCGUUGUUGAGUGGUCCUUACCAGAGAUGAAUCAAUUUAUGUUUAGGAUUCUCAAUACUAAAUGAAACUUCUAGAAAAAAUGAUAGUGAGAACAUUUGGACAAAUAAGAUUCAUGCUAUUGUUCAUAAUAAUAACAACUGUUUCUUCGAUGGAGUUACAAUUCCUUACAAGGCUAACGCAAGUGAUCAAAACUCGAUUGAAUUAACAGAAAUCAGUAAAAAAAUUUCCUCGCUGGUCAUACAAGUUAAUCAAGGAGAUAGAACAAGUGUACGACAUAACCGAUGGAGAGCUCGUGUUAGAUUAUCAAAUUCGUUCAAGAAAAUGCAAACGUGUAGUAAUUUUAAGUGACCUUAACAAAAUUAAGAAGAUUUCUACUUCUACUUCGACUAAUGAGAUUAAGUCGAAGGACGAACCAAAGGACGAACCAAUGGAACAGGCUAUUAUACGCUAUGCCAAGCAAUGGGAUUUUCGUCGAGAGAUAAUCAAAGGCUCUAUGCGUGCUCAACGACGUAAAAUGGGUAUUUAUCAACUGUUUCAAGGUGCAAAUUCUUAUCUUUUCUUGGACAGACACAAUUUUUUUUUUUCUGAUUUUUGUAUUUAUAUUCCUAGACUAAUGGAAAAACUUGAUAGACUUCGGAUACGGACACCUCAUUUUUUUCGUAUGUUUGUCUGUAAUGAAUAAUUGUAAAUUCAAGUAACAAUUCAUACAUCUUUGUCACUUUAUUUUUGAUUUUAGGGAAAGAUUCUUGAGUCUCUUAAGUUAAAUAAACUAGGCAGAAAAUGCUGAUAUGUAUGUAUUGUUAUUAUCUAUUUUUAUCGUUUUAUUUCUUUUUUUUUUUUUUACAAAAAUUUAGUCAAAUAAUAAUAUUGAGGUAGUAAAAUUUCAAUCAAGUAAAUCUUUUUAAUGAUUUCUUAUGAGUCCUUGGUACUCGAAGAAGUGUGAAACUCGUGAAUCCAUUCUAUGAAGAAAUUGAAAAAUGGAGAUUCUUAAUUAUUCGUAAUUAAUUAUUUCUUAAUUUAUUUUAUAGAAAUUCCCAAAAAUCUCUCCAUAUUUCUAUUAUAUAGAAAAUAUCUAUAUAUAGAGAAAUAAAUAUUGCACUCAUACAAAAAAAAUGUUAUUGAUCCAAUAUAUACAAUAAAAUAUGGGUUUAAAUAAAUUGAAGUAUUGCUAAGACUUUUUCAAAAACUACCCAUGUCAUAAGAGUAUAGAUUACUAUGGACCAACUAACCCAAUGACUAUACAUGAUUCCAUAAAUGAAUCAAUUACAUACCAGUUCCAAGAAAUUAGAGGUUAUGGUAAAACUUCGUUUAAAACGAUGUGGUAGAAAGCAACGUGCGACUUGAAGGACAUGAUCCACUGUGGAUUCUUACACCCACCAUUUUUAGGAAUGAAGAUGCUCUUGACUCGACAUAGUUUGUUCGGUUGCACUGAGCUCUGUUUUUUUUAGGGUUUUGAUGUAACAUAGUACAUGAUGGAGCUCGAGUAGAAAGUAUUGAUUCAUUUAUCAAGGGCAGAGAUCUAGGGUUAGUGUCAAUCAAUAAGUUAAAACUACUUCGUAAGUAUAGGUUCGGUAUACAAAUCGAAAGGAUCCAAUUCGAACAAGUUUCAAAUUCAAACAUAAAAUUUGAUCAAAAGUGUAUCACACGAGAAUCCAUUAUUUAUAUGAUUCUUUGAUAAAAAGAAAUCACAAAAAAAUGGUAUGUUGCUACCAUUUUGAAACGAUUAAAGAUCACCGAAGUAAUGUCUAAACCCAAUGAUUCAAGGCAAGGAUAAAGGAUCCCGGAACAAGUAAAAAUCUUUUUCAAUUGUCUCAAUAACUAAACUAGAUCAGAAUGAAGAAUCGAAAUAGAUUCUAACGGAGACAGGCAAAAAUAAAGAGGUUAGAGACCGCUCAAUAAAUGAAAUGCUUAAGCUUAAGGUUUUUUUCCUUUGCGUGAGAGUUAUCCAACUUGAGUUAUGGGGAUAAGAAUGAGUUUUUUUUUUCAAAAGAAAAAAUUAUUUAAAUCAUAGUCUAAUUGAUUUAAUAAUCUAUGGAUCUAUUUGACAUUAAUUAGAAUUCUAUACAUAACUUUGAAUUUCCUCGAGCCGUACGAGGAGAAAACUUCUUAUACGGUUCUGGGGGGGGUAUUGUUAAUUUACAUCUAUCCCAAUGAGCUGUUUAUCGAAUCAUUGCAAUUGAUGUUCGAUCCCGAAGAGAAGGAAGAGAUCUUCGUAAAGUGGGUUUUUAUGAUCCGAUAAAGAAUCAAACCUAUUUAAAUGUUCCUGCGAUUCUAUAUUUCCUUGAAAAGGGUGCUCAACCUACAGGAACUGUUCAUGAUAUUUUAAAGAAGGCAGGUGUUUUUACGGAACUUCACCUUAAUCAAUAACCGAAAUUCCAUUAAUAUUAAUAAACGAGGGUGUGGAUAACUUAACUUGUAUAUAGCUUUGACUAACCUUUUCUUUAGUAUUUCCCCCCUCUCUUGUUCUAUUCUUCCUAUACAUAUUAUCUUAAAGAAAAUAUUAACAAGAUAUUGAGGAAUUGUCCAUACGUAAAAUCAUAAUUAUUGAUACGGGUCUUUUCCAUGUAAUACACAUAAAAUAGGGAAUCUUUUGUUACAAUAGAAGCGGAAGUGAUGUGGAUUAUUCAAGAAUUGAAGUCGAGUUGCUUUAUAAAAAGAAGAUAUCAAUAAACUUCUAUGAAAUGGUUUCACGGGAUUUAGCCACUUGUCUUGAUCGUGGGAUAUCAUUGAGAAAUAGGACUUCGUGUUAUCAAGGGAUUUCUUGCGAUUAUUUCUAGUAUGGAAUGAGUCAAUCAUCCACUUUGGUAUCUUAUUGAACAAAAAUGGUGAUAUUGUUCCUCCAUUGAUCAAGAAUUUUGAUUUUUGGGAAGUAUAAUGACCAUCCAAUAAGAAGGGUUUCAAUUUUUUCAAAUAAACGAUUUGAAGACCUAUUGAUUCUAACAACUGAUUGCAGAGUCGAUUAUUCGAACCUUUCAAUUCAUAAAUGUGGGUCCGGACUAUUAUUGGUUGAUAGAGAAUCAAAGUUGAUUUACCAAUGAAUUGCGAAAUGCUAUGGUUCUUCAAUAUGAUUUCUUCAUUUUGUCAAAAGUAAUUCGCUGGAUCAUGCACCUUUUCGUAGUUAUAACUAGAAAAGUACAGUUGGUUGUAUCCAACUUAUUCUUGAAAUAAACAACUCGCACACACUCCCUUUCCAAAAAAAAUCAAUACACCAAGCACUACGCUUAGAUUUAUUGGAUUUGUUGCUAAAAUAUCGGUAUUAAAUCCGAAACUCUCGGCGGAUGGCCAAUAACCCAAAGAAAUGAAAGAAUCGGUUACAUUUUUCAUAUGAUCUCCUUUUAUAGAUAAAACUAAUUAUCUAUUUCUUUCUAUUUCUUUUAUUUUUUAUUAAUUUAAAAUAUGUUGUAAGAAUCCUAAAAAAAAAGUUCCAUUCGAGAUUGGACUAAGAAAGGGAAGGAAGAAGGCGAGUCAGUAUGCUAAUGCCUCAUCCUCAAAUCAAUCCUUCCCAUAAGUUAUUGUCCCAACGAAUAAGUAAUUGUCGGAGUGAAAGCUUCAUAUAAUUCGAAAAAGCAGCAAGAGCAGCAAAUCCAAGUAAAUAAAAUACGAAAAAAAAUACGUAAUUUUUUUAGGAUUAAACAAAAGGAUUCGCAAAUAAAAGUGCUAAUGCUACAACCAGUCCAUAAAUUGUUAAAGCUUCCAUAAAAGCCAGACUAAGCAAUAAAGUACCUCGGAUUUUUCCCUCCGCCUCGGGUUGUCUCGCGAUCCCUUCUACAGCUUGGCCCGCAGCAGUACCUUAACCAAUCCCAGGUCCAAUAGAAGGAAGCCCGACGACCAACCCAGCAACAAUAACAGAAGAGGCAGAAAUCAGUGGAUUCAUGAUAAGUUCCUCAUACUAAAAUAAAAGAAAGAAAUGGUUAAUGAUACAAUGAACCAAUGAAUUAUAACUUAUUAUUCCAUCACUAAGAUUUAUCCAACUAAAAAUUACGAAUUGAAGUAAUAAUAUUAUUGAAUCGUUCAAACUACUUCAAUCUCUCUUUUUUAGUUCCUAUCCAUCCACGUCCUUUUUGUGAAGAUCUUCCUAUGUUAUACUAUUUAAUUCUCGACGAUGAAUCGAUUGGAUAACUCUGAUAUUGUUAUUCAUGAUAUUUUAAUACGAUUCGAUAUCAUCAAGAUACAAUGCAUCCCAGAUUAAAUCUCGAGUUAUUGCGAAUAAAAAAUGAAACGAUGAUAUUAUGGAAGUAAAUAUUCUCGCAUUUAUUGCUACUGCACUGUUCAUUCUAGUUCAGACCGCCUUUUUACUUAUAAUAUACGUAAAAACAAUCAGUCAAAGUGAUUAAUUUGAAUUAACCUUGCCGUUUUAUUUCUUAUCAAUGAUUGAAGAUAAGAAAAAUGAAAAGCAUUAAAAUUUUGCGUCUUAGAUGAAAUUGGCGGACUAGAAUUAUCAGUAUUCUAUGAGAGAAGUAUUCUAUGGUAGAAAGAAAUAUAUGAAUCCUUCUACCAUACUAUCUAUUAUUGUUAUUGAAGUGUAUAAAAUUGUACUCUAUAAAAAUAGAGGUUGAAUAUUGAUCAAUUUGAAUAUAGAUGAAUAUACAAUAUAUAUCUUUCUAUUUAUAUAUAGAUAUCAUAUCAAUUACAUAUAUGUAAUAUUAAUCUAAUAUACACAAUGGUCCAAUUCUAUUUCUUUGCUUCAUAAUUCAUGUUGGGGUAAACCAGAAAAGUUUGGGUAGAGCUGGAUCCGAUCAAAAUAGGAUUAAAGGUGACACACAGCGUAUUGUGUCGAUUCUUUUGAGUAAUAUAUCUGGAAAUCCCUUUUCUUUUUUUUUCUUUUUAUUUUUGGUGGAGAUUUGAACCCGGACCUCUUGUCCACAGAAAGAUACAGGUGUCAGUUGAGCUAAGCUUAUGUUGGCUCUGGAAUUCCCUAUUGAUUGCUUAUUAACACCGUUUCGAACACAACGAGUACAUUCCAAAAUAACUGUUACUCGGGCAUCUUUACCCUUGGCCAUGAACCUCCCUUGGAUUUUUGAUUCACGCAACUCUUCCAUUUUCCGAUCCAAAAUGAAGAAAAAAAAGAAAAAUUGGUAACUCGAAAUAAAAUUAUGAAAGAUUUCAUUACAAUCAAAUAUUAAAAUAUAGUAAUACAAUGAUUUCUAAAUUUAGAAUCGCAGUACAAUUUUUCAUUUAAGUAUUUUGUAUGAUAUUGUUGCCCUAGCCGUCACAUUUUCAUUUUCAUUCUCACUCUUUUAUUAAUUCAAUUUGAACCCGACGCCGGGUCCGAGUUUGACUGAGGUUGAGUCUAUUUUGAUUCUUUAUAACUUAUUCUAAGUCUAAAAACUCUAAAAAAAAGAAGGGGAAGGGGAUUAUUCAAAGAUAUUUGAGAUGAUAAUGAAGCAUUUCUAUGUUUUCAUUCUGAAAGGUGGAAGAUAAGACGAAGAAAAGAAUCGACCGUUUAAGUAUUCAUUUUUUUACUAAAAAAAGAAUAGAAAGAGGGGCAAAUUUAUAUGUCUAUAUAUCUAUCUAUAUUGAUAUAUAUUGAAUUGCAGAUACAGAAAUGAUAGAAUCAUUUUGGAUCGGAACAAAUACGGGUCUCCGAUAGAGAGAGAUUAAAGAAGAUAGACAAGAAAUCCAAUCCAAUAGGAGGAAACACUUUUCAAUAGAGGAAUCGGUAUUCUAAUGACUUCAGUGGUUCGUUCCAGUAUAAUACAAAUGAAAGAAAACGGGGAAGGACAUCAUAGUGCGAUACUAAUCUUAAAAGAGGGGGAUAUGGCGAAAUCGGUAGACGCUACGGACUUAAUUAGAUUGAGCCUUGGUAUGGAAACCUACUAAGUGAUAACUUUCAAAUUCAGAGAAACCCUGGAAUUAAAAAUGGGCAAUCCUGAGCCAAAUCCUUUUUCCGAAAAAAAAAAAGGGGUAGGUGCAGAGACUCAAUGGAAGCUGUUCUAACAAAUGGAGUUGACGACGAUCAACACGACUAGUUAACAUGAUGAUUCCCCUUUUAUGAAUCAUUAAAUCCUAGAAAUUCUUGUUUUGAUGUAUCAUGUAAAUUUGUUGAAAUGAAAAAAUUAAAUAAUUCUUUGUGAUGGAACAAAAUAUCUCUCAUUUCCCCCUCGAUUUCUUUUUUUUUUUUUUGGAUUUCUAAGGGAAUAUGUUAUGUUGCCUUGAACGGUGCACUAAUUCUCUGAAUCUCAUACCAACGGGUAUCAUUCCUCCUAGAACAACGUUCUCUUUCAAACCUCUCAACCAAUCGAUACGACCUCAGAGGGCGGCUUUUGCUAAAACUCGAGCAGUUUCUUGAAAACGUGCUUCCGAUAUGAAAAUUUGAGUAUUUAGAGAUGCUUUUGUUAUUCCCAAUAGUACGACUCGAUAAUAGAUUGCUUCUUCCAAAGCACGCCCUGUUCGUUCUGCUUGUAACAACCCAAUGAGUUCUUCAGGUAAAAAAACAUUAGACAUUCCAUCUUCUGAAACCAACACUUUUGAUGUUAUUUGACGUACAAUAAUUUUGUUAUGUCUAUUAUGGAUCUCCACCCCCUAGGAUCGAUAAACCUUUUGGAUCUUAUUAACCAAAGAGAUACGACUUUGCACUAUCGUUAGUUCAACACCAAUAAAAAAUCCCCAAGGAAUUCCAAGAAUUCUUGUUAUACGCUCGUUCCAACUCUCAAUUCUCUUUUCUAGGCUCAUCGAUAUUGAAUCAAUCGAACGCACUUCUAAUACUUUCCAUACUUUCGACACGAAAGAACAUUAGUGGUUGUCCAAUGAGAUACUACGCAUAAUAAUAUACUACCUCAUAAUAAGAUAGUACCUCGGGGUAGCCACCCCACAUAUUACGUGCUUACCACUUCUUUUAUUUAUUAUUAUUAGUAUUUUAGUUAUUUUCAAAAUAGGAUUUUUUCUUGUUUUAGGGAACUCAUUUCAUAUCAUGCUUCAAACGUUAAAUAACGAUGGGGUUUGCUAAUUCUUUUCGAAAUCCGAAGAUAAAAAGUUCCCAUGGAACCGAACUCCUGGAUCAUCUGUCAACUGCUCAAUCAAUUACUUCUUUCGAAUGCUAAAAAAAGAUUAGUGGCCUUUCGAUUAUUUGAUUUCAGAUUCAUUGCAAUCAACAUGAAUUAUGAAGCAAAGAAAUAGAAUUGGGCCACUAUGUAUAUUAGAUUAAUAUUACAUAUAUGUAAUUGAUAUGAUAUCUAUAUAUAAAUAGAAAGAUAUAUAUUGUAUAUUCAUCUAUAUUCAAAUUGAUCAAUAUUCAACCUCUAUUUUUAUAGAGUACAAUUUUAUACACUUCAAUAACAAUAAUAGAUAGUAUGGUAGAAGGAUUCAUAUAUUUCUUUCUACCAUACUAUCGGAUCUCAUAGAAUACUUCUCUCGUAGACUACUGAUAAUUCUAGUCCGCCAAUUUCAUUUAUGAUGCGAAAUUUUAAUGCGUUUCAUUUUUCUUAUCUUUAAUCAUUGAUAAGAACUUAAACGACAAGGUUAAUUCAAAUUAAUCACUUUGACUGAUUGUUUUUACGUAUAUUAUAAGUAAAAAGGCGGUUGGAACUAGAAAGAACAGUGCAGAAGCAAUAAAUGCAAAAUUUUUAUUUCUUCAACAAGUACUAAUUGAUGAGAGAAAGACAUAUGUGCCAUAUGUGAAUUACUACAAUUAUUGGUAGCAUCAUAUUCAGGAACUAAGGAUUUGAUCCUUACUGAAUAUACUGAUUCUAAUUUCCAAACUGAUAAAGAUGCUAGAAAGUCUACAUCAAGAUCAGUAUUCACUCUAAAUGGAGGAGCAGUAGUAUGGAGAAGCAUAAAGCAAACUUGUAUAGCCGACUCCAUAAUGGAAGCUGAAUAUGUAGCAGCUUGCGAAGCGCCAAAGGAAGCAGUAUGGCUAAGGAAAUUCUUGACAGAUCUGGAAGUUAUUCCAAAUAUGUAUCUGCCAAUUACUUUAUAUUGUGAUAACAUUGGUGCAGUUGCAAAUUCAAGAGAACCUAGAAGCCAUAGACGAGGAAAGCAUAUCGAAUGCAAGUACCAUCUUAUCAGAGAAAUUGUACAUCGUGGUGACGUUGUAGUGACCCAGAUACCUUUUGCAUAAAAUAUUGCUAAUCCUUUUACAAAAGCUCUCAUGGCUAAAGUGUUUGAGGGUCACCUACAGAGUUUACGUCUACAAUGUGUGUAAACUAGGACAAGUGGAAAACUUAUUAGGCACGUGUCCUAAUUGAUUGUAUUCAUACGUUUAUUGUAUUCAUGUGAGUAAUUCUCUCAUGAAUAAAUUCAGCUUGUUUUAUCCCACUAUGAGUUUUAGUCCAAGUGGGAGUUUGUUGGAAUUUAUGUCCUAAAACUCGUAGUUUUUAAUCAUAUUCUACUCAAUAAGUCGUUAUUGAUACUAUAAUCUUAAAACCAAUAAACUAAGGUCCCAAGGCUAUUAUUAUGUAAACUUGAACUUUAUAUAGAGACAUAAAUAUGAAUCCAAUUCGAGUAAAUAGCCUAAAUAGUCUAUAGUAUACGAAUACAGUUGGGCACCUUAUUUUGGGGACACUAUGGAUGCGGCUCGCUUUAUAGUUAGUACAAACGAUGUAAUUCUGAAUUGUUCAUGUAGAGACAUGAAAGUGGGGGGCAUCCUAUGUAAAGAGUUUACAUAAGACUAGAACUAUGAAAUAGUCACUUUUAAGUUAUAACACCGUUAACUUUGUAAAACUGCGAAUUUCGUUUAUAGAUAUCAAAUGUAACUUAAUCUUAAUUCUGGACUACUAUGAACUUUUGUUCACACGAAAUUAUCUUUAGAUCUGCAUGGGUGAGGGCAACUCAAUGGUGCUGGCCCAAUAAGCCUUCCAUUGCAGAUGUAAGAUCGGGUGGAUAGUUAGGGACAUAAGGUGCAAGACGGAAUUCACUCCUACCCACUCUAGGGUUAGUAGAUAGGUUGUUCCCUUAAGAACUGAAUCCUGGUCUUGAACAAGGGGCCCAUCCUCUCAUUGACCCGAGAGGGAUUCAUUUUAAAGGUUGGACCUUAAACCAAUUGUUCAAUAAUGAAUUUGAAUUUUAGAGAAAUUAAUACGAAUUUAUGUUUGGGAGGUUUAAAUUAGUCAAGACGGACAAAAUGGUUAAAAGUAAAAAUGUUGACUUUGGGCUUGGAAAAGUCAAACUUUGAAUUUGAUUUAAAUGUUGAUUUACCAUAUUGCCCUUAGACUAAUUUAAAUAAUAACACUUAUUGAGAUUUGGCAAGCUUAUCACUUGCAUGUGAUAUGGAAGUGACUUAUUGCAUGCAAGACACCUACUCCACUAAGAGUGUUAAGUGGUGAGAUAGAGAAGUUAGUUUGCUUGUAAACAAGUUUUAUGCAAAGGUGAAAUAACUCUCGGAUUUAAAAUUGAAAAUUAAUUUUGUAAUUGAGAAUUACAGGAAAAAAAAAAUAACCAAGAACUCUUUUCAUUUGAGUCUCUGAACAUAAAAAAAAUAAAAACCUAAAGGUUAGGUUCCUACAAAAGAUAUCAUCUCUCUUUAUUUCCUCCACCAUUUUUGAGUCCCACAACUCAAUUCUAAGUCCAAAGAAUAGCGGGUCAACGCUAGUGGUAGUCUUAGCUUCAAUUUCAUGAGGAGAUCGUGAAAAACACGUGAGGAGAUUAUAAGAAAAUAAAAGCAUCAAGUGUGAGGUUUUUCUUUUAACUCUAUCUUUGUUAUUUUCAGAUUUUUUAUGCAUGUUAAUCACUAAACUUGUUUAGUUGCAAUUAGAGUAAAAAUUUGAUCCUAAUUUUGCUGUACAUGUCUACCGUUUUCAUCAAAGAGGAGGGAGUCGUACAGAAAAUUCUAGAAGGGGGUUGCUCACUUUUCACGAAGAAGAAGACUCCCAAUCCUCUAUUUUUUCCUUUUUUAAAACUAAUAAUAACAUUUAAAAUGACCAAACUGCCCAUCACUUUAAAUUUAACUAACAUUUUGUCCUUAUCUUCAUUCUUUUCAAAUCUUAUUCCAAGCUAUUUUUUUUCCAAUUUUCUUAUUAUAACGAUUCAACCUUAAAGAAUCAACAAUUGUAUUUAAACUUGUUUUUCAAACUUAAAAUAUUAAUAAUUAAAAGGAGAAUGGAAUGAGGGCUUACACCUUUUCCACUAAAAGAUCUUUUGGUGAUUUUUCCUUCAAGACAAGAUUCACGUGGAGGUAAAGAGUUAUCUUCUAACUGAUUUAGAAGUCCACUCUUAACUAAUCUCCCAAUUCUAUUGAGAUUUAUGUGACUAAGUCUUAAGUACCAUAAAUAUUAUGAGUUUCAGCUGUUCUAAACAUUUCAGUACUGAAGACAAAGUUUGCUCUAGAUGGUCUUAACUUAUAUAAGUUGUUUUCAAGUAUAGCAGAACAUAUUUGAAUACUUUUACUAAAAAUGAACGCUUCAUGAAUUUCAAAUAAUACUUCAUACAUAUGUUCUAAAAUGCAAGAGAUAGAUAUCAAGUUCCUCUUCAUUUGAAGUACAUACAAAAUAUUUUUAAGUAGUAGAUAUUUGUCUCCAAAAAACAACUUUAAGUCUCCCACUGCUUCAGCUGAGAGUACCUCUCCCAUUCCAACCUUAAGAGUAAUCUCGUCUUCUGCAAGCCUCUUCCAAGAACUAGUUUCUUGAAAUGAGAAGCAAAUAUGAUUAGUGGCUCUUGAAUCUAGUAUCUAGGUUGAAGUAUCAUAUUCGACUAAGCAUGUUUCAACAACUAGUAAAUCAUAUUUACCUUGUGUUGCUUUCUCUGCUUUCUUCGAAUCAAGGUAUUUCGGGCAAUUCCUUUUCCAAUACCCAUCCUGGUUGCAGUGGAAACAUUUUCCUUUAUCUGCACCCUCCUUUCCCUUGCCAGUCUUAAAAGUCUUCCCCUUUUCCUUCUUCUUCAUGUGAGAAGGUCUAACUCUAGUCUUAGAGGAAGAUCCUCCCACUAACUCUUUCUUUGUGGUAGCAACAUUUGCUUCCACUUAUUUUCCUUUACCCAUGGUAAGGUUUUGGAAUCUUUAAAAGACACAAGUUAAACACCUUUUAGUUAUAUCAGUUGUACUUAACUAACGUUUAACUAGAUAACAUAAACAGGAAAACACAAUGCACUUUGUUAACCCAGCCAAGAGUGCCUACAUUUAGGGAGCAUAUCUUCUCAGAUAUGAAAUAUUAUUGAGAAGUUCAAUGCACAACCUGUCACUAGGAUUACAGAGAAUAGUCAUCACAAAACUAAACAUAAACAUCUGAUUCUCCCGAAUCGUAUGCUCCAUCCGUUGAAGACUUGUACGAACUCCCCCUAGACAUUAGAACUGUCUACACAACAUGCACAAUCUUCACGUUAACAAGUUCUUCCAAUUCAUACAGGCUCCCCCUGAUUUACAGAACUGAUUCCUCAAUCCUGAGGUCGUCUUCUCAAGUGCAUAUUCCAUAUUCACCAAUAGUUAAAUUACAGUCAUUGAUUCAACUAACGUUUUGUACUCCCUUACGUCAUAUAUAUCAUAUCAAAUUAUAUAUUCCGGAAGCCACUUUACCUUUUCUGCAAUUGCUUUUAAACCUUCCGUUGUACUUCCAGCCAAGUUGUCUUCACCAUCUACGCACACCUUUUUUUUCAUUGUAUAUCUCUAUAUAUUUAAAACCAACAACACAACUUCUUUCCCAAUCUAAGGAACUAAUUUAUAUAGAUUCCUUUAUACUAGGGAUUUACUUUAUUUGAAAAGAUUUAGUCAAUUUGUCAAAACCCAAUAAAAAAUAUCAAAAUAUUCAUUUAAAUCUUAACAGAAUCGUUGGAGCUCAUUUAGAAGAGUGGUCAGAGAGUUUCUAUUUUAUUUAAAGACACGUUCGUAUGAAAUGGUACAAAACUCUUUGGAAGAGAUUGUAAAAUAAAGUUCACCUAAUUUUCCUCAUCAAUGGGACUGCCAUUAACUUGUGGAGAGAAAAGGAAUUUUGAGAACUAGAGAGAAUAGAAAGAGAUGGAUUUAGGAGGAUGAACUUGGUUUUGAGAACUUGUGGAGAGAAAAGGAAUUUUGGUUUGAUUUUGCAAUUCCAAAUUACAAAAUCAAUUUCAACCAAAAAUAACACUAAAAUUCAUUUGCUAAUCCACUCCUUUUUAAAGCAAACUAAAUGCAAAAAUUGAAUGUAGUGAGCUUCCAUUCCCACACUUGGCACGUGACCAAGUAGGUGUCCCACAUGCAUGAAGCCAUUUGUUAAUUGCAUGCAAUGUGCUUCCAAGGGUAAUAUGGUUAUUUGACAUUUAAAAAGUCAAAAGUCAACAUUUUGACUUUUUACCAUUUUAUUCGUCUUGCCUAAUUUUGACCUCGGGUAUGAAUGUGCAUUCAUUUUUCCAAAAUUCAAAUCACAUUUGAAUAUAAAGUCGAUUAAAAUUUGAACUUUCAAAGUCAAAAGUCAACAUUUUGACUUUUUACAAUUUUGACCUUUUUCAUCAAUUUCGAGCUUUCAUGUACAUAUUUUUAAUAUUUAAAUCACAUUUAAACAUGAAGCUCUUUCUUAAACUUAUACCCUACGACUAUAUCAAAUAUAUUCAUUGGUAUCUCUCUCUUUACCUAAUUCGAAUUAUUCUAUCAUAAUGUUCUAAGUUUAUUCCUUAUGAGCUAGUUGGGGAACCUAAUGGACCUAUAGAUCAUGAGCUCCAACAAUCCGAGAUUAACUAUCUAAAUUCUUUAAUCUAAGUUAAUUAACCUUCCUUAAAUAAUGGGUCAUUCCACUAAAGUCUCGUAGUUGCACUCUCCUCACUAUAGAUAUAUUUGUGUCCAUGUGAUAUGACCAUGAUAAGUAAGUUAAUCCUUCACAGGUUGUUCAUAAUCUCGACUGGGUCGAAGUACCGUUUUACCCUCGAGACUAUAUCUUGCUCCUUAAGUCCCACUAAUCCACUAUUGAACAUUUGGUUUGAGGUUUAACUACUAAACCGAAUCCCUCUCGAGCCAAUGAGAGGUUGGGGCCUCUUGUUCAAGACCUGAAUUCAGUCUUUAAGGGAACAAGUUAUCUACUAACCCUAGAGUGAGUAGAAGUGAAUUUCGUCUUUGACCCUAUGUUCCUAGCUAUCCAUCUGGUCUUACUCUUGAAAUGGGAGACUUAUUGGGCUAGCGCCAUUAAGCUGCCUUCACCUAUGCAGAUCUAAGGAUAAUUUCAUGUGAACAAAAGUUCAUAGUUAGCUCAAAAUUAAGAUUAAGUUUAAGUUACAUUGGACAUCUAUAAACAAAAUAGUCGAUUUUAUUAAAGUUAAUGGCGUUAUAACCUAAAAGUGACUAUUUCAUGGUUCCAAUCUUAUGCCAACUCUUGACAUAGGAUGCCCCCACUUCCAUAUUUCUACAUGAACGAUUCAGAAUCUCAUCGUUUGUACUAACUAUAAAGCAGGUCGCAUCCAUAGUGUCCCCAAAAUAAUUAAGAUGUCCAACCUUAUUCAUAUACUAUAGACUAUUUAGUCUAUAUACUCGAACUUGAUUCACAUUUAUGUCUCUACAUAAAGUUCAAGUUUACUCAAUAAUAGUCUCGAAUCUUUAGUUUAUUGGCUUUAAGAAUAUAGUUUCAAUAACGACUUAUUGAAUAGAAUAUGAUUACAAAUCAUGAGUUUUAGGACAUAAAUUCCAAUACAUAUAAAUAAACUAACUAUUAUGUGCACAUAAUGAGUCAAGGCAACCAUGGGGUGAAAGGGGCCAUAUGGUGAUGAGAGGAUAGUUAAUACGUUGAAAGAAUCUGUAUAUUCUUGGAUGUUGUUGUUACAGUAGUCUAAACACGAAAUAAUGAGGCCUAGCGCAGGGAAUGAUUCGAGAUUCUUGGUGAAAGAAAUGAUUGAUGAUUAAUGUGUGUUUAUUUGUAAUAACUGUUUAUGUGAAAUGAAGCAUUUACACAAAUUGAUGUGAUGUUGUGAAGGGAUAUGAUUAUGUUUAAAAUGAUUUCAUAUGUGUGGUGAAAGAGUGUUUAUAAAAGGUACUCCGCGAAAAGGAUUUCAAAAACUUCCUUAAGUCUUUUAGACCUAUGUUUGUAAAUUUCAUCUUCCAAGGUUUAAGUGUUAAAGCCAAGUAAAGAAGAAGUGGAGAGUUUACUAGGCAAGAAGACUACCAAAGCGUUUACUUUCUAAGUUUAAGAGUUGUAUUAUUGUUUUAUCCUUACUAUAUAAAAUGUGGCCUAAGGGAAGAGUCAUUUUUGGACGAUUCUACCCCUUGCCAACUUCUAAAAGAACGAUUCCAUCCUUUGCUCUAUUUCUAAAAUACCAAUAUGCCUUAUGCAUGGAAUAAUUGUUUGUAAUUUAACUUCAAAAAUGAUUAGUGGAAUAAUUGUUUGUAAUUUAACUUCAAAAAUGAUUAGUGGAAUAAUUGAAAAAUGAUUAAUAGAAUAAUUAUUUGUAAUAUAACUUCAAAAAUAAUUAAUGGUUUUUAUAAUAAUUGUUUGUAAUUAACAUUUGAUGUUUGGUUUUCAUAUUUCAUAAAUUUUUGUUAUAAUUAUUUGUAAUUAACAUUGGAUUGUUUGGUUUUCAUAUUCCAUAACUUCAAAAAUGAUUAAUGAUUUUUGCUAAUUAUAAUAGUUUGUAAUUAACCUUGAAUGUUUGGUUUUCAUAUUCCAUAACUUCAAAAAUGAUUAAUGAUUUUUGCUAAUUAUAAUAGUUUGUAAUUAACAUUGGAUGUUUGGUUUUCAUAUUCCAUAACUUCAAAAAUGAUUAAUGAUUUUUGCUCAUUAUAAUAGUUUGUAAUUAACAUUGGAUGUUUGGUUUUCAUAUUCCAUAACUUCAAAAAUGAUUAAUGAUUUUUGCUAAUUAUAAUCGUUUGUAAUUAAAAUUGGAUGUUUGGUUUUCAUAUUCCAUAACUUCAAAAAUGAUUAAUGAUUUUUGCUAAAUAUAAUCGUUUGUAAUUAACAUUGGAUGUUUGGUUUUCAUAUUCCAUAACUUCAAGAAAUAUAGCUUCAAAAAUAAUUAAUGGUUUUAGUAUAAAUAUAGAAGCAUCAAGUGUGAUUUGCUAUCCAAAGUUUUUGUUGUUUUCAACUUUGAUCUACUCAUUCUUUCUUUGUGCCAACUCAAAGAAAAAAAUUAAUCUAUAAGGUAAUGCUAAUAUGUACAUUUUUUCAUUAUGUUGUUUUGUAAUUUUAUUAAUAUUUUUUCACUUUAAAACUGCAACCUCGUUGGUGCUGGUACGAAAUUUGGAACAUUUUCAAAAUAAUUAGAGCCUCAAAGGGAUUUUCAUUCGUAAAACCACAAUUGAAAAAUAUAAAACUAAAAUAGGAGAAGUGUUAGAGAUAUUGAUAUUUAUUCUCAUGAUGAGGAGGUAAUCAUAAGCUAUUUGUUAGAUUAAUUUGUUUAAUAAUAUUUUUUUUUGAAAAUUUGAAUAUAAAAUGUAACAUUUUUUUCUUUUCAGGCCAAAAAGUCAAAUUUGUGUGUACAAUAAUUUGAUCAAGAAGUUGAAUGAUGUUAUAGAAAAAGGAAAAAAUUAUAUCAUUCGUAAUGGAAAAAUCAGUACUGUGAAUCGUAGAUAUCUAAAUGUUCAUGAUGAGAUUGAAAUUGCAUUAACAAGUAGUAAAAAUCAGUACUGUGAAUCGUAGAUAUCUAAAUGUUCAUGAUGAGAUUGAAAUUGCAUUAACAAGUAGUAGUGGUGAAAUUGAAGAGACCAAUGACAUGCAUUUUUUUUUUGUAGUAAAGAGGUUAGUCAUAUUGAUUUUUCAUCCAUCAAUAGCAAUUUUGGAAAUCAAGUUUUUGGUAAGUUUUUCUCUAUGUUAUAAAUAUAAAUAAUUUCAUUUCAUUAGACAAUUAUAAUAUUUCAUUUGUCUAACUUUCUUAUUAUUUAAAUAGAUAUGGUUGGAGUUGUAAUAUGUGUAAAACCUAUCACUCUUAUCAAAUCUCGAAAUUGGAAUGAACAGUUUAUUAAGAAACGUGAUAUAUUUAUUAUUGAUAAAAGGUAAGAUUAUUCCUUUAAUUUUAUUUUUAUUAUAUCAUAUUAAUCUUUUGUACUAUAUGAAUUGUACAAACACCAUGAAGCUGACGAUGUGGGCAGAUUUAGCUGAACAUGAAGGAGGAAGUUUAGAAAAAAGUCAACAAACAAUGUCAAAUAGUUGUUUUCUCUAAUGAUAAGGUCACCUAUUAUGAAGGUAUUGAUAAUUUUAUUAAAGUUCUAUUGCUUUUAUUUAAGUUUAGUUUCAUAUUUGAUAUUAAUUUAUAUAAUUAAAUUUUCAAACAUGAUAACAAAAUAUACUAACAAUAUAGAAUCUGUCCUCUAUACUAUAUAAUAUUUAAAAUUAUUUUAUUAAUGAAUCUAUGUUUAAUUUAAAUUUUAUUUUAAACAUGAUAAAAAAUGUGUUAACAUGAAAACUAUUUUCAAUAAUGAUAUUUGAAAUUGUUUACAAGUGAUGCUAGCCUAACAACUACUAAUAUUAGUGACAUUGCAAUUAAUCCUCCCAUAAAAGAGAUUUAGAGUUUGCAGAAAAAGUAAGUUAUAAUUAUAUUAAUAGUUAUUAUAGUACUUUUUACAAAUACAUAUUUUAAUUUUAUCUAUAUUUGAAUUGUGUUAAUACAUUUAAGUACUUAUAUAUAUUUGAAGGUUUGAGCAACUUUUUGUUGAGAAAAUUUUGUAGUUCAAUAGGAAGGAUUGUCAAGAUUCAAAAUAAGGAUUCAAUUUGGUAUGAAAAGUGUGCUUUCUUGCAAUGGUAGAGUAUAUCCAAUAGGUGUUGCUAUGAAAAGUGCAUGUCCCACGUGCACUAAUGAAGAAAAUUCAUGUAAAAAAUGAUUGUUUCGUAUGAACAUUUACGAGGUUAUGUUACUAUGGAUGAUGCUACCAAACAUUUAAUAGGUUGUAAUGUGGUUGAAUAUUUCAAUUGAUUUUUCAAAGUAGGUAUCACAUUUUAAAUUAACUUAUUCAAAUUUAUUAUACUAUGUAAGUUUUCAAUUUUUGAUUUAUUCAAUAUAUAUGUUUGGGUAGUUUGAAAAAAUGGAAAAUAUGAAUAUUACACAACAUUGAGUUGGACAGAAAACAAUAAAUAUUAUUUUUUAGUUAGAUUGGACAAGGAUGGAGAAAGAGAUAGAGCACAUCGUCAGAUUGUUGUUCAAGAAAUAUAUAUGCACAAUUAGUUCAAUGGGAGAGAAGAAUGUUUCCUAAACAAUGAUAAAGGGAAAAGAAUAUUGGAAGAUGUUGAGAGCCGAAGUAAGAAGUCUAAAUUUGAAGUUUAAAGGAGAGUGAAGAGGCCUGCGUUGUUUCAAAUGAUCAUUUUAUAAUGAUUUCUUUAGUAUAUGUAUUUUCAAUUAUCAUUACCGCUACUUUUAAUUAAAAUUGUUGUUAUAGUCCUUUAAUGUUAUACGAAUGUAGUUGUGAUUCCUCAAUUUUAAAUCAAAAUCUCAAAUGGGUCAUGUGCAUUGUUAUGAACAUUAUUGAAUGGGUAUCUCUUGUUUUGUAAAAUGUGUUGUAAAGGUUACUAAAGUUUGUUUUAACUACAUUCUCAAAUAAUUUGUUUAUAUCACCAAAGAUUAUUGGUAAGUUGUUAAGUUAAGAGAAAGGAAAGUCAUUAGAUGAUUAAGCAAAGCUUAAGGUCCUUAAGACUAGGUGUCUUUGGCGUUUAAACAAGUCUGAAAUACUCAAGUCACACCGCGUCUUGCAAGACUAGCAAGGAGGUCUGCCAGGGGAAGUGUGACACAAAACUUUGUAUCAUAUUCUACUUUGGUACCUAAACUUUUUAAAGUAUAUGUUUGAGUCCUUUAACUUUAAAAUGAACAUUUUUUUUAUCUUGCGUUUGAAUUUCAUUGUUUAAUGGAACGAUGAAGCAACUUUUAUAUUUACUUAAAGAUUUCAAUUUUCUUUAAAAAAAAAUAAAAGAUGGAGGAUUCAGUGAGAGAAUAUGAGAGAGUUUUGGAGAAAAAAAGAACAACAAUACAUUUUAAUUUGGGUAUUAUUUGAUUCUAGUGUGUUAAAUUACAUUUAUGUGUUCAUAAAAGAUUUAUAGAAUAAAUUAGUAAGAUUUAUUGAUUAUUUUUUAAUUUAAUUCAUAUGAUUAAUCUAUAAUCUAAUCAUCCAAAUACAGAAGUCACAUCUUUAUUUUGUUAUAAAGCUAACGAAAUCAUAAUGACAACCACCAAAAUAAGUGUGGGAUUGAUUCAUACAAAUGGCAGACGAAAGGGAAGAUAUAGCUUUAAGAUAUCUCAAAAUUAGGGUCUACAACUGUUAAAGUGAAAGAAAAAUUAACUCGAGCAAACAUACAAAUCCUUCCAUUUAAAUAUGAUAAAUGCUUCUACCAUGAGUUUUAAAAUGUGUUUGGAACUAGGGGUAGAACAGUAAGCUUCAAGAAGUUGUGUGAUCACCGUGUAAAAAGUUAAUAUAGUAUCACAUAAUAUUUUUAGUAGUGGGACCUACAAACUCUUUAGGCCGAAUAAAGAGUGAAUUUCACAACUACACAUUUUCCAAUAGCUCUGCUUCUCAACUCUUUGGUCUGAACGUCCCAAAAUGACUAAUUUAGUACUUUUUUAAAUAGUUCAAUUCAUUUGAAGAAUCCAAACAACCCUUUGGUAAUAGAAUACCCGGGAAGCAUAAUUCUCUAUCAACAAUGAGCAUUUUCUGUAGAUCAGCUAUAUUUCAUGUUAGAAUUUGUAUCUAAGGAAAAAAUAUUUAUGGAAAACUUACCAUAAAUAUUUCUUUUCCUUUUCAACUUUGCUCUUUACAUCCUAUUUAAGUUCCCUCGUUUGUACCAUUGUAAUUAUCAGAAAAAUAAUAAAACUAAAAACAUCGUGGUUUUUCUUUCGGUUCUCUAGUUUCCACGUAAGCCUUGGUUUCGUGUUUAUUGCUUUCAAUAUGGUAUCAGAGCAGGUGGUCCAGGGAGGUCCUGUGUUCAAGCCCCCGCAUUGUCGUUUCCUCUCCAAUUAAAAUCAAUUUUCACUUAUUGGGCCUUUCAGAGAUUUCAAACCCAAAAGUGAGGUAAAAUUGAUUCUACUUGUUGGGCUUUUCAAAUACUUCAAGCUCACAAGUGAGGAGAGUGUUGGUGAUAUAUAAUUAAAUUUGCCUUCAACCACUAGUUUAAGCUUUUGGAUGAAAUUGAUGGUUUAAUAUGGUAUCAGAGCAAAGCAACCAGGAAACCUUAGAAAAAAAUUUAGGAAACAUCCUGACCAAAACAAAUGUUACCAACGUCGCUGCCACCUCUGCCGCCGCCGCCACCGUGGACACCAUGGAAAAACUACUCCCUAGAUUAAGAAGGCGCCGAUCUACAUAGUGGGUCAACCCUCGCCGCCGUCCGGGCAAUCUACGGCCGCCGCCGUGGACACCACCAUGGAAAAAGAAGUCCACCAGAUUCAGAAGAUGCUGAUCUACACAGUGGGCCAACCCUUGCAGCCGUUCGGACAAUAUUCUGGCAAAAAAACCACCGCACGCGUCGCUUUCGUCGGGUGCGUGGCGCCAUGCGCCACCGUCUGUUCAUCUCACCGCCCAUCCCAUCCGCCUCUACGCGCCGUCACCUAUCCAACCGUUUCACCCUUACGGUCAUACGUAGCUGCACAAGCCAUCUAUUGUCGCCGGAUAGCAACCUACAAAACUGUCAAAUUUGUACAACAAUGCAAAUCUGUCUGUCGACCCUUUACGACAACCUUUCUUCGAUGGGAAUGAGGCUGAUCAACUCCAUAACAGAUCGAAAAUUGAAGUGAGUGAGUCACUGGCACCCUCCAGUUUUUGACAACCAUAUGUUUGUGGUCUGACGAUUAACCAAACCUACAACAGAGUUGUUUUUGAAGUUGGUGCAUCCUCUAAAUCGAUCGAUCUACCGAUGUAUUCAAAGAACGCGGUAACUUCGCUCCCUAAUGUACAUUUGAAUUAUAUAACUUACUCUGUUUUCUCUAGUGCUCGAUUCUCGACCUAUGGUAAUGAGAAGAAUAGUGGAAAAGCAAUCCUUGUUUGUGAGCACUACAAGAAACAAUGGCACACCAAGGAUCAGUAUUAGAAACUCCACGGUCGAACCCCAAGAGGUAACAAACGUUCCUCCAACAAGCACUUAGGGCCUACCGAUGUUAGGGAGAUUUCCAAUACCUCUCAGUCAACUGGUCCUACUACUAGCCAGACCAUCCCUCCUACCCUAGGUGUCAUUGCUUAGUCAGGUAUACCUCAGUCCCUCGGUCUUAUUAGUGUUGAUGGAAAGAAUCUAUAGAUUUUAGACUCGGGGGCCACAGAUCACUUGACAGGUUCUUCGGAGCACUUUGUCUCUUAUACACCAUGUGUCGGUAAUGAGAAAAUCAAGAUAGCAGGUGGUUCUUUAGCCCCGAUUGCUGGCAAAGGACAAAUAGUUCUCUUCGACAGUUUCUCUCUCCAGAAUAUUUUGCACGUGCCUAAGCUUUCUUACAAUUUGUUAUCUAUCAGUAAGAUCACCUGUGAGCUGCAUUGUAAAGCUACUUUCUUACCUGAUUCUGUUUGUUUUCAGGACUUGAGCUCGGAGAGGACAAUCAGCACUGUUCGACAUAGCAGGGGACUUUACAUCCUUGAUGAUGAUACCUCCGGUAGUAGUAUCUCUAGAAUUGAUUUACUAUCUUCCUAUUUUAGCACUUCUGAACAUGACUUUAUGUUAUGACAUUUUCGGUUGGGUCACCCGAACUUUACUUAUAUGAAAUAUUUGUUUCCCCAUCUUUUUCCUAAAAUCGAUGUCUCCUCGUUAUCUUGUAACGUAUGCAUUCGGGCAAAACAACAUCGGGUUUAUUUUUCUUCACAACCAUAUAAACCCACACAACUGUUUACCCUUAUCCAUAGUGAUGUUUGGGGUCCCUCCAAGGUCACCACCUCAUAUGGGGAACGGUGGUUUGUAACUUUCAUUGAUGAUCAUACCCGUCUUACCUAGGUCUACCUUAUCACCGAUAAAUCAAAGGUUUUUUAUAUUUUUCAAAACUUCUAUCACACCAUUGAAACCCAAUGCCAUCAAUUGCUAUUCUUCGGAGUGAUAAUGGUUGGAAAUUCCAAAACCAUAGCCUAAGUGAAUUUCUAGCCUCUAAGGGGAUUGUUCACCAAAACUCAUGCACCUACACUCCUCAACAAAAUGGAGUGGCCGAGCAAAAAAAGCGUCACCUUCUAGAAGUAGCCCAUUCCCUUAUGAUAUCCACGUCCCUUCCUUCAUACUUGUGGGGAGAUGCUAUUCUUACAGCAACUCAUUUAAUCAAUAGAAUGUCUUCUCGUAUUCUCCACCUUCAGACUCCCUUAGAUUGCCUUAAGGAGUCUUACCCCUCUACUCGUCUUGUUUCUGAGGUUCCUCUUCGUGUGUUUGGGUCUACUGCUUAUGUCCAUAAUUUUGGCCCUAAUCAGACCAAAUUUACCCCUAAGGCUCAGACAUGUGUGUUUUUUGGGGUAUCCCCUUCACCAGCGUGGUUAUAAAUGUUUUCACCCGCCGUCUAGGAAAUACUUUGUCAUUAUGGAUGUUACUUUCUGUGAGGACCGACCUUACUUUCCCGUUAGCCAUAUUCAGGGGAAGAGUGUGAGUGAAGAGUCUAACAACGCCUUUGAAUUUAUCGAACCUACUUCUAAUAUUAUGUCUGACAUCAAUCCUCAUCCCAUAGUCCUACCCACAAACCAAGUUCCUUGGAAAACGUAUUACCGGAGGAACCUCAGAAAGAAAGUCAGGUCCCCUACUAGUCAGCCGCCGGCUCCAGUCCAAGACUCCGAACCUCCUCGAGAUCAAGGUAUGGAAAAUCCUACUGAACCUUGUUGGCUUUUUGGCCCUUAAUCUCAAAUUAAUUUAUUUUAAUUAUUCAAUUAAUUUAUGUUUUGGCGAUAACAAAUCUAUUUUUUUAUUGACAAUUUUAUUAAUUUGAAUAGAUCAUAUCGUAGAGCUUGGAAAAAUGAUUCUAACGCCUCUUGAAUCACCCAAAUCGAAGUUCAAAUGAAGAAAAUAUUGCUAAAAGAAGCUUAACGGAAAAAUACCUGAGAUGGUGACGUGACGACCAAGCAUUCAAUUUGAACCAAUUAGAGAAAGCCACUUGGAGCAAUGAAGAAGUAACAAAUGUGGCUUUUGGUUAUGUUUUAUUGGCUUUUAUAAAGAAAAUGAAUUUAAAAAGAAAAUGACUUUAAUAUUAUUAUUUUUCCUUGUGUCUAACGGCUAGUUUUUUUAAAGAUGGUGAAGUUGCUUUAUUGGUUUCUUUUUAAACAAAAUAUUUUGAAAAGACAUAUUAUUAUAUUAUUAUUUGUAUUGUGUCUAACGGCUAAUUAAGUUUAAAUCUCAAUCAUUCAUUUUUCUUUUACUUAUAUCUAAUGACCCAAAAUGAUUUUGAAUUUAUCUUUCCUCUCUUUUUAAAUACUUCACUUUUCCCAAAAUUUAAAAGACAAGAUCAUUAAAUCUUUACAAUCCUCAAGCAAAAAGUCAACAUUGUUAUUCUCUCUAAAGCUUCCAAUUUUUAUUCUUUUCAUCUUAUUUUUUAGAGCUUCUUAUUGUAUUGUGAGGAUUAAAUUUGUGAGCUUCAAAUUGUAUACUCACUCUUUUAGAGAGUUUUCUUUUAUGUGAUUUAAAAACUUCAACAUAUUGUAACGGUUGGAUCCUAACUCGUGGAAAUGAUCGGGGUUACUCUUGAACCCGAAAAAGGAGCAAGAAUCGGUUCAGCUCAAAUCCGUGGAAAGAGUUCAAAGAAGAUUUUCUAAUCAAAAUCCCAAGAGGUUCUUGAGAAAGUGAAUGUAGGUUGAGUUUAACCGAACCACUAUAAAAUUACAGUGUCUUCUUCUCUAACUCUUUUCUAAUUAUUUUUUAAUUUAAUUUUAGUUACAUAUUCUUAUUGGUUGAGUUUGAUUGCAUACUUUCAUUCAUAUAUUUUUAUCAAUCUUGUUAUUUAACAAAGUUUACAAAAUUCUUUAUUUAAAUUAAAAAAAUAUCUAAUUAGUUGAUUUUACUUUUUAUUUGUCAAAAAGUUUAUUUAAACCCUAUUCACCCCCUCUAGGGUUGCCAUACCGAUCCAACAAACCUUGUACUAAUAAUACGAUAAGUGAGAAUGUCAGAUCUGAUGUUGUUGUUCUUGAAAAUAUCAAAGAAAAGAAUAGUAGUGAUGAGAUUGAGAUAGAAACUGAUAAUAAUGAAGCUGAACAGGAUCAUACAAGGAAACUUGAUGAGUAUGAUCCCUCUCUUGACAUUCUCAUUGCUCUGAGAAAAGGUGUCCGGUCGUGUAUUAAACAUCCAAUUUGCAACUAUGUUUCCUAUGAUAAUCUCUCUACAGUUCAAAGUUUUUACAGCAAGCCUUGACUCUACCAUAAUACCGAAAAACAUCUACACUGCUUUAGAGUGUCCUGAAUGGAAGAAUGCAAUCAUGGAAGAAAUGAAGGCUCUUGAACAGAAUAGAACUUGAAAAAUUUGUGCUCUACCCAAGGGACACAAAAGUGUGGGAUGCAAAUGGGUGUUCUCUCUGAAAUACAAAGCAGAUGGUACUCUUGGCAGACACAAAACAAGGUUAGUUGCAAAGAGAUUUAGUCAAACCUAUGGAAUUGACUAUUCAUAAACUUUUUCUCUAGUUGCUAAGUUGAAUACUGUUAGAGUCCUAUUAUCUAUUGCUGUGAACAAAGAUUGGCCUCUCUACUAGCUAGAUGUUAAGAAUGACUUUUUGAAUGGAGACCUUGUGGAGGAGGUCUACAUGAGCCCCCUGCCUGGAUUUGAAGCCCAGUUUGCUCAGCAGGUGUGUGAACUCCAUAAAUCCCUAUAUGGUCUGAAACAGUCUCCCAGAGCAUGGUUUGACAGAUUCACUACCUUUGUCAAGUCCCAAGGAUAUAGUCAGGGACACUCUGAUUAUACUUUAUUUACAAAGGUUUCCAAGACAAGGAAGAUUGAUGUUCUAAUAGUUUAUGUGGAUGACAUUGUUUUAACUAGAGAUGACAGAAAUCAGUCAACUAAAGCAGAGAAUAGGUGAUGAAUAUGAAAUCAAGGAUUUGGAAAAUCUGAAAUAUUUCCUUGGAAUGGAGGUAGCCAUAUCUAAAGAAGAUAUCUCCAUGUCUUAGAGAAAAUACACCAAUGAUUUGCUAACCGAGAUAGGUAUGUUGGGAUGUCAUCCUAAUAUUUCCUUUGUUGUGAGUGUUGUCAGUCAGUUUAUGCAAGCUCCUUAUGAGAAACACAUGGAAGCUGUCAAUAGAAUUAUGAGAUACUUGAAAACAACACCUGGUAAAUGGCUGAUGUUUAGAAAAACAAGCAGAAAGAUCAUUGAGGCAUAUACCGACUCGGAUUGGGCAGGAUCUGUUGUUGACAGAAAGUCUACCUCCGGUUAUUGUACCUUUGAUUGGGGCAAUCUUGUUACUUGGAGGAGUAAGAAGCAAAGUGUUGUGGCCAUGAGCAAUGUUGAAGCCAAAUAUAGAGCUAUGAGUUUGGAAAUAUGUGAGAAAAUUUGUGUCUAGAAAGUCCUAUAUGAUCUUCAUCAGGAAUGCGAGUCCAUUAAAGCUCUUUUGUGAUAAUAAAGCCACUAUUAGUAUUGCUAACAACCCAGUUCAACAUAAUAGAACUAAACAUGUUGAGAUUGAUCGACAUUUCAUCAAAGAAAGACUUGACAGUGGGAGCAUAUGCAUACCGUACAUCCCCUCUAGCCAACAGGUUGUUGAUGUUCUCACCAAGGGCUUCUAAGGCCAAACUUUGAUUUUUGCGUUAGCAAGUUGGGCCUCAUUGAUAUUUACGUCCCAACUUGAGGGGGAGUGUUAGAAUUUGUAUCUAUUGAAAAAAUAUUUUGUGGAAAAUUUACCAUAAAUAUUUCUUUUCCUUUUUUUCUUUGCUCUUUACAUCCUAUUUAAGUUCCCUCAUUUGUACCAUUGAAAUUAUUAGGAAAAUAAUAAAACUAAAAACAUCGUGGUUUUUCUCCCGGUUCUCGGGUUUCCACGUAAGCCUUGGUUUCGUGUUUAUUGCUCUCAAUAAUUCAUACACAUUUAAAUAUCACAAUCAGAUACCAACGUGAGUACAUCGUUCUCAUGGUGAGAGAGUCGAUUCUCCAUCUCAGGUAUUUUCCAAAAAAGAUAAAAAGAAAUCGCAACCAGAGAUAUUGGCUAGAAUUGCAUUGGGCACCUUCAUUUGUCAGUGAGAGAGCAAGAAAUUCAGAAGAGGAUACGUUUUACAGAUUCUCUUCCAUGGCUGGUAUUGAUCACAUGUACUCCAACUUAUGCAACGGUCGUUUCAAGAGAACAUAUUUGUAUACCAUCAAAUAACUUGUAUUGAUCAAUUGGUUUCACUAAGAAUCACAAUGUCACUCAGAAUUUCCAGAUCUCUCAACUGUGUUUGACGCCGGGACUGAAGUUCAAAUUACAGAUAUUGAUGGUGUAGAGUCAACUGCUAACUUGCAAAAACUAAGACCAAUAAUAUCUAGGGCCUCACACAAAAUGGCCAGUUCCUCAAACUACAAAUAAAAACAGCUAGCAAAUAACAGGGUAACAAACGGCGACCAUAAAGGCAUUUGCAGAGGGACGAACUGCAACGAACUGAACUUACAGGAACAUGACCGAAACCAUUAUGGUUGAGAAUUUGUAGUCUGUAGGCUGGAAAUUUCCGGUGUGGAAGGAAUGCUCUCUUCCUUAUCAAUAGCACAGCUCGGCUCAGAAACUGUUCCACUGAUUCUGUUAGGAGGCCAAUAGCGGAAUAAUGAUCUCCCUAUUAUAUUCUUGGCAGGAAGCGGACCCCUGAAAAAUUGGUAUAGUCAGCUAUCAGCACAGGGAAGAAAAGAAUUUCUAAGAGGUGACUGAGUUAGCUUGAGUUUGGGAAAUCAGAAGUGUUCUACUUAAAUACACUUCUUUUAAAAGACAUCUUACACCCAGUAAUAGUGAAGAGAUGAGUGGAGACUUUACCAAACAUGUGAAUCAUAGCUGUUAUUGCGAUUAUCACCCAUCACGAAGACUGAGUUUUCUGGCACUUGCUGCAUCAAGGAAUGAAAGAGGUGUAAUGUAUAACCAUGCUUGAUAUAGAUUUCAUUAAGUGAAGAAAAAAUACUCUCUUUUCAUCCAACCGAAAUAAAAAAUCAUCACUGCCUGUACUCAAUUGUUGUGCAAUAUUGGUUGUCAUAUAAAACUCUGCUAGGAAGUUCCUUAAAAAGAAAAAAAAAAGCGAAACCAAUGCCAAAAAAGGAAAGUAACACUUACAACUGGAGUCAUAUCAUAUGAUGGUGGUUCAAGGAUAAAUUUUUCGUCUCUCUCAACCCCAUUAACGAUAAGUUUUCCCUUCCGAACCUGCAAUCAGAUAAUGUUCUAAGUCAAGAGUGAACCUAAAACACAUAUAUAUUUGAUGCUUAAAAAACACAUAAUCGAAAGCAGGAGAUUACAACCAUAAAUAUUUUUUGUUCCACAAUAGUUGUAGACUUAAUACUUAUUUGCCAAAGUAAGCUUGACCUAGUGGUAUUGUUAUGAACUCCAUCCAUAGAGGUUAGAGGUUCAGUCCCCACCCAAGAGUUGUUGGUACUCAAAGAAAAAAAAAACUAAUGUUAUUUAUAUUUUUCAAACGUACAGUAUUACUAGAGUAUCAUUAAAUAAACAUGGUAGAGGUAUCUGUUUUCGAGUGAUCUAAAUCAGUAGCCCCAAGACACAUGAAAUUUACAGCAACAUCAGAUAAUGAUCCAAACAAAAAAAUAAAGAAUCCUGUAAAAAUUCUCACCUCCACAGUAUCACCUUCUUUAGCUACAAUUCUUUUAAUGAAAACAUCUUCAUCUGUAUAUCCUACCUCCUGAAGCACUGGUGGGCUUUUAAAUAUCACUAUAUCAUUAGCGCAAGGCUUCCUAAAAUAGUAUGUGACCUGUAAAAGAAAAUAUAAGGAUUUACUUUCCAUGAAACUAUGAUCCAAUCCCCAAAAUUUGAUAGACAAUUGAAAUCAUAGAUCUUCUCCCCUUAUCUCAAAGUCAACCACUACAAUGGAAGAACUUGGAACAAAGAAAAUAUGCGAAGCAAUUUUUUACUUUGUUAUUCAUUAACAGAUAGGAGCAAAAGAACAGGCAGUUUAACUCUGAAACACAAACUUGUUGCCAUUUGAAUAUGAUAUCCCAAUCUAUAUAAAGUUUCAUUAACCGUGAAACACAGUUACAAAGUAGGAUUAACAAUAGUGAACAAGACUUUCACCUUCUCUGCUACAAGUCGAUCCCCAACAUCAAACGUAGGGUACAUUGAUAGCGAGGGAAUGUACCUCGGUUCUGCAAUAAAUGUUCUAAAGGCAAGAGAUAUUGCUAUGGCUGCAAAGACUGUUUUAGCGUCAUCCGAAGUCAAAUUCAACCAUUCUGGAAGAAACCCAGAAGAACCCUUUUGAUUUUCCACCUUCCCAUUAUCAUCACUUCCAUCGCCACCGUCACCUCCAUCACCACCGCCGCCGGUGUCUAAAACCGACCUAGUUUUUUCGUCAGAGUCAUUAGCAGCACUGCAGCGACCCCUCUUCAAGUGGGUUCCAUCGCUCGGAGUCUUAAAGGCUUGAAAUCUAUAGGUUACGGAUUGAAUAGAGCGAUUGGCGAAGUGGGUGUGUGCCAAUUUCGGGGAAUUGGGGAUUGAGUGGAGAUUGAGAAUUGGGAGAUAGGAAGGAUUAUUGGGUUUCGGAAGGCGCGUACGUUGUAAAGAAGUGUCGUGAAAAGAUGGAGCUGAAGAUAAGAGAUGAAGAGAGAGCAUUCUCUCUGGCAGAGCUGUGGUGGCUCGGUGAAGGAUUUCGAGCUGCUAGAUUUGUAAUUGGGGGUUCUACAGAGAAUGAGAGUAGACGACAACAAAGCAGGAAGUCCAUGGGAAUUUGGAUUAGAUGUGAAUAUAUUUGCUCUUUCUAAACAUGGUCAAACCAUGGUCUUUCUAUAAGUUUAUUGAUAUAAAUAACAUGGUCGUUACAAUAUCUUCUGAAAAAUAUAGGAUGACAAAAGUUCAGAAAGUUUGUAGAGAUAAUUCAUUUUCUCACGGGACCUGUUUCCUAACAGAGCGAGGUUGGGGACGAAGAUUCGAAGCCUCUUCUUAACGGAGAGAGGACGAACAUGGUAAUGAAGAAGCCAAGCGAAAACGAAGACGGAGAAGCCAUUAUGAGCCUGUCAACAACUCUUGAAGUUUUGGUACUUUGACGGGAAAAAAGAAUUCUCUGAUACUGUUCAAUAGUAAUUGUAAUUUCUUGACAUGUUAAAAAAGUUUACGUCAUCUAACAACCCAAAUGAAGUGGGUUUUGGAACAUCUCGGUUAGAGUUUCAAAUUUCCCUGUGGUGCUGGUAGUAUAAAUGAACCAUCAAGUGGUAGUAUAAAUAUUAUCAGAAUAGCAAUAUACAUGAUCAUGUAGUUUAGAUUUUGGUCCUCAAAUUGAAUUUACAUCGUCUACAUGAAUUGGCUACACUUGAAUUACACAAAGUGAUCCAAAACAAGAGUAAAGUAUUUGUAAUGCUUAACCAUUUAUAAUUUCAGAUAGCAAGCAUGAUCAUAUUUAUCAACUUUUUAAGAUCAUAGAUUCAGGGAACAGCUGGUUGUCUCCAUGUAGUCACUAAUGGAUGAACAUCAUUCUGCAAGUUGUAGUAGCAUGCUGCCUCCAUAUCCAAAACUGGGUUUGGUUCUGGAUAUGGCAUAGGAUCAAUGGACGAGAUGGGCGGGUCUGACGAAGGAGCAUCGACGUAGACGUGCUACGUGGACGUCCAGAUGGUACUUCAACUCCUUUUGGGAGUGUCCUGCUCCUUGUUUGGGAAUAAGAAGAUCCAUUACCAUUGGAUACAAUCACUAUUUCUGAUUUGAGAAGAUUAGAAUAAGAUGCAUGUGGGCCUUCUUCCUCAUGAAUUCUCUCUGAAUUUCUCCAUGGAAUUUCAUUCUCCUCUGUUCUUUCAGCCUUGGCAUCAUUUACCAUACCGAUUGAGCGCCAAGCUUCAGAUACGAGCUUGAGAGUGCUGUUUUCGGGAACAACAUUCAUUUCCUCCAUCAUUUGAAGGAUCUCUUCUGCUCUCCAUGGCUGUUUGGCUUCUCCAUAGCCCCAUAUUAAGGUCUCAAAGGUUUUCAAAUUGGGGGACACAUCCAUGUCACACAUAUGCUCAAAAACCUUCCAUGCCUUCUCCAUUUUACCUGCAGUGCACCAACCGCUAAUUAUAGUCGUGAAAAUCACGACAUUUGGUCUCACUCCAUAUUUGCUCAUGAAAUUUAGCAGGGACUCAGCCUUCACAGGCUCACCAGCACGGACAAACCCUUUUGCUAGAAUGCUGAAAACAUGGAUGUCAGGCUCAAUGCCAGAUUUCAACAUGUCAUCAAAGAUUUCUUGACAUUUAUCCAUACGUCCAGCUGAGCUCCAACCAUUCAUAAUGGUGCUAAAUGUUAUCACAUCUGGUUUUACACCAGAUUCUUCCAUCAUUGUCAAUGCCUGCUCAAGUUUAUAAUCAUUACCAAUCAACAACCACUUGAGAAGGAAGGAAAGUUCACCAACAAGGGGGGAAUUCGACGAUCACACAAAAAUGAUGUAGAAAAUGAAUGGAAAAAAUAUGAAAAAUAAUGUACCUUAUCAACUCCAUCCGAGUCCCCAAUAUCUAGGAAGCCCUUGAUAAGAGAGUUGAAAAUAACAAGGUUUGGGUGUAUUCCGAGAUCCCUCAUUCUAUAGACAACCCUUAGAGCCUCAGCCAAGUUCCCCUGUUCACAAUAACCACCUACGAUUAUUCCACAUGUUCUCUCAUUGGGAUUUACCUUCUUGUUUAGCAUAUCCACUAUUAUACUUUCUGCCUUGUUAGUCUCCCCAUCCUGAGCAUAUGCUCUUGCCAAUGUAUUGUAUGUGACAACAUCAGGUUGAACUCCAGAUGCAAGCAUCUGAUGCACCACAUUCCAUGCCUCCUUUAUACUUUUCUUUUUACACAAAGCUCCAACAAGGAUAUUGUAAGUCCUGUUAUUGGGUUUGAGAUUUGUAGUCCUCGUCAUUAAUUCUAAUAACUUCAUAGAUUCUUCAGGUUUACGAAUGAUUCCAUAGCCUUUGAUGAGGGUAUUAAAAGUGCUAGUUGUUGGCUUACAUCCACUCUCCUCCAUCUUCUGAAAAAUUUCCAUGGCCUCUUUUACAUUGCCAGAUUCAGAGAAGGCAUUGAUUAUGGCAUUUAAGAGUAUGGAAUCAGGUUUAAUGCCAGUUUCUUCCAUUUCUGAGAGAAGUCCUGAAAUGGCCUUGAAACGCUUCUGCCGAGUCAGAGCAGCUACAAGAGCUGUGUAUGUCACAGUAGUUGGCCUGUGUCCUUGUUCUACUAAACUAUUGAAAAUGAAUUGAGCUUCUUGAGGCUUCCCUCUUUCAACCAAGAUGUUCAUUAGCUUUGUUCUUGAACGAACUGUUCCGCAGCUAUUGUUACCCAAACAGAGAAGACAACGGGAUUGAAUUUGUGAAUCGACUGGAGUUGAAACUAACUUCACUUGAUUCUUCUGGAGACAUGAUUCCUGCAAAGUGAAACAUGUGCAUAAUAUAGUGAAAGAAAAAGGCUACCAUUUUAAGGACGACAGCAGAGGACUUUGGAGUGUUUGAAUUAUAUGAGGAAAACAUCCAUUUAAUAUAUUUCCAAAAGUCAGUACGAAUUUUUUCAAGUGUUAAUCAGUUUUCCUUAAAGAAACAAAAAUUUUCAUAUACAAUGAAACAUAAUAAAAAAAUGGAAAAGUGUUUUAGUAGGUCUCAAAUUCCCAGACGCAAUAUAAGAAAACCUAGCAAAUUGUUGAGUAAAAUCAAACGGAAGGACCGAAAUUCACCAAACAGUUAGUGAACAGGCUUAAUAAAAGAAGAAACAUCUGAUUUUACAAGCAUAGCCAACCAAGCAGAUGAUUUACCAAGAUAUGGAAGUGAAUUAGAUGAUUAUACUGGUUAUAUCAGUGAAAAACAGGACACUUUGUUCUAUCAUUGACAAUGAAAACAUAAUAAUAAUGCGAGUGCUUCCCAAAGUACCAUUUCUGAUGAUCCUUGAGACAGAUUUUUACUUGCAAUCGUUCCCUCUUUAUGAACACCCAUGAAAACUCAGGUUUUUGCUCUCCGGACUCUCUCAGUUCUGCUUGACCUACUCGUCAAACUUUCGCCUCACCAUCAGCAAAUCCCAAUAUAUUACAGCAACGUAUUUCACUGCCACUGAAUAAGUGAAGAAGAAUGGAGAUAAAGCUCCUCCAAUAUGAAUUCUACAAAGAAAAACACAAGAGAAUAAAAAAUCAAGUGAAGAGCAAGCAAAUCCCAAAUGGGGUUUCUUGUCAUCCAAAAGACAAAUCAAAUCAAAACCCCUAUUCUGUUCAAAUUCUUCCAUCUCCAACCAAAUUCUUCCGAAACCCAAAUUUCUAAAAAUCAGUUCAAUCAAAUUGAUGAUCACGAACACACCCAUCUAGGUUUUGAAAAGUAGAUCAGGAUUGAAAUUGCAUUCAAGUAAGGAGCCAAAGGGGAGAUGGAGGUACCUUUUCAGCUGGGCAGGUGCAGGAGGAGGAGGAGGAGCGGUUGACGGCGGUGCAUUUGCAUGGAAGACGAGCAGUAGAAGCAGCCUCUCCAUGUAAACGAGCCAAUAUCGUUUUCUAGUGGCCAAAGUUUGUGUUCUGAAAUCAACUGGAGAUUCUUAUCCACAAAUUUUUAUCAUUUCCGGAUUUCUUGAUGCCUUUUUGAGGCUGCCAAAAAUUUAAAUAAAAUUAGAGCCCAAUGGCUGAUAGGGAGCAAGAGUGGCCACGAUAGCAUUUACACUCCACAUCCAUACGUGUGUAUAUAAUUAUAAUUCUAUAUUGCUUAUUUAAUUUUAAAAACAAUAUAUAUAUAUAUAUGGGAUGACCAAUUUAAUCUUUUUUUCUUUUAAGCUAUCCCUUUCAAAAGUUCAUAAUGAAAUCCAGGAAAAAAAACUUUGAUAUUUUGCAUGAACUUUUGGAACAUACAAUUUCCAUUUCUUUUUUCUUAACUGUGUUGGCAUAUACGUUCUUUCUUGUUACAAGUUUUAUUUUGUGAAGGUUUGUCGACUCUUUUCUCGUGAUCUUAUCUUUAAUCAAUGUGAUCUGAGCCUACCAUAUUGAUAAGAAACCCGUGAGCAUUGGAUCUAAGAACCAUUAAACAACAAGACUUAAAAGAACACAACUCCAACAACUGAAAAACUAAUUUGAUUUCAACCUCUGAGAUAUGCUAGAUACAAAUUGCUUAGAUGAUCUAACAAACCGAGGAUCGGACAAAAUUAGAAAUUCUUAUCAACCAUUGAUCUUCAAAGCACUCUACAAGUAAGGUAGAUCAAUUCUCACUUGAAUGCUCCAAAUAUUCCUGCAUUCUAUCAUAAGAACAUACAAGAACAAAAAUUCUAUAUUCUAGAAUUUUCAGAUUUCAUUCAUCCCAAAUUCUUCUUUUUAAAUGUGGAAAUUACAACCCUAUUUAUACUAAUUAAAAUAUGAAAUGAAAGAAUGAUAUGGAUCACAUACUAGUUCAAUUUAACACAUAUGAAGUAGAGCCAAAACUCUUAUUUGGAUAUUACUUACUCUUUCUUUUUAAGUCAUUGAAACUUUUAAUGUGUAGUAUCCAUGUCUAACUAUUUUCAUAUCGAUAUCUUUUGUUAAUAGAUGCAAAAUAUAAAAUGAGAUGGAAGAUAGUGACAAUUUUCUUUUUUAACAAACAAAUGAGCUAUCUAACCAUUUUGUUUUUUGUUUAUAAAAAGUACACGUAUUUCCUUCCAAUUCUUACAAUGGAGUAAAUAUUACUCGAGUACAAGAACUGUAUUCUAAACCAAAUUCUAUAAACUACUUUUUUUUUUCAAGUUUCAAAUAUUGACUUAGUUGUUUUAAAACUUUUUGGACUAUGUAAUGCUCCUGCAACGUUUCAAAGAUGCAUGUUAAGCAUAUUCACUGAUUUCAUAGGAAAAUGCAUAGAAAUGUUCAUGGAUGAUUUCACAGUUUAUGAGAACGAUUUUGAUUCUUGUUUGAAUAGUUUAGAGUUGAUUCUAAAGAGAUGUAUUGAUACUAACUUAGUGCUUAACUUUAAAAAAUGUCAUUUCAUGGCUUCUCAUGGUAUAGUACUAGGUCACUUAGUAUCAUCUAGGGGAAUAGAAGUUGACAAAGCUAAAUAUAUUUCGUUCAAAACUUACCUUACCCCACUUGUUUAAAGGAUGUUAGAUCAUUUUUGGGUAGUGUCGGAUUUUAUAGAAGGUUCAUUAAAGACUUUUCUAAGAUAGCUUUUCCCUUGACAAUUUUGCUUCAAAAAUAUGUCCCUUUUAUAAUUUAUGCAUGCUUUUGAUACUUUAAAAGUUGACUUCUUCUCCUAUCUUGCAAACACCUAAUUGGAACUUGCUAUUUGAGAUCAUGUGUGAUGCAAGUGAUUUUGCAUUAGGUGCAGAACUUGCUAUUUGAGAUCAUGUGUGAUGCAAGUGGUUUUGCAUUAGGUGCAGUGCUAUGACAAAGCGUAGAUAACAAAUCACAUGAUACAUAUUUUGCAUCUCGAACACUAAAUUUUGCUCAAGCUAAUUACUCCACAACUAAAAAAGAGUUUUUGUCAACACUGUGGGGCUGAAUGUAUGGAGGACUUCAGGCCUAUCUCUUGUUGUAAUGUUAUUUACAAAUGUAUUUUAAAGAUUUUGGUUGAUAGGCUUCGUGAGUGGCUUUCUUCAUUUGUCAGUGGUAAUCAGUCUUCCUUUAUUCUAGGGAGAAGUAUUAUUGAUAAUAUUCUUCUUUGUUAGGAGCUGGUUGGGGGUUAUCAUACUAACUCUGGUAAACCUCGGUGUACUAUGAAAGUUGAUCUUAAAAAAGCUUAUGAUUCUGUUAACUAAGAUUUUCUUUUCAGAUUGUUGACGGCUAUUGGUACCCCCUUGAGGUUUGUGAGUUGGCUUAGAGCUUGUGUUUGACUAAAACUCCUAGUGGUAUGAGAGAAACUAGGGCACAUGCCCAAUAGGUCUCCCACUUGUCCUAGUUUACAAACAUCGUAGACCUAAACUGUGUAGGUGACUCUCAAACACUUUAGCCGUGAGGGCUUUUGUAAAAGUGUGAGGGCUUUUGUAAAAGUGUGAGGGCUUUUGUAAAAGGAUCAGCAAUGUUUUGCUGAGAAGAAAUCUGGGUUACUACAACGUCACCACGAUGUACAAUUUCCCUGAUAAGAUGGUACUUGCGUUCAAUAUGCUUUCCUCUUUUAUGGCUUCUAGGUUCUCUUGAAUUUGCAACUGCACCACUGUUGUCACAGUAUAAAGUGAUUGGUAGAUGCAUAUUUGGAACGACUUCCAAAUCUGUCAAGAAUUUUCUUAGCCAUACUGCUUCUUUUGCUGCUUCACAAGCCGCUACGUAUUCAGCUUCCAUUGUGGAAUCAGCUAUACAAGUUUGCUUUAUGCUUCUCCAAACUACUGCUCCUCCAUUUAGAGUAAAUACUGAUCCUGAUGUAGACUUUCUAGCAUCUUUAUCAGUUUGGAAAUCUGAAUCAGUGUAUCCAGUAAGGAUCAGAUCCUUUGUACCAUACAUGAGCAUGUAGUCUUUUGUUCUUCGAAGAUAUUUUAGAAUGUUUUUAACGGCUGUCCAGUGAUCACGUCCAGGAUUGGAUUGAUACCUACUGACCAUCCCUACUGAGUAGCAAAUGUCAGGUCUAGUACAUAACAUUGCAUACAUUAAACUUCCAACAGCGGAAGCAUAGGGAAUAUUUCUCAUAUCCUCAACUUCUUGAGGUGUCUUAGGACAUUGUUCCUUUGACAAAUGAAUUCCAUAUCUGUACGGCAGCAGACCCUUUUUGGAAUUCUGCAUUUUAUAUCUAGACAACAUUUUGUCUAUGUAAGAUGCUUGAGACAUGGCUAGUGUUUUGUUCUUACGGUUUCGAACAAUUUGGAUUCCGAGAACGUAGCAUCUCCCAGAUCUUUCAUUUGAAAUUGCAUAGCUAGCCAUUUCUUGAUAUCAGUAAGAUAUCCUACGUCAUUUCCAAUAAGUAGAAUAUCAUCUACAUAUAAGACUAAAAAUGCUAUAAUGGAAUUGACGACCUUUUUGUAAACACAAGGCUCGUCAACAUUUUGUUCAAAGCCAUAAGAUUUGAUCGCAGUAUCAAAUCUUAUAUUCCAGGAUCUAGAAGCUUGUUUUAAUCCAUAAAAUGGAUUUUUUAAGCUUACAAACCUUUUGUUCUUGAUCUUGUUCUAUAAACCCCUCUGGUUGAGACAUAUAGAUACUCGCUUCAAGAUUACCGUUCAAAAAAGCUGUCUUGACAUCCAUCUGCCAAAUUUCAUAAUCAUAAAAAGUGGCGAUGGAUAAGAGUAUUCUAAUUGACUUUAACAUGGCAACAGGAGAGAAAGUUUCCUCAUAGUCUACUCCCUCUCUCUGGGUAUAACCCUUUGCCACAAGUCGAGCCUUGAAAGUCUGUACUUUACCGGCAUGGUCUCGUUUUCUCUUGUAGAUCCAUUUACAACCAAUAGGUUUUACGUCAUUUGGUUGAUCUACUAGAGUCCAGACAGAAUUAAAGUACAUAGACUCCAUUUCGAGGUCCAUGGCUUUGAUCCAUUGGUCACGAUCUACAUCUUUCAUUGCCUGUUUAUAGGUUAAUGGAUCCUCUAUGCCAUCGUCAGGUAUGACGACUUGAGUUUCAAUUAAACCCAAAUAGCGAUCAGGCUGAUGAACAACCCUCCCACUACGUCGAGGCUCUCUCAACUGUUGAGAAGGAUGUGAUUGACCAGAUUUCCUAGUCUUAUCAACUACCUUAGUGGAUGAACUAGGUUUAUCUAUAGCACUUUUGGAAAUUUCUUUUAAUACUAGUUUACUACGAGGUUGAUGAUCCCUGAUGUGGUCUUCCUCUAAGAAUGUGGCAUUUGUUGACACAAAUAUUUUAUUUUCUUGAGGAUCAUAAAACAAACCACCUCUUGAUUCUUUUGGAUAACCUAUAAAAAAGCAUAAUUUUGAACGAUGUUCCAAUUUCUUAGGAUUUUGUACCAACACGUGUGCUGGACAACCCCAAAUUCUAAAAUGACGUAAACUUCCUUUACGCCCUUUCCAUAUAUAGCUCAUAGGGUGUUUCUGAAACACUUUUAGAGGGAACAUUAUUCAAAAUAUAAGCAGCUGUUUCUAAAGCAUAUCCCCAAAAAGAAUCUGACAUCUGAGAAAAACUCAUCAUAGAGCGAACCAUGUCUAACAAGGUCCGGUUUCUUCUUUCUGAUACACCGUUCUGUUGAGGUGUACUAGGUGCAGAGAGUUGUGACUGGAUUCCAUUUUCUAUUAAAUAGUCUCGGAAUCGUAAGUCCAUAUACUCUCCACCUCGAUCUGAUCGAAGUAUUUUUAUUGUUUUACCUAAUUCGUUUUCUACUUCAGCCUUAUAUUCUUUGAACUUUUCAAGACUAUUAGACUUAUGAUGUAUUAGGUAAAUAUGACCAUACCUUGAAUAAUCAUCAAUGAAGCUAAUGAAAUAUUCAUAUCCACCUCGAGCUUUGACAUUCAUUGGUCCACAAAGGUCCGAAUGUACGAGCUCUAAGGGUCCUUUGGCUCUUAGACCUUUUCCAGUAAAAGAUCUCUUGGUCAUUUUUCCUUCAAGACAAGAUUCACAAGGAGGUAAAGAGUUAUUUUCUAACGGACUUAGAAGCCCACUUUUAACCAAUCUCCCAAUCCUAUUGAGAUUUAUGUGACCAAGUCUUAAGUGCCAUAAAUAGGCAUUAGAAGAAACUUUUUGUCUUUUAUUCUGAGUUUCAGCUGUUCUGAAUAUUUCAGUAUUUAAGACAAAAUUUGCUCUAGUUGGUCUUAACUUAUAUAAGUUGUCUUCAAGUAUAGCAGAACAAACUAGAAUACCUUUAUAGAAAACGAACGCUUCAUUAAUUUCAAAAGAUAUUCUAUACAUUUGUUCCAAAAUACAAGAGAUAGAUAUUAAAUUUCUUUUCAUUUGAGGUACAUAUAAGACAUUCUUAAGUAUGACAUAUCUAUCUCUAAAAAACAACUUUAAAUCUCCCACUGCUGAAGCUGAGACCAUCUCUCCUGUUCCAACCUUGAGAGUGAUCUCGCCUUCUGAAAGCUUUUUCCAAGAACUAUUUUCCUGAAAUGAGAAGCAAAUAUGGUUAGUGGCUCCUGAAUCUAGUAUCCAGGUAGAAUUUUCAUAUUCCACUAAACAUGUUUCUACAACUAGUAAAUCAUAUUUACCUUGUGUUUCCUUCUCUGCCUUUUUUUCUGCAAGGUAUUUUGGGCAGUUUCUUAACCAGUGCCCGUUUUGGCCACAAUGGUAACACUUACCUUUUUCUGCAGCUUUCUUACCCUUGUUCUGUUUGGGAGUCUUUCCCUUUCCCUUCUUUUUUAUUUGAGCAUUAGGUUUUGAGGGUCCAGCUUUGGUUUUAGAGGACGAUCCUCUUAUAAAUUUUCUUUUUGUGGUAGCAACAUUUGCUUCCACUUGUUUUCCUUUACCCAUAGUAAGGUUUUGGAAUCGCUGGAGUUCAUUCAGAAGGGUUGUCAAGUUAAAUUCUAUCUUGUUCAAAGACGCAUUCGUUUGGAAUGGAAUGAAGCUCUUCGGAAGAGACUCUAAGAUAAAACUAACUUGAUUAACCUCUUAUCGAUGGGACCACCAUUCACUUCAGCGAUGUUGAAGUGCAUCAUCAUGUCCAGAACAUGUUCUCUAACAGAGGUCCCUUCCUUCAUACGCUUAGUGUAAAUGUAUUUGACUGCCUCGUGUCUUAAGGACCAUUCUGGUUGCCCAAACAUUCCCCUUAAUGAAUCCAUAAUCUCUUUAGCCGUGGCUAAGGAUUCAUGUUUCUUUGCCAAUACAUCAGACAUGCUGGCAAGAAUGUAGACACGGGCUUUUUCAUUAGCUUUUAUCCAUCGAUCAUAUGCAUCCCGACUAGUUCGGUUAGCAUUAGAGGCAGGGUUUUGAGGACAUUCCUCAGUUAAGACAAAUCUUAAAUCGUCAACCACUAGUAUUGUGUUAAGAUUUGAUUUCCAAGCCGCAUAAUUAUCGCCAUUAAGUUUUUCGGAAGCUAAAAGUUGAACUAUUGAGCUAUUCAUGCUGAAAAACAAACAUAUUCUUUUUAGGAAAAAACUAUAAUCAUAAAAAAUAUCCAAUCUAAUUUAGCAAUUACUAAUAAUGUACCCUUUCAUUAUUUGUAUUUUGCAACAAUAUUUCAAAGGUUUAGAACAACCUUCUCCGAAGGGUAGUUGAUUAUUCCUCCUUUGAACCAAGACAAUCUUGACUAGAUGCUAUCUCUAGAAUAACUCUUUAUUCUUUAUAGCACUUAGUUAUCGCUACUUUAGUCAAGAAUAUACUAACAACUUAGUAAUUCUUGUAAGUGUUACCCACCAUUUUCAGAUUUCAUAGAUUAGAAUCAUUUAUGAAAACUAAUCUAAGAAAACCUAUCCAGUUUUGGAGUUCGCGGUGUUCCGAAUCCUAUAAUACAACCCUCCGAAGGGAACGUCGCUCCAGGGCAGACAAGCAGGCAUAUUAUAGAAAUCUCACGGUGCGACCUAAUGGAAGAGACCGUGGGAUGUGCUGCCACAAAUCCCUCACCCACUUACUAUGAACUACUUCCCCUAUUCACCUUGAUUUUGAUCCAUGCAAACACUCUCCGAAGGGAGGCCGCUCCUAUGCACGGCACAAAGCCCUGCAUGGACCUCACGGUGUGAACUCUUAGGGACACUAGAGCUAAAAUACAUUAUUUUUCUCUAGUUGAAGUGUUCUAUUUUAAAGGAAAAAAAAUAGGGUAAUCCAAGCUUCAAGAUUUAUAUUUAGGCUAACUUAAACAAAUCUUAAGUCUAGAUAAAACAUCCAAGUAUAACCAUUAUACAGGAUUUUAACCUAUGAUGUCUAGGUGAUAAACCAUUUUUAUUACCUCACACCUCUCACGAAUGCUCAUAAAACUAGGUUAACUAGGCUCAAGAACUGAUUACGAUCUCCAGGUAGGAGGUGUUCCGUAAACCGUCAACUUAAGAACCUCCAACCUUAGUCAUCUUAUCUGACUUGUUGACAAGAUUGAACCAGGUGAGCCUUUUGUAACCAGUUUUACAAGAUAUCGACCUAUUUCUAUGAAAAAUGGAAGAUAUGUUUAACCUAAGUGAGCAUGCAUUUAAUUGAUUUUAAAAGUCUAAUUUAUUUUAUAACACUUAUAAAAACUUUUAAACUUAAUCAAUCAUUUUAUCAAUAUAUAACCUUAUAAAAACAAUCAAUUAAUAUGGAUUUUAAUUUAUUUAACUUUAAUUAAAUCAUAUUUAAUUUUUAAUUAAAUUAAAUCAUAUUUAAUUAAAUUAAAUCAAACAAUAAUUAAUUAAUUUGAUUAAAUCAUAUUUAAUCAAGAAUAACUUAAUUAAUUAAAUAAUUAAUUAAUCAUAUUAAUUAAUUUCCAUAUUAAUCAAUUAACAUGCAUACAAUACAAUAUAACCUUUAUAUCAUACAUUUUAAUGCAUGAACAUGUUAACCUAUGGUGGGAUUUUAAAUCUAUAUGACAUUCAAAAUGCACAUACAAAUUUAAAGUAAUUUAAUCAUACAUCACAUGCAUAAAUAAAAAAAAACACCCUAAAAUGGACUGAUUUUUGGCUCCUAAAUUAAGCUAAGUACUAAAUUAUUACAUAAUUAAUUUGGGCUUGAAUCGGCCCAAUUAACUAAACAGGCCCAGGCGCACACGGGUCGGGCGUGCGGGUGCAGGCAGGCGUGCGGGCGCAAACGGGCACGCGGGCGUAGGCGGGUCGCGAAGCGGGUCAAGGCCGGGUUUUCGGGUCUGUGACCUUUUCUUCAUUUUUUUCAAUUCUCUCACCCGGUUGAACCAAUUACAGUCUAACUUCAACUCUAAUGACUUUUUCUUUAAAAAAAAAAAUUACAAACACUUUGCAACAAUAAAAAUAAGCCAUUAGCAAGGCUAAUUACAAUAAUUAGAACAAAAACACUUAAUCUAGAGCCAAAAUCAUAAUAUAUCCAUUUUAAUUCAAACCAAAAGUUAUCUAAUAAAUAUGAACCAGCCACAUGCAAUUGGGUAAAAUUGAAGCAUGCUCUGAUACCACAUGAUAGAACUAAGACAUGCACAACGGAAAAAAGAAUCGAAUUUCUACCCUAAUUGCCACAAUUAACAUAUAACCCUAAACUAAUCAAGUUAGGGUUUUAGGAAAUAUUACCUUUGAAGCUUUCAAAAAAAUUUGAUACCUUCUUGUCAAUUCAAACCGAGACCACCACUAGUACUCAACUACUAUCCUCUUGGACAAAGAACCGGGUUGUGGGACCCAAUUUGGUGUAGAAAGAAAUGGAGAUAAAAUGGGAUUGGAAGGUAGAAAAUUUUUCUUUUGUUGAGAUGUUGGAGGAUAAUAAAAAAGGCAAAAGUCUUCAACAAUUUGAAAACUCCCCUAUUUAUAACCUAAUUACAUGCAAAAAUGCAUGUAAUUAAUUUGUCAAAUCUCAACACCUAAUGUUCCACUAACAAUUAGUGGAACUUAGUGGGCUAGGUGUCUAUAUCUCAUAUAGCCACAUAUCCCACUAAGAGUUAGUGAGAUUAUCCAACAAAAUGUUAGAUUUUCCCACUAACUUAGUCCAAGGGUAAAAUGGUCAUUAGAUAUUUCAAGUCAAAAGUCAAACUUUAACUUUUCUUAGUCAAAAGUCAAUAUUUUGACUUUUUACCAUUUUGUCCGUCUUGACUAAUUCCAACCUCUCGAGCAUGAAUCCGCAUUCAUUUUUCCAAAAUUCAAAUCACAUUUGAAUAUAAGGCCGGUCAAAGUUUGACUUUUCAAAGUCAAAAGUCAACAUUUUGACUUUUUACUAUUUUUGACCAAUUCCAUCAAUUCCGAGCUUCUUAGUAUGAAUCCGCAUUCAUACUUAUAAUAUGUAAAACAUAAAGCUCUAUUUCUAAUUAGAAGACCGACGACUAUAUCACUAUAUUUGUCGGUUUCUCUUUCUUCUCCCAAUUCGAACAAUUCGACUUAUUUCAUCACACACUGUUCUACGUUUAAUCCAUAUGAGCUAGCAGGGGAACCGAAUGGACCUAUAAAUCAUGGGCUCCAACGAUUCAAAAUUAACUAGCUAAACUCUUUUAAACCGAGUUAAUCAACAUUCGUUAACUAACGGGUCAUUCCACUAAAGUCCCGUAGUUGCACUCCCCUCACUAUAGAUAUGUUUGUGUCCAUUUGAUAAAACCAUAAUCAGUAAGUGAAUCCUUCACAGGUUGCUCGUAACCUUGGCUGGGUCAAAAUACCGUUUUACCCCAAGAUUACAUCUUGCUCCUUAAGUCCCACUAAUCCACUAUUGAACAAUUGGUUUAAGGUUCAACCUAUAAACUUAAAUCCCUCUCGGGCCAAUGAGAGGGUGGGGCCCCUUGUUCAAGACUUGGAUUCAGUGCUUAAGAGAACAACCUAUCUACUAACCCUAAAGCGGGUAGGAGUGAAUUCCAUCUUGUACCCUAUAUUCCGAGCUAUCCACCCGAUCUUACCCCUGAAAUGGGAGGCUUAUUGGGCCAACGCUGAUGAGCUGCCCUCACCUAUGCUGAUCUAAGGAUAAUCUCGUGUGAACAGGAGUUCAUAGUUAACUCAGGAUUAAGAUUAAGUUACCUAGGUCAUCAAUAAUCGAAAUAGUUAGUUUUAAACAGUAAACGGUGUUAUAACGUAAAAAAGACUAAUUCAUGGUUCAGUCUUAUGUAAACACUUUACAUAGGAUGCCCCCACUUUCAUGUCUCUACAUGAACGAUUCAGGAUCACCUCGUUUGUACUACAAAAUGGGCCGCAUCCAUAGUUUCUCUAAAUAAGGCGCUCAACCUUUAUUCAUAUACUAUAGACUAUUUAGGCUAUAUAUACUCGAACUUGAUCCACGUUUAUGUUUACACAUAAAGUUCAAGUUUAUUCAAAAAAAUAGCAUUGGAACUUGAUUUAUUGGAUUUAUGAUUAUAAUAUUUAAUUUCUCAAUAACAACUUUAUUGAAACAGAAUAUGAUUACAAACUACGAGUUUUAGGACAAAAAAUUCCAACAAAACAAUAGGGUUUCCUGGAUGAUCCAGAGUCGAAAAUAGGUUAUUGAUAUCAAACCUUAGUUCUAGCGUCUACUUAUCAAUCAGGUGAUAUAAAAUAAUAACUAUACAUUAUAGAAAAGUGUAGAUAAUUUAAUGAAGGUGGUUAGGAGAAUUGAGGUACAAGAAUGAAAUAACUUGUAGUAAAGAAGAGGAUGAAGGAAUGUAUAGUGCUACCAGACAAUUAAGCCAUAUGAAAGUCUUGAUGUGAUAUAACUUACUUAACUAGCUUAUGCUUAAGGUGAGCUCCUCUCUAAAUCUUUAAACGCCACACCUGGUCUCCCUUUUGGGAUCCAAAUGACUAAGACUAGCUAAACAAGGUAUAUCUAGAAGAGUUUACUUAUAGAAGUUAUAAAACUUUGCGUUUAAGUGUGACAACCUCUUGACGCCUAAUACCCACACUUAUUUUCCUGUUACGACAGAAAUUAUGGAAGUUAUCUCGCGAAAGGUGAAAUUUGUCUUCGAACUGUCCCUUGUGUGUGUUAAUCCUUGCUACUUGACUUCUUAGGUAGUGGGCGAUAUACACUGGUCAAGUGAUGAAAAUAGCUCAGCUAACCUGAUAAGAAUUAUAAGUAAAGCUUCUUAUCAAAGCUUAUCAUAAACCUAAACUACGAAUAACACAAGGACAUAUGAACAGUAAAGACAUUGAUGGAUUAAAAAGGUAUAAAUAUACAUUAUUCAAAAGAAUGUAGGUCUUUGGCCAUUGUACAAUAUGAACACAUACAAUGUAAGAAAUAAAAAAAUGAAAAGAAUAGAAAUGAUAUUACAAGUUAGGGGAAGAUGGGGGAAUCAUAUCUUCUUCAUUCAAACUACAAGCUUUAACUCUACAGACAGACUUGAGAAGACGAAAAAGUGCUUUUUAGACAGUGGAAAGGCUAUUUUUUGCCAUCAACUCUCUAUGACUUUACACACCUCUUCAAGUAUACGGAUGACGAUCCAUUCAGAUUUCGCUCUCUUCUUGGUAAGGAUGGAGUUCCCUUUUAUAGGCAGAUUUAGGCGAAAAAUCUAAUCUUCUGAGCAUAUCAUCACCAAAAGUUGCCUCUAUCAUCAAGUCACAUCACUCUAUCUACCACUUUUGUCUUUUAACGAAUCUCAUCACGCAUUUUGAUGUGGUCAUCUUGCCUCGUCUUUGUGCGAGUUCCUCUAUGAUUCGUUAUCUUAUGCUUUUUUUCUUUAGCCUUGCGUUAAGGCACUAAAACAAGGUGAAAUAAACAUGGGUGCUUAUGUAAAGUUUAUUUCUAAAUAUUUAUGCAUUUACAACAUAAGUAACGCAUUUUGAUACACUUUCUAUGCAUUUUGGUCCCACUAUUCUACUUAAAAUGUCAUAAUAACUUGUAUUUCUACAAUUUAUCAACAGGGAGUGGCAUAUCCAACACAACAUUGAAUUCAUCCUAGGCUCAACGCUUCCAAAUCUACCACACUAUAGAAUGAGUCCAAAGACUACAAGAUCCUUUAAGAACAAGUAAAAUGAACUUCUAUAGAAAGGGCAAAUUAAACCAAGUUAAGUCCUUGUGUCAUGCUUGUUCAACUAACUUCCAAGAAAGAAAAAUCCUGUAGGAUGUGUGUGGAUAGUCGCACUAUCAACAACAUUACAAUUAAAUAUCGCUUUUUCAUACCAAAGAUGUAUGACCUAUUUCAUCAACUUGGAGGAAUGAAAAGUUUCUCCAAGAUUGACUUAAAAUGUGGGCACUGACAAAUAAGGAUUCGAUCGAGCGUUGAAUGAAAUACGACAUUCAAGACUAACUAGUGUCUCUUUGAGUGGCUAGUAAUGCUAUUUAAACUUUCCAAUGUGCCUAGCACACGUUCAUGAGGCUAAUAGCCUAUGUUCUACCCUCUUAUGUUAAUAAAUUUUUUGUAGUCUAUUUUGAUGAUAUGUUAGUAUAUAGCACUUCAUAUGAAAAGCAUCUUUCACAAUAAACUUUCUAAAACCCUUCAAGAAAACCAACUUACUAUUAAUUUCAAUAAGUGUUCUUUUUUAGUUCACGAAAUAUAUUUUUUGGGUUUUAUCAUUAACAAAUCUGGAAUAUUUGUAGAUCCUAAUAAAAUUAAGGCAAUAAAAGAUUGGCCACAACCUAAAACAAUAAAAAGAUUUACAAAUUUUCCUAGAGCUUACAUCUUUCUAUAGAAAAUUUUAAAAAAAAUUUAGUACUAUAACAUCCUCACUAAAAAAUGUUUCAACAAAGGAAAAUUUUCUUGGUCUAUACACCAAACACAAAGUUUUUUUGCUUUUGAAAGUAGGUUGUCCAAUGCAUCCAAUCUUGCCCUACUGGAUUCCUCUCAACUGUUUGAAGUGGUGGUUGAUGCUUGUGGUUAUGGAAUAGAAGCCGUUUUGUCUUAACACACUUACCCAAUUGAAUAUUUUAGUUAGAUACUAAGUGAAGUAAGAAAAUGUGGAGCACCUAUGAACAAGAACUUUACUCAUUGGUAAGAGCUUAAAAAUUUUGGGAGCAUAAUCUUUUAGAUGAAGAAUUCAUUUUAUAUUCUGACCAUAUAUCUCUCAAAUAUUUGCAAACCCAAAAAACUAUUAGUAGGAUGCAUGCUAGAUGCCUUUCUUUUAUUCAUUAUUUCCAUUUCGUAAUCAAACAUAAAUAUGUUAGUAUCAACGUGGUGGCAGAUGCUUUUAGAAGAAGGACCAACCUACUCGCUAUUUUAAAGACUCAAAUAGUAGCUUUUGACUCCUUACCAAAUCUUUACAAAGAUGACUUCGAUUUUGGCAAUAUUUAGUCUUCAUGUGUGUUGAUCAUGUCAAUUGUAAUGAUUUUCAUUUUACUAUCAAAUUCAUUUUCAAGAAUAACAUUCUUUGUAUCCCUAGAACAUCACUUCGUGAGGCUUUGAUUAAAACACUUCAUAGGAAUGGCCUCGCGGGACACUUUGUCAUUGACAAGACCUAUCAACUCCUUAAUGAAAGGUACUAUUGGCCUCAACUGCUUAGAGAUGCGACGAAGUUCGUUAAACACUGUUUUACAUGCCAAGGGACAACAACAAAAUACGAGCCUUUACACCCCACUACCUAUUCCUUAAGGUAUUUGGAAAGAUUUUUCCAUGGACAACAUUCUACAUCUUCCAAAAAUGCAAAAGGGGUAUGAUUCUGUACUUGUAGUAGUUGACCGUUUUAGCAAAAUGUCUCACUUUUUACCUUGUAGGAAAACUUCGGAUGUUGUUUAUCUUAAACUAUUUUUUUAAAAAAAUUAUACGCUUGCACAAAACCUAAGUCCAUAGUAUAUAAUCGAGAUAUAAGUUUCUUAACUACUUUUUGAAGACUCUUUGAAAACAAUUCAACACAACACUCAAAUUUAGAACAACGAGUCAUCCCUAAGCGAAUGGACAAAUCGAAGUCACUAAUAGACUUAGCUAACCUCGUAAGGUGCAUUGGUGGGGACAAACCUGGGCAAUGGGACCUUAUCUUAGAUCAAGCCGAGUUUACCUACAAUCAUGUGAAAAAUCGAACAACAAGAAAGUCAACAUUUGAAAUUACUUACACUAAAUUACCUAGGCUAUCUAUUGAUCUUGCCUACAUUUUUUCUAAUAUUGAUCUUAGUUUGGCAGCAACAAGACAUAAGCCAACAAGCAUAAAAGAUUCAAAUAAUUCAAAGAAGGAGAUCUAGUAACGAUCUACCUUCGAAAGACAAGACUCCCAGCUAGAAAAUACAAUAAACUACAACAAAAAAAGAUAGGACCUUUUCAAGUAAUAAAAAGGUUUAGUGACAACGCCUACAAGAUCGAGUUGCCUGACCACUUACACAUCAACCCCAUCUUCAAUAUAACGAAUAUUUUUUAGUAUUUUCCUCUAGAUCAGCUACAAAUCUUAGCUUGAAACUGAAGAAUGAGUUUUUCUUAGAGAGGGGGGAAAUUGAUGUAUUUAUUAAUUUUUAUUGUGUUGUCUUUCAUUAAUUUUUAGACAACAUUUCUGAGCAUAAAACUUGUUCACUGAUUGUUUAGGUAAUGAGGAUACUAUCCUUAAGUUAUAAAAUUAUAUUCCUUAUGUUUUUGUGCUUUUUAAUCUUUAGGUUUUAUAUAUAUAAAAGAAAGACUUAGUUCUUAUUCUCUUCUCGAAGACUUCAUCACAUAUGCUCUCAAGCUUCCAAUUACUCUUCCUCGUUUUCUUAUUAGACUCUUGUUAUUUCACGAUCCUUCUAUUUUGCAUAAUGGUGAGGCUCCUGGUCCUUCUCUGAUCCUUUCACAUUACAUCUCAGCUAAGAUUUUUCAGAAAAGUCAUGUCCUUGACAUUUCUCAUUAGUCAUGUCCUUGCCUCUUCCUGAUGAUCUCUGGACUUCAGAUGUUGGGUUACUUAAUUGGAUAAUCAUAUUCUUCAUGUUCUGACAUUAGAAUCUAGAAGUUUGAGUGGCAUCAUCCAAGAGUUUACUGUUCGUCGAAGGACUCUAAACUCUCUUGUGCAUCCACUAAGUCUUCUUUUGCCCCAUAAUGGUGAAGCCUCCACAUCUGUUGCUGUUAUUGCUCCUUCCUCUGCCACAUAAUUUGUUUUCCUAACCAUUAAAGGGGGAGAUGGUCGAUAGUGGUUGCAAGUCUUACGGAAGUUAUUUUUGUUUGUUGGGUUUAUGUUACUACUUUGUGAUGGUAUCUGUUUUGUUGUUGGGCCUUUUGUUAUCUGGCCAUAAAGAAAUUUUGUUUUAGUCAAAGAGAGAGUUUGUUAAUAUCACAACCCGUCCUGGGCACCUGCUUGCUCGUCCCGAGAUGUGGCAUGAUGUCAGUUGAAGUCGUUUGCUUUCGGAACAACCUUAAUUAACACAUGAUAUGAAAACAUAAACCAUUCAACAACGAAAGUCUUUUCAAACAUGAAAUAUAUAUAUACUUUUAAUUAAACAGAGAAAUACUUUUAGCAAAACAAUUUCUUUCUUAAUUAAAAACUUAGUUGGUCUAGCAACAGUAAGUUCAGUAUGCGAAGAUCCACAAUUUGUAUCUAGAAAGUGGGAAAACAUUUUUAAAGGGUAAGUCGAGAGACUUCGUGAGCAACGGUUCUAGAAAAUAGGUUUUCAUAAACAUUUUAGUACAAAACUGAAGCUUAAAUAUAUUUAUAAAUAAGCAGUCAUUUCAUAACAUGAAACAAUGAAAACAUCGAAAUAUUUUGUAUUUUCGAAGACAGUCCUCCAUAACCAUGGGCAGUAUGUACCCCUUCGUCCGAAGGCGGGACUGUCAAUGGGAAGUUAUCCCCCUCCUUUAAGUCAUAAAUGUAUAUACUCUUUCGAUGGCCCAUAGUUAAAAAUAGGUUCGUCAACCGUACCAUCAGUAUGAAGUUAACCACAUGUAUAAAAUAGGUCUCAUGAUAUAUUCAGACAUGGAUAAAAACAUUUGAAAAUAUUUAAAUAUUUCCUUGAUCCUGAAAUCUUAAUGUAGCUUGAAAUAUCAUUUCAGUAAACAUUUAUCAUAAAUCAUAACUUGAAAUAAUCGCUUGGAAAUCAUGUUCAUAAAUCAUUUAAAACAUUUUGCUACUCAUAAGCUAUUGUUUGUAGAGCUUGAAAACAUGCUUAAUAAAUACUUUAAAAAUCGAUAUGUUAGUCACAAGCUAUCGCUUGUAGAGCUUGAAAUUAUGUUUAAUAAAUAACAUUUGAAACAUGAUGUUACUCACAAUACUUGUACAGAUCCUUGGCAAAAAAUUCCUCAUAAUCUUUCAUGUCCUGAAAAAAAUUCAUAUGUUAUCCUUAAUUAAUUCCUUGAACAUGAAAAUAUUCAAAAGUUUCCUUAAUUAUUCUCAAAAUAACCUCUAUAACAUAACAAUUUCUCCCAUCUCGCCUAAUUUCUCGUUCAAAAUACAUGACCCGACUUAGAAAAAUCAUAACUUAAAAUCCAUUACUCUUUUGAUAAAACUUCCUUCUACCAAGUUGCUCUACAAUGACCUCUAUAACCUUUCGUGUGUGAACUUUGCUCUGAUUCACUCGAGAACUGACAUUCUCGACUUCCCUUAACCAAAACGUCAACCUUAUCACAUCCAAAAUGCCUAGAAACCCUCCAUAACAAACUAGACACAAUUUUUUAGCUUUUAAGACUAACUUGAGUGAAUAUGAUCGAGUGAGUUGUGAGAAAUCAUUUUUCUACCAGCCUCUUGUUCUUCUUCUCAUCUAAUACAAGUUCAACAUUGCCAAAUCAUCCAAAACGCAUCUGAACUACUUGCCUUAACCACCUAAGGUUAGGUGUGGAUUUAGCCAAUUUUUCAAAUUUUCUUAACUUUAAUUUAAACCUAAACUUUAACCUUUCUAAAAGAUUUCAACUUCCUUAAUCCCUUAAAUCUAAUUCUAAAAAUUAAAAAAUGUGAGGUUUCGUAGUUAAUCUUUGAAUUGGCUAUAAAAAUUAUUUUAUUCUUCUUUUCUUAUUGGUUUAGUCAUAGGAUAUUGACAUUAUGGUGACUGAUUGUACUUUCCUUAUUGGUAAGUAGGUCUUUUUCCUAUUCGGUUGCUUUAGUUGUUUUCCUGGGAGACUACAGAAAAUGGUUUUUGUGAAUGUGUUGCUAAGUAUGACUGCCAAGAUUUUCUGCCAUGGUGCUAAGUUGCAAAACAUUUUGAAGACAUUGUUUUUAUUGAUCUGGUUCUCAUAUAUUAGUUUUUCAUUGACAAGUUAUUCGAUAUUGGCUGAGAAGAGAAGUUGUAGUGGUUAGGAGUCUAAAUACAUUGUAGUGUUGGAGUUAGAAUAAUUCAAAGGGAGCCUUGCAACAUCAAGUAUCAAAUAUUUAGGGAAGAGCCCAAGUGAUCGGGUACCCUAGCGAACAUUCUUGAUCUCCAUUGGGCAAAGCCCCCCCCCCCCCCCCCCCCCCCCCCCCCGAUGUAGGUAUAUUUCAUCGGAUUGGGUUACCAAGUACUUGAAUUUUUUGUUUGACUGUUAAUGCAUGUUAAUAAUUAAAUGAAUUAAAAUUCACUUUAUUUAUCUUUUGUUUCACUGUUAAUGCAUGUUAAUAAUUAAAUGAAAUAUAAUGAAUUAAAAUUCACUUUAUUUAUCUUUUGUUUCACUGUUAAUGCAUGUUAAUAAUUAAAUGAAUUAAAAUUCACUUUUUAUCAUUACUUUUGAAAUUAAAUUUAGAAUUUUACUUCUCAGUUACUUUAAAUUAAUUAUUAAACAUUGACAUUAAUUAUUAAACAUUUACAUCAAAGUUAAGUUUGUGAGUAUUUCGUGAAAAACUUGAAGUAAAAAUAAAAAAUAUUUAAUUAUAGAGACCAGAUUAAAACAGAGCUCAAGUUUUAAGUAUAAAAUUGUAACAUUUUAAUAUUUGAGGACUAAAUUGAAAUAAAAAUCAACCAACAACAGAUUAAAUAGAAUUUAGACUUAAAAUCUACUCAUGAAAAGGGUGGUUUUUCCUCUUUUAAAAAAGAAAAUUAUUCAAUCCCACUUUCAAUAAUUCAAUUUUAAUGUUUAAGAUAUAGACUUCCUCUCAAAUUUAGUGGUGCUCAAAUUUAUAUUAUAUAUAUCAUUUUUAUUAUAAAUUUUGAAAAUGCAUUAAAAAAUAAUAUUAUUAUUUAAUCAAUUUUAGUAUGAUGACCCAAAUUGGAUCUUACAAACUAAAAUUUGUUAGAAAUGAUCUUUUCCACUCGAAAGAGAAACAAAAAUAUCACAACUGAAAGAACAAAGGUUCCAAGAAGAAUAGCCUUCAUAGUUCAUAGGACAAAACCAAAACCACUUAAAACAAUACAUAAAUAUCUCGUUCAAGUCCAAGAUAUCUAAGAAAAUAAGUGCAAGAAAGUCACUUGCUUACAUCGGCUUAGAGAUCCCAAAUUUUAAUUUUUAUACUUAGGCCUUAGGAUUACUCACUAAUGUUCGCUUGUUAUACUAAUGGAUACAUAUGUACAAAUUUUAAGUUUUCAUGCCUCAUCUAUUACUUGUCCUAAAAGAAUUUAUUCAUGAUUUCAAAAUUAUUACUCAAUACUUCGACACUUAAAUCCAUUGUUAAAACUGGAACAUAAUAUUAUCGCUAACAAAAGUUUAGCUUAACCGACAUCUCUAUUUCCAAAAAUAAGAGUUCUCAGGUUCAAUUCCUACCACCCCAUGUUAUAUAUGUACGAGGAAUAUUUGUAUCUUCAUAUUUUGUAUGCAUCUUUAUGCAACUCAUCUAAGUUCUUAAUUACAAAUUGUCAUUUUGUAAAUAUAAUAUAUUUUUCCAUUGAAGUGAUGGAUCCAACCAUGCUAGUUCUCUAAAAAUUAAAUAUUCAAAAUUUCACUCCGUUUUAACUAUUAAAAAAAAAAUUAAAUGAACAAUCAUGAUAAGGUUUCAAUAAAAGGUUUUUAAAAAACUGAAAUAACGUAGAAUCAUCUUGAAUAAGCAAAAACCAAUUUCCUUCCCUUAUUCAAGAUUUGUGGUUGUACAUACUACAUUCUCAACAAAUAUACUCCUAAGUAACAAAACUGUCAUCUUAAAUACGUAAUUUAUGGCCUAUCUAAGGCGGCAAGGCCUGAGCUUAUCAGAUUUUUGAAUGUGAAAAGAAUGUUUGUUCAUGACAUGGGUAAUAUAUGACUAAACUAUAUAUCUUGCGAGUUCAAUGAAACCUCACUGUUUGAGCUCCACAGCUUGGAAAACAGUGUCUUUCUAGUUUUCAACCCACUUCAUGUGCUAUAUUAUUGAUAAUUGCCUAGUUGCCCUUGUUCAACCCAUAACCCAAACUUUGCCAAUGUUAGUUGCUUUUGAUCUGAAACACUCUUGUGUACCAAAUAGAAUGAAGGAUCAUAUGAAAUGCGUCAUAUUUCGCAGGCUUCUCAUGCCAAAGAAAAUGUUGUUGCACCAUUUUCACUCUUGAAUGCAUUGCCCGGUAGUUCUCCUCUGGGAUUGAGAGGAGAAUGUCUCUCAAAUUCGGUAUCUCUCUCUCUUUAACAAAAACCGAGAACGAUUCCCAAUUCAAUACUUCGAAUAAGGGAGGAACAUAAUUAUCUGAUAUGAUCACCGGAAUGCACUCGUUAAGAAUCGCUUCAAUUACUCGAGGACUAUGAACUUG